GGUUUUUUGGUUUAUCGCUUUUGCUAGGCGUUGCGUUCAUUGGGUCUUUUUCUGUAAUGGACGCGUCAACAAAAGCGUAAAUUAACAUUUCAAAAUGGCACAAUGCGGACUGUUUUUCUAUGACUAUUCAUUUUCCUAGUUGUUAUCACCCUGCUUGUGCUCAUUUCUAUAAUUUCUUCCAUCUAUCUAUUGCACAAAACAAAUGGGUUUUUGAUGCUCUUUAGUGAGUGAGAAGUUGAGCAUUUGCUUUAUUCCCUAGGUUAAGUGAAAAUUCACACAUGAUUUAUGAAUUUUACAAAUCUGUGGAGACUUUUUUGCUGCUUUUAUUCAAAUAGGUGAUUAAACGUCCCACGUCAGUCUUAUCUUUUGAAUCAUAUGUAAUGUUUUUUACACUUUUUUCUGGCCUGUUUGCAUGGGCAUCUAGUGUCUUUAAUAUUNGUGGGUCAACUACUCAGUAAGAAGAACCACAGCUUUGAGGACCAAAAUACCGAGGUUGGAUGCGCGUGAGAAGACCUACUCCUACUCAUCUUUUUUCGAUUCAUUCUAUUCCUUCAGACCCAGCAAUCUCCGAUAAAGACCCGAAAAGCUCCGCAUCCGCUAACAUUUUAAUAUUUUUUUUUUUUUUUUUCCUUUGAGACCGGAUGUCUGGCCCAUUGGCUGAUUCCCGGUACCUCUGGGAUUAACCGGUCUCGCAUAUGUGAUCUCCAUCCUCUUCACUUUGUCAGCUAAUGUAGUUCCAUUUUUAGCUGAUCAUUAAAGAUGGGACAUUUUUCAAAGGAAAAUAUUUGAAGGAAGUCCUUUCUUUUUGGUGAAGUAUAAUUCAAGCGAGGUCAAUCUCAUAACAUCUCUGUCGUUCACAGUUAUGUGAUCUCAACACAUCAUUGGCAAAAUAUUUUUUCUAAUUAAAACUUAUUUGGCAUAAUUGCAUAUUUAAUACAGCAGCGUCAAUUAUGUUCUUAAUUUAAAUUAUAAGAAUUAGAUCCUUGAGGUCUGCAAUAGAAUUGAGUCCUUCGGUUAGUAUACUAUAGAGUGGGCACCAUGUCAUUGCCGGAGGUUGCUGAGAUGGGAGGUUUUGAGGUAAUCAUUGAGAGCUGGUGAUGCUAACAUGUGAUCUCUUAGAUUGGUUGGUUAAUAAAAGGACUUUGUUGUUAUACAAAGCAAAUUUCUUGGUACAAAUUGCUCCAAGGACAUGGUGGCAACAGAAUAUUCCAUCAAGCAACAUAAUAUUCUGUUAGAUGAUAGAAUAUUCUGUCAAGUCUAAUAUACUACAAUAUUAGGCAUUACAGUCAAAAUUGUUGAAACUAAUGUUUCGAUUGUAAAAUACGUAAAGGCUCUGCAUUUUUAACUUAAUACUUUGCAUCCCAGGCUCAUAUAUAACAUCAAACUAUUGUAUUAUAUUUUGUAGGAUGAUCCAGGGAGGCCGGGGCAACCCCCACGUGCAGCUGGAGCUCCUACCGCCGCCCGCCCGUGAUGUUUCCUUGGUUCCAUGCUUGAUACCUGCUACAAGAUCAGUUGCUUUGUCUUUCAACUCCUUCCUGAAUCUUAAAAUUGUGUUUCGUGAGGGUCAAUUUUGUUUAGUGUUACAUGUGACAAAAAUUGAUUCUAUUCUAUUUCGUCAAAACCUGUUUUAUUGCGUUCAUGAUUCUUGAAGAUCUUGUUGGAUAUUUACUGGCUUUCUAAUAUGAUUUCGUCAUCCGUGUAGGAAUGGCUUGUAGAUUGCUGCGGGUGAAAUUUUGGUUAUGGAUGUUGAAACUAGUGAUCAUCUGUCCUUGUGUUUGAUGAUUCUUUGUUAGUUGUAUGAGAAGAUUGUAUUUUGAUCUCACUUGUGCUUUUAAAGAGAUCAAGCUUCGUGCGACGCAAGAAAUUUACCAUCAAGGUAUCUAGAGAAAAAAUAAAAAAUAAAAAUCACACUUAUCCACAAAUUAAAUAUUCGAGUAAUAAGAAGAUACUUAUACGGAGAGAGAUUGAAGUAUGAGACAUAACUAAUGCAUGAGAUGCAAUGUGAAAAGCAUCUCAAAUUGAAAGCAUCUGUUUAUUUUUAAUUCUGGCUUUGUUGAACUGUUCUUUAGAAACACAAUAUUUAUACAACAACGUGUACGUCAGUAUGUGCAAUUCAACACCAACAGGGAAAUUAAUUAAGCAUGGAUUAAUUGUUAUUAAUUGUCGUGCUGAUCCAAAACCAUUUGUUCUAUUUCUAUUCAACCCCCAGGAAUCUUUCAAACCUGCACCAUAAACGUACAAAAAUAUAUAUUAUGUAUAUUCAUCAUAAGGCCAUGUUAGCUUAGCUAAUAUCUCCAAAGACGAAGACAAAAUAUGUAGGCCCUUCGAUUGAUAAGUAAUUAUUAAACUAAAUUUCUCUAUAUAUGCUGGCACCGAGAGUUGAGUUGGUGCAUGCCCUUCAUUGCUUUAAUCUCUCAACACCUUCACAUUGCUAUUUCCUGUUGCCUUCUUUCUUUCUCCGCCCUUCGGUAUGUAUACAAUGAUUUAUUUUUCCUCGAAACAACUUAAAUUAUUUUGAGAUUAUCUUUUUCUGUUUAGGGAUAGGGAAUUCAAUUAAUUAAGUGCAUUUAAUUGCAUGCGCGCAUAAGCUAGCAUAUUAUCGUUUAAUUUGUUUGCCAUACAUAAAUAUGCUUUACUCUUGAGUUUAAUGGGAACUUGCAUACAUACGUAUGUAUACCAACGAAUGAAUAGUACAUGCAUGCAUGGCAUGUUCCUUUUCUCAAAUGUCAAGUAAUUAAAUGCGUAUAAGGGUGAACCAAAAAAAUCUUCGGUUUAUGAGCAAUUUGUUCAUAGAAAAUAGAAGAUUCAGAGAUUAAGGAUUUGAUGCACUUUGAUUACCUAUAUGUACCCGGUUGAUUGCUACUGUUUCCUCUAUUUGUCACCUUCUAACUUUUUUGUCAUUAAAUCAAGUAUCUAAUUUUUAUGUUUUAUCGCUUUCAUAUAUUCUUCAAAACAUCAGAGAAUAGUGGAAUAAAGAAUGUUGGUAGCCUCGACCCGCAAAUUAUUCAGUCUAUUUUGUGAUGGACAGUGUUUAUUAGAAAUUUACAUGUGAGUAGUUUCGCAUCACAUAACUAAUUUAUUAAAGAGUAAAUGAUUGAUAUAUCGUAAUGGAUCUUGACCUAAUAAGUUUUAAGCAUUUAAGGCUAGAUGAGUUACAGUAAAUAUGCCAUAUUCUUUUUCUUUUUCUUUUUCUUUUUUUUUUGAGAGAUAGGUAGCACGCUACCCGCUUCGUUUAUUUCAUUUAGAAAUAAACUUAGCUGUAAAUAUGAAUCAACUUAACUUGGGUUUCGGGUACCAAUCACUAAAUCCUUUGCCACUUGCUCUAGGGACAGUGCCAUAUUCUUGGAUCUAUAUUCUUGGAUCCAUGUGGACUUAGGAUGAAUUGCGACUCUCCUAAUAAGCAGUAUCAGAGGCGAUAGUUUGGCAAUUUUAGAUUACUCGCUUAUAUGGUAUGGUUGAAUCGAGUUACUAGCUCACAUGAACAUGAUGGACUAAUGGAAGGAAGUCAAUUUAUAUAAUGCGAUAUGAUGGCUUAACGCAAUCAAAAUAGUUGGGUCAACAAAUUAAGCAUGUGUUAGGCAUAUAAACUCACGAGAGGGGCGUAGGUUCGAUACAUCGGCUUGGACGAUGAUCAGUGGAUUCGCAUUAGGUUUAGUGCAAUGUUUGAGGAGAUUGUUAAAAAUUUAUACAUAAUCAGUCUCGCCCCAAAUAACUAAUAUAAAACGUAAAUAAUCAAUAUAUACAUACUAAUGAACUGAAAGCUAAUUAUACACCAAAAUUUUUUGGUUUAAUGUGUUCUGCUAAAUUUAUCACAAUCUUAGAUCUACGAGACUUUGAUAAGUAUCGCACAAAGGUGCUGGCAAUUGCAUGGUGGCGACGGCAAUCAAUUGAUCAUCUUAAUUAUGAGCGUAAUGCAUUGUCAUAAAAAUUUAUAAUCAUAUCGACCUACCAAUAAACUAAAAAUCAAACUGUUGCAGUCACAAAAGAUUUAUAAUCUCUAUGCUAGGCAAAUUAUAGGCAGCUAGUUUAAAUUCUUAAGAAAAUGCUAUUCUUACAAACCACUUCUACAAUAAAUUUCUAAUUUAAAAUUUAGUAGUUACGUUUUUAUUCUUUGUCUUACGAACUACAACAAUCACCUCAUGAAUGAUACCAUUUUGCCAAUUAAAAAUGGGUUGGUAAGGAAAUAUAUUAAAAAUUAUAAAAUUUAUCUGUAAGUAUAGCGUUACUUAAAUUCUUAGGAGCUGCAUAUAUGGGCUGAAGAGUGCUACAAUCAUAUUCACAGUUGCAGAGCACGUCGAGUGCAAUUUCGAAGUCCACGAAACCACGGCCCAUAAAAGACAAACAAGGUGGCCCAUUGAUGGGAGAAGAUUAGGUUGAGCUUAUGGGUCGGGCUUCUCCCACACAACCCAAAUUAAUGGGCCUAAUAUAUGUUUCUACUGGGUUGGAUCGACCACGUACAUCCGAACCCGAAAUUUAUUUAUAUAAUAAGCCCAGGCGUACGUGCUCUCGUUUUCACCAUGCAUGCAAUUAGCUUAAAGAGAAAUAAUAAUGCAUGCCCUAGCUAGCUAGGGGUUGCGUUGAUCAAGUAGAUCAACCUACCUGUGGAAGGUGCCUGAGGGGCCGGUGAGGGAUUCUCUCUCCCUCUCUCUCUCUCUCUUCCCCUCCCUAAAGGGUGAUAGAGACUCUCUCUCUCUCUCUCUCUCUCUCUCUCUCUCUCUCUCUCUGUGAGACACACACACGCUCUUCUCUAUAGAGAGAGAGAGAGAGAUCUCACAACACCCGCUUCUCUCUCUCUCUCAUACGCAAACACUUCUCUAGAGAGAGAGAGAGAGAGAGAGAGAGAGAGAGAGAGAGGUCACACAUGACACACCCACCCACCCACCUCUCUCUCUACCUCACACACACAUCUCUCUAUUGAGAGGAGAGAGAUCUCAAACAUACCCGCCUCUCUCUCUCUCUCUCUCUCUCUCUCUCUCUCUCUCUCUCAUAGGCACACACUUCUUUAGAGAGAGAGAGAGAGGGUCACACACACCCCCACCCACCUCUCUCUCUACCUGACACACACUUCUCUCUAUGGAGAAGAGAGAGAACUCUCACAUACCCGGUUCUCUCUCUCUCUCAUACGCAAACACUUCUCUAGAGAGAGAGAGAGAGGGUCACACACACCCCCACCCACCUCUCUCUCUACCUGACACACACUUCUCUCUAUGGAGAAGAGAGAGAACUCUCACAUACCCGGUUCUCUCUCUCUCUCCCUCCCCCCCAUACACACACACUUCUGUAGAGAAAGAGAGGCUCACACACGCACCCACCCACCUCUCUCUCUACCUGACACACACUUCUCUCUAUGGAGAAGAGAGAGAACUCUCACAUACCCGGUUCUCUCUCUCUCUCCCUCCCCCCCAUACACACACACUUCUGUAGAGAAAGAGAGGCUCACACACGCACCCACCCACCUCUCUCUCCCUCACACACACGCACACACACUCUUCUCUAGACAGAUAUCGAGAGAGAGAGAGAGGGAGAGAGAGAGAGGUGGGUGUGAGAUCUCUCUCUCUCUCUCUCUCUCUCUCUCUCUCUCUCUCUCUCUCUCUCUCUCUCUCUCUCUCUCUCUCUCUCUCUCUCUCUCUCUCUCUCUCUCUCUCUCUCUCUCUCUCUCUCUCUCUCUCUCUCUCUCUCUCUCUCUCUCUCUCAUACACACACACACUUCUCUAGACAGAUAUCGAGAGAGAGAGAGAGAGAGAGAGAGAUCUCACACACAUACCCCCACCUCUCUCUCUCUCCCUCACACACACACACACACACACAUUCUCUCUCUCGGAGAUUAAGUUGGUUGAUUUCUAAAUAGACACAAAAUUGACUCAUGCCCUAUCCUUUAUUCAAAAGAGAAGAACACUGCUACGCUUAAUUAUCUCAAGUUCCUUUAGAUAUGGAAACGGCAUAAUCAGUUAAUUAGCUAGUGCUUUUUUGGUAAACUUUUUAAAUAUUAAUUAGUCUUAUUCAACCACCGCGGUUUCUUACCUCAUCGAUAUAAUUGAGGGAAAGCCUUCUAGGGCACGCACAAUCUAAAAAUGUUACUUAUUCUCAAUUAAUCAUUAAUUAAUUAGAAGCUACUUUGUCAACACAAAUGCAUUGUCAUCAAACACAAAUAAUAAGAAAGCAAAGGACAAGUACUGUAAUCAAUAUUCAGUAAUAUUAAUUACUGCAAAAGACAAUGUAGUCAAGUUACAGAAUCCUGCAAACGACUUAGAAAUUACCACAUUUAUUUUUUCACCUAUAAAUUUGUAUAGAGCCCCACCACAAACAGGAUUACAAGACACUAACUAUACAACAACAAAGCCAAUGUCCUCCUAAAACCUUUCGGAAAACAAAGCCAGUAUUGAUCGAUCGCCUAUUAUAUGUGGAGACAGAUAAAAUAGACCAAAACAACAUUAACGAUGACAACAACAACAACAUAUCUAGCAAUCUUUCAGAAAAACUCUCUCUGAGAUCCCCCGUAGACAACAUUUUGGAAGUAAAUAAUCACAGUAAUUAUGUGUAGCUCGAAACCGAGAUUAUCACUUCCAUUCAUUUGGUUAUGUAUGAUGGAAGUGAUAAAUUGAAGUUUUGAUAGAAGUCCACUUCUAUCUGAAAAUUCAAUUUUUAUGUUAUGUCGACUUACCCCCAACGAAACGUUCCCUUGGCUAAGAUAGCACGAUGAAGAGCAUCACCGCCCCGGCCAGGAUCAUAACUAGCUGCAGCAACAAACUAACAGAGUAAAAUAUUUCAACGAUCGAAGCCCACAUUUCACCGUGCGGCGGUUCAAACAUGAGGCCUAUCCAGAUCAGGCCGGAUUCGAUGGCCAAUAGCUGGAAGAAUGCGCACACCUUUAGCCCUAAACUCAUGUAAUAUUGCUGUGGUGCAAUCCCCACACUCUCCACGCAUAUGAAUGCUAGUAGGCCACCAUUGACUGAGAUCAGCAUUGCAAUGCCGUUCCUCAUCACACCCGCAUAGCGUGGGUCAUGGUAUAAGGGUCGAGCACUAGUUGGAUUUCUCAGGCCGAUACCCAGAUACUCCUGGAUGAAGUAUACGAAGAUAGGGAUGAGCGCCAGCGAGAACACGCCCACGACUAAGGUUUCCAAGAACUGCAUGGCGAGCGCAGCGGCUGAUAGCCCGAGGAGGACCAAAAUAGCAGUGCUGCUGUAUCUCACAAAGCUUGAAAGGCUCCCUCUCCAAAAGGAGUAAUGAGCAGUUAAGGGGAUGGAGGUAACCAUCAUAACAAAGAUGCCAACCAUGGUGAUCAGGAAGAAGAGACUCAGCGCAAGUUGGAAACUUUGCAAUGCUUGGAGGGGAGGGCUUUUGAAGGAAGCAUAAAUCAUACCCGUUUGUACUGUGAUGGCCAUAGUUGCCAUAGCAGUAGCGAACUUGAAGGCCUUCUUUUGCUCCGGUUUGUAGCUGUUGAUCGAAGAUGCACAACAUGCAUGUUAAUUGAAAAUGUUGUUAAGCCUAGGCUUUUAGAGGCAGCUCCCAUCACCCCUCAAAAAUGAUAUAAAUAUUAGAUUAGCUGAUUCCGUUAUCUAUUAGUAAGUUUACCGAUGAAAAAAUGACCUAAGCUCAUGUAUAUAUGUUUCAAAUUAAAGAGAAAAUUACAGCUUACUUUUUACAUGAACAUGUAGUUCUUCAACUUUUCAAAGCAAAACUUAUUUCCAGCAUUCGAUACUUUUUUAACAAAUAGAAUUAGAGAAACAUGUUAAUGCCAAGUUUUUUUGUCAAAAAAAACACUAAAUUUAGUACCCGAGUCUUCUCUCUGAAUAAACUUGACACGCAAUAACAGCACAAGCUAAUAUAUAAUUUGAUACAUUUAUAAGAAGUUCAUGAGAUGCUAAUUCAGUUCACCUGAGAAGAUCAUUAAGCUAAUAGUACUAUCGAAAUGUAUAAAAACACAUAAUAUAUAUACCUUUCAUGGUUGGCACUGUCGUGGUCGUUAACAUUUUGUGUAGCCCUAUAUCCAAGGAAGCAUAUGAUAGCUAUCACAGGAAUUACAAUAAGACUCAUCCCUGCACUGUCCUUGCUCAGGAGUACUAUGGAGAAAAAGCUUGUCACAAUUAAAAGUACACAAGAUGUGGUAAUCCCGCCUAUGAGAUAUAUCUUCUGGUUUCGGUUGAUUCGAUUAUAAUGCCCAAAGAGAAAAAAUGCGUACAGCAACAACAAGAUGGGGGAUUGAAGAGUGGCCCAGAUGAGGAAAUUGUAGGCUUUGAUAACUGUGGAGGAAUGCAUGGCUCUUAUAUCUUUGGUUCCGUUCAAAAAUGCUAAGAGUAUUACAAAAGCCAUGGUUAUUUUCACACCCGAGAAAGCUAUGAUUCGCUUCAACUGGUCCCUAACUACUUUAAUUUUCUGUUCAUUUUCUCCUUCAUUGUCUUCUCCCUGUUGGUUUAUCUGCAGUUACGUCAAACAAGUAGUAAGUGUUUUGUAUAUACAUACAUAUAUAUGUAUGAUUAAUUGAUAUGCAAAUUAGAGGCCACUGGAAAUUAGCAAACAUAUUUAGAAGAUAGAGAUUGAAAGAGAGCUUCAUUAUAUAUUUAUAGAUUAGGCACCAUGAGAUAAUUCAUUAACCAAAAAAUUUACUAUUGGUAGGCUUAAAAGUUUUAUCACGAAAAUAAAGAUGAUGAUUUGAGAAAUAUAAAACUUAUAGAUGCAUCACAGGCUUAUUUUUACUACAAGACUCAAAGAUCAUCAUAUCACAAGCUUGUAAACCCACAUCCAUAUGGCUGUAAUUGAGAUGAAAAAUAAACAUUAACCCACCAGUGUAGUUAGCUUAGUUUUUGAUUGGUCUUGUCUCAUGAAAAAAGUUUUGGAUAUACUUAGCCACUAUGGCAGGGUAUAUAGUUUUAAGUAAUACCGCCAAAUGGUACCAUAAUAACCCAUACGAAUGGUGAAUUACGAAUUCAUAAUUAAUAUUAUUUGAACCUGCAGUGAUGAUGCUUAGGAAACAGUAAAUCUUAUCCUGAUAUAUUAAACAGGCCACAUAAUUUGGAAAAUCUUUUGGUCAAAAUCCAUUGGAUCUGAUUAUGGUGAAUUCGGUAUCGGAUGUGGCCAUAAGAGAGAACGAGAAAUUAAUCAGAUGAAAUACUAAAGAAAAGAGAAGAAGCACGUGUGAUGUGAGCUCGAGAAGAUCUUUAGUGAAGGGUUUAAUAAGCUAAAAACAAUACACAUAAGAGAGAGAGAGAGAGAGAGAGAGAGAGAGAGAGAGAGAGAGAGAUGCGCACGAAGAUAUAUAGCGACCUAAAACCCUACCUUUUCAAAAAAAAAAAAGAAAAAAAGAUAACAUAACUUGAUUUUGGAAAGAUUUUUUUUUCCAUUCUUUUGAUUGUAUUAACCUCAUAAAAGAAAAUGAUAAACAACUCAUGGAUGUGGAGCUGUUAUAAAUUCAUGUUUGGAAAGAAGAAAAGAAAAGAAAUAGCUGAUAAAAGAGAAAUAUCAGAUCUACAAUCAAACAAAGAAGCAGCAAGUGAGAGAUAAAGAGAGAGAGAGAGAGAGAGAUGCGCCACAAAAUAUAUAUAGCCAAUUAAAAUAAACCCUUUUGAAAAAAUUGAAAAAAACACCUAUAUUGCAGAUUUAUAUAUCAUCUGUGACCAUAACUUGAUUUUGGAAUGAUUUUUUUCUCUUUUUCUUUUGAGUGCAUAAACCUCACAAAAGAAAACAAAGAACAAUCAUCUGAUUUGGAGCUUUUAUAAGUUCAAAAAGAAAAAACCCCUAAAAACUUGCAAGCAAACAAAUAGCUGAUAAAAGGGAAAUAUGAUGAAACUUUUGAUGAAAUGAAAGAAAUCAUCUGAUGUGGAGCUUUUAUAAGUUCAAAAAAAAAAAAAAAAAAACCCCUAAAAACCUGCAAGCAAACAAAUUGCUGAUAAAAGAGAAAUAUGAUGAAACUUUUGAUGAAAUGAAACAAAUCAUCUGAUGUGGAGCUUUUAUAAGUUCAAAAAAAAAAAAAAACCCUAAAAACCUGCAAGCAAACAAAUAGUUGAUAAAAGAGAAAUAUGAUGAAACUUUUGAUGAAAUGAAACAAAUCAUCUGAUGUACGCUUUUAUAAGUUCAAAAAAGAAAAAAAAACUCCUAAAAACCUGGAAGCAAACAAAUAGCUGAUAAAAGAGAAAUAUGAUGAAACUUUUGAUGAAAUGAAACAGCAGCUGCAGGAGCAGAAGAACAAGACCUGCAGAGUAACUGAAUGAGAUUCCCGAGACAUUUGGUGAAAUGAAGGAGGCUCGCAAAGUAAAGGAAAAAGCUCCUCUUCCUCUUCUUCUUCUUCUUCUUCUUCCUCCUCUUCUUCUUCUUCUUCUUCUUCUUCUUCUUCUUCUUCUGCUAUUAAUUUAUAUGGUCAUUGUACCAAUUGCCCAUGGUGAGUGGUGGUGGUGGUGCGGGGGGGCGGGGGAGGGGGAAAUUAUGUGCGGCACAUUCGCAUGCGACGAAGAAGCUACCGCCGUCGGAUUGCUCCCACACGAAUCUCAAAGCACAGCGUGGGGCACGGAACGUGCCUCCCAUGGAUGCCUUCGCAAUUAAAUCUUUUCCUUCCCCUGUUGGUGGGUCCUCUAGCCAAUAGUCGGUGCGGAAAUUAAACCCCUUCUUUUGACCAUUAAUGUAUAUAUAUAAAAGAAUUAUGCUUUCGUAUAUCAACUUUUUAAUGUAUAUAUAUAUAUGUUACAAUUUACAGCUCAAAUUAAAACUAACUUCUCCAAAGUUCUUUCCCUUAUUACUUUUUAUUAAUCCAACAGGAAUUAAUAAUCUAAACACUAGAAGGGAAGUGUCGUAAUUAAAACAGACAUGCCAUUUUUCUCUAUAUAAAAUAAAACAAAAAUUUGAACACAAUUGAGCAUUGUUACGUCCAUAACCCACAGUGGAUUGUUAACCUACAAACAUCCAAUUCAAAGCCCACUUUUGCUCUAUAGGUCUCAACACUCUUAAUUUUAUUUUAUUUUUUUUAACUAAAAAGCAAAUUAAGGGAUUAGUAAACUCUAGAACCCUUGAAUAAAGAACUGCAGAUAUUACAACAUCUUUUUGAUUGUAGACUUAGCAUAUUAAUUUCUUAACAAUAAGAGCAUCUCACACCUCUCUCUCUCUCUCUCUCUCUCUCUCUCUUCUUCCCCUUGANUUUUAUUUUAUUUUUUUUAACUAAAAAGCAAAUUAAGGGAUUAGUAAACUCUAGAACCCUUGAAUAAAGAACUGCAGAUAUUACAACAUCUUUUUGAUUGUAGACUUAGCAUAUUAAUUUCUUAACAAUAAGAGCAUCUCACACCUCUCUCUCUCUCUCUCUCUCUCUCUCUCUCUCUCUCUCUCUCUCUCCCCCCCCUUGUUGCCCCUACAUAUUUUAGUUUGUUGACUCAUUCCGCAAAUCAUGUGAGAAACCCUAAUACGUUCUACUACAAGAUAAGGAUAAAUGUUUGUCUUGAAGUUAAUGUGUUGGUUUUAAAUAAAUUUGACUCAAAUUCGGUAACGAAUUAUAUAUUUUGAAAGAAAAUUAUUUUUCCAAACUACAAAUAGAAUAAAUAACAUCACAUAUUUGGAUAUUUUAGAAAGGAAAAUGCUUGGAUCCUCCAUAAUGUUGUACUUAUAUAUUACUAAUAUAUUAGCAAGUAUAAUAUAAUUUACAGAGAGAAAAACAUAAUAUAAAAAUUUUAAUUUGUUCAUACAUACUCUCAAAAUUUAUAUAAAUUUGUCAAUAAUAUAUAAGAACAAUUAAUAUUGUUUAUAGCAUAUAUACUAUUGCACUAGUCUUUUUAAAAUUUUCUUUUACGUACAUAUAUAGGUUGCAAAAGAUUGGCAUACAUUUUGCACGUAAUCGUGAGAUCAUUAAUAUAAUACACGGCUAUGAUUUCAUUUUUCUCCAGCUGAAGAAUAUGUGUACAACCUACACAUAAUAUGCAUGCAUCAAAAUUAUGUUAAUACAAAAGAAGAUUGGGAUUAAGCAAUAUGCUAGGUUUUCAACCCAUUUUAGGUUGCAAUUCUAUAUCUACUAUAAUCCCGAAGUCACUUUUUCUUUACAAGUCUUAUCAUUUUUCUUUUAAACUAAAAACCAAGAAAAGAAUAGUAAACCCUACAAUUCUCGGAUGGGGUUUUAUAGAGAUUAAAGACACAAAAGUUGAAGAAUCUAUAUGUAGAAUAAUAUCAUGGUUGAACAUACAUGGGUUCUGUCAUCUGUGAGGCACCUACUGUGUGCAAAUGUGAACAUGGACCCCCCACCCACACAUAAGAACAAGAUGAGGUGAGAGACUUUCACUGUGCGUUCCAACAUGGCUCUGAUUUUGUUUUCUCUCCUUUUCUUCUGCUUAAAAAUAACAAGAAAAGAUGGAACUUCAACAUCAAUCUCCACCUCCUCUUUUUUUUCUUUUCUUUUUUCCUCUGAGAGACUCUCCAUCAAUAUUGUUUUGAAAAACCAAAAAAGUCAAAGUCAUAGCUUUAAGAUUCGAGCCCAGGUCCAUUACUAGGUCGCUAGGUUGAAAAGCCAAAGCGCAUAAUUUUGAGUGAGUCCACGUACGGGCGUCACACAUGCAUCAUCCAUUUGAGUGUCCCUUCUAAGUAGGCGUCGUUGAAAAGCCAAAGUACAUAUUGAAACAAAAAGAAAUAAUUAGCUUGCUCGUGAGAGAUGUGGCAUCAUCUUCUACAUGCUUUGAAUUCCGAUCGAGUCGUAUUUGGUUUCAAGAAAAAGAAAUAAACCCGACUGGACUAGUGCUAUAAACAAUAUAUAUAUAUAUAUAUAUAUAUAUAUAGAGAGAGAGAGAGAGAGAGAGAGAGAGAGAGAGAGAGAGAGAGAAUCUUAUAAGCUACACAAAUUAAAAGAUUUUAAUUUAAUUUUUUUUUUUCCUUCCAAAAGUUUUAACUUCAAGUAUUUAAAGUUAUUUGCAAAAAUAAAAAAAAAAUCACGAAUUUUGAACACUUGCUUCUAUAGAUUAUUUUGUUUUGUUUUGUUUUCCUAAAGAAACCAGAUGCUUUGACAAAGAUAAAUAUAGGCUUCAAGAAAGCUAAGGUUGCUGAGAAGCUGGUUCAUUCACUAUGACCCAUCUUUAUCUUUGUUUUCUUCACAAGCCAAAAUAAUUCAACGCAAAAUCAGGCCCACUAAAGCUUUCAAAAUGGUCUUGUAUGACUAUGAAUUAGGUUUUACAUAUCUAAUCUUUCAUGCCUUUACAUAAGGAUAUAUUUGGGAAGUUUUUAAUUUGCUCUAGGUUACGAUUCGGUACUUAUAAUUAACGACAUCUUACUGUUUUUGGUUGAAUAAAUUAAGCUCUUCUUCGAUCGAUCAUAACCCUUAUAGAAGGGAAAAAAAAAAAAAUCCAAAUAGGAUCUUGGACACGAGAAAAUCUACAUUGUAACACUUACAUCACAUCAUCUAUUCUCAGCCAAUUACAUCACUUUUUUAAAAAGUAAAGUAUAAUAAAAAUAUUUUUUUAAUAAUUAUGAUGGAAUAGAUGAAUUUAAGAAAAAAAAUCUGAUUAAUUAAAAAUAUUAUAUCAGAAACAUCACUGGUAUAUUUUAAAAUUUUUUCCUUGGCCACACCAUACACGGAAGUACAAGGACGUGUAGGGCAAGAAAAUCAAGCAGGUAGAUGCUGCAGGGGUUGUUGGAUCUCUCGCUUUCGCGACUAAGUUACAUGUGGCAUGCAGCAUGGGAGGGGCCCAUUCUUUUGUCAAACUCCACCACUUGUAUUAAUUCCAUGAUGAAAUAGACUUCUUCUUUUUUUUUUUUUCUUUUUUUUUUGUGCCAAACUCCACCACUCGCAUAUUGAAAUAGAGAGCAGUACAUUAUUCAAGAAUAAUUUAGAGAAUGUUUUAGUAUGAUUUUAUGUAAGAAGUUCAAUAUUUUGCUUCUUUAAAAAUUUUACUGUCUAUGAUUUAUUAGGAUAGUAUAUUUUAUCUUUGAGGUGAUUUAUUUUAUUAUGAAAAAAUGACUUAAAAUCUAAACAUCAAUUUUCUUCUAAAUAUUUGAUCAUAAUCCUUAUUAGUCGAAAGAUAGUCAAGCGGGCCGUUAGUUUCAGUAAUUUAAUUGCAUGUUGGAACAACUUAUUCGGCACAAAGUUUUUCUUGUGUGCUAAAUUUAUUUUUACUUCUUGAUUGGAAUUUUCAUCCAUAAUAUAUAUAUAUUUUUUUUGAGAAAUAGGUAGCACACUAUCCGCUUCGUUUAUUUCAUUUAGAAAUAAACUUAGCUAGAAAUGUGAACCAACUAGGAUUCGAACUUGGAUCUCGGGUACCAACUACCAAGCCCUUUGCCACUUGCUCUAGGGGCAGUCGGUAUUUUCAUCCAUAAUUUGAUUAGAUAACAUAUUUCACUUGCAAAAUGAUUUAUUUUAUUCCGAAAAAUUGAUUAGAAAGUUGUAGUGAGUAUACAUUAAUUUCAUUGUCUUAUUUUAGGGUUUAAUCACAUUAUAUAUUGCCUUAUAUAUAAGGUCUUAUAUUUUAGGGAUUAGAAAGUUGUAGUGAUUCACUAUAUAUAUUGUCUUAUUUUAGAUGUUUAAUCACAUUUCUUAUCACCAAAUGCUACGAUUUCUUGAGAAAAUUAAAAUUACAUCCAGAAUAAGAACUUGGUGAUCGGUACCCGAGGUUCCAAGUUCGAAUCCUAAUUAAUUCACAUUUCCAGCUAAGUUUAUUUCUUAAUGAAAUAAACGAAGCAGGUAGCGUGCUAUCUAUCUCUCUCUCUCAAAAAAAAAAAAAGACCUUAAUCAAAUCACUAAUUAAUUUGCAGUGAGUAUAUAUAUAUACAUUAGUUUUAUAUAAUGUCAUCCUAACGAAGAAGAAUCCUAAUAACAACCGGAUAAUUAAGACAAAUUAAGACUCAACUUGUGAAUAAAAGAUACCGGCUAUGGGCGCACAAUAACCUGUAAGAUAAAAAUAAGAAACAAACUCUUUUAACUUAUAUCAUGCACCUAAUAAUUUUUUGACCCUAUCAAUAUCUUUUAGAUAAUUAACCAAGUGGCAAAGUACUGAAUGGUUCGUAUCAUAUUUCUAAUUACUUCAUAUUUUAAUUAAAAUUAUUUUUUUAAAAAAAUGAAUAAAAUAAUAGUAUGCUAUCAUUCUAGAAACCAUGCACGAAUCAGAUUCCGGCUCGAAUCUCUGAGCCCAUUGAGGUGUCAAUUAGAAAUUUUGGUUUACUUAAUUACCGUAUAGUAGUUUACUAACUCUACGCGGAGAGUGUGGGGACGUCGCACAUUAACAUACAAGACCAAAGAAAAUUUUUUAAAAAUGAAAAUAAUAAUAAUAAAAAAAAAAACAAUUGAAAGAUAUAGAGUAUGUGUCUCCCUCAGCGUCACGCGUAUACAAAUAUAGAGCUUUAAUUCUUUUUAUUUAUUUAUUAAGUGGUAUCUUAAUUAAAUUUUUACUAUUUUAACAGUCGAUCGAAUGAAGUUGUUAGUUUAACAAUUAAAUAUAAUAUUAAUAAAUUGAUAUUUUGUUAGACGCUGUGAUGCAAUUGAUCAAUAAUUAAUUACUAGCUUGUUUUCGUUAGGCCUUAUUUAUUCAACCUUAAAUUAUUAAAAAAAAAAAAACUUUGGGCUCUAUAUUCCACCCAAUUUUGUAACUAUAUAACCACAAUUGGGCCGUAGGCCAUAGUUCCAAAUGGGCUCGAUUAUACACGACCCUAACUUGAAAUUAAGCCCAACCAUAUGUUACUAACUUGAAAUGAGUCAAAAAGAGGUGUACAUCCUACACCUUGUCCGUUGGAUGGUGUACAAGUAGUAUUUUUCUACUCUAGUAACUAACGUCCUUGACGCGUUUAGCAUCUUUUGCUAUCCUAUUCAUGGAAAAGUUCCUCCAACCUAAUCUCCGGAUUUUGCUUUUUAAGUCCAAGUGAUCCCAAUUAGAUGCUACAAUUUUCACCAAUCAUCUCAAGGCCUUACUCUCUUAGAUCUCUCUCUCUCUCUCUCUCUCAUGUGUUGCCUUAAAACUUUUAUGCUAAUCUUUUCCCCAACUCCGAAAAAAGCUACUUAAUUAAUGUGACUCCAAAUUAAGAUGCAUCCAAUUCUCAAACGUCAGCAUAAACAGGAGAAGCACCAGCAACCAAACAAAAACCCACCAUUCCUUAAUUUGUCUCCACCUGCUUCUCAUUGUUCUCUUCCUCCCUUGUAUUUAUCUAUGGUUACAAUCCCAGGACCACACUCUCCCUUAAUACCUCUCCUUUUAUUUUAAGCACUAAAAAACAAACAAAGCAUCUAUAAUAAUCUAUAAUUAAAGAGGAUAAUAUAUAUUCAAUAAUGACAAAAAACCAAAACAAUUUGUGUUGAGAGUGGGAUUUGAACCCACGCCCUUUCGGACCAGAACCUUAAUCUGGCGCCUUAGACCAACUCGGCCAUCUCAACUUAUCUAUAUCAUUUCUUCGUACAUUUCUAAUAAUCUAUUUAUCAUACUCUAGUAAAUAGAAAUUCCCCAUGGAUAAGAAUCAAGUUGGGCGUGUUUGGUUCGCUUCUUUUUUACUCUGGAAUCGGAAUCGGAAUGGAUGAAUCCGUUUGUGGGUGUUUGGUACGCGGGAGUCCCAUUCCGAUUCCAAUUCCCGAGUGGAAUGGGAAUCUCCCAAUCACCCCUUUUUUCAAUCCGGCCUGGAGGCCGNCAGGUCUAAUUAGAGUAUACCGAAACAUUCGUCGUUUACAAUUAUAAGGAUACAUCAACGUGGUAUGUUUAUAGAAUCUAAAGAUGAACGAUUGACAUUCUUUUCUUUAAAGUAUAGUUUGCGUAGUGAUGAACCAGUAGCGAUAACGAUACUAAUAAAGUACAGCCAAGAGUAUAACUCAAAUCUUAAGAACAAAGGUAUCAACGCUCGUCAAAACUAGAAACUUCGGAUGCUCCCUACAUCCGAUAAUUGUCACCCCUCGGCGAGUGAAUAAAGGAGGAGAAGAAAAUACGCACUGUUUGGUUCUAAUUAUUUAGUUCGUAAAGUGUUCUCAUCUGGUAAAUUAAUGUAAUCCGAGAAGUCAUACCACUCUUCCUUUAACUCCGUGGAAUCAUAGGUUUUCUCUACUAAAUCAUAAUGUAAACAAAGAAGACUAUACAAUGAUACUUAAAAAAUACAGUGUGUAAAACAUUACAUGAUACAAAAAUUACGUAACGUUAAGAAUAAAACAGGAACUAUAAAUACGUCUUCGUCGCACUCUUAUGUAUGCUUCGAAGCUCCUUCGGCUAAAAUGGUGGUCUAAAACACCUCUUCGUCUCUCGCAUAAAGCGUCUCUAGCUAAGUAAGCUUGACGGCCUCCUCCUCCAGAGCCUCUCACUCGACCUAAUCGGCGCACUUUACUGCUGACACGUGAAGAUAUUGUACGAUCACGCCAUCCUUGAUUAGAAACAUGUCGUGUACAUAGUUUCCAUUGACCCCUAAAACCGGUACUUCCGACAACAUACGCAUGGGGUAACAUUUUAACGGUACAUUGGGAGUUGUAAAAACCUACAUAGGAGGUAGUUAAAGUAAGAUUAGGCACCCCUUAAAGAUAACUAAAUGAAAGGCAAGUCUCCUUAAAGUGACGCACCUCUUUUUAUCUAAUAGUACUUACAUGAACUGGUCCUAUAUCAACUAAGCUGACAUUUACCUCCUACAAAUCACUGAUACAAAUUAAAGCAAAUUUCUUGGUGCAAAUUGCUCUAAGGACAUGGAGGCAACAGAAUAUUCCACAAGCAACAUAAUAUUCUUGUAGAUGAUAGAAUAUUCUGUCGAGUCUAAUAUACUGUAAUAUUAGGCAUUACGGUCAAAAUUGUUGAAACUAAUGUUUCGAUUGUAAAAUACGUAAAGGCUCUGCAUUUUUAACUUAAUACUUCGCAUCCCAGGCUCAUGUAUAACAUAAAAUUAUUGUAUUAUAUUUUGUAGGAUGAUGCAGGGAGGCCGGGGCAACUCCCACGUGCAGCUGGAGCUCCUACCGCCGCCCGCCCGUGAUGUUUCCUUGGUUCCAUGCUUGAUACUGCUACAAGAUCAGUUGCUUUGUCUUUCAACUCCUUCCUGAAUCUUAAAAUUGUUUCGUGAGGGUCAAUUUUGUUCAGAGUUUCAUGUGACAAAAAUUGUGUUACGUACCUGACUCGGCGUAACCCCCAUCGAUGAUGAGAUCUCGCUGAGAUGAGGACGGCGUCGAGGAUGAUGGUCUUUGAUCCGACCCAGAGUAUUGCAGUACCAGGUAAGGAAAAGAGUAAGCUAAGAUGUGGAAGAACUUAAGAGGGAAGAGUUUGAGAAGGAGAAGAAUAAGAGUAGAUAAAAGAGGAGAAUAGAGAAGGAGGAGGAGAUUAAGUCGAGAAGAAAAUCAAUAUCAAUAUCAUUCAUAAUUCCUUCUAGGUUACAUCUGCCUCUUUUAUUAUCUCGUACAUCAUACUAAAAUGAAAAAAAUAUCAACUCCUAGGUAAUAAACUGAAAUUAAGAAAAAAUCAAGAGUGUGGGCCAGUUGGCCUUAAUUUGUAAGGCCGAUGCACUAUGUCGUCAAAACCUGUUUUAUUGCGUUCAUGAUUCUUGAAGAUCUUGUUGGAUAUUUACCGGCUUUCUAAUAUGAUUUCGUCAUCCAUGUAGGAAUGGCUUGUAGAUUGCUGCGGGUGAAAUUUUGGUUAUGGAUGUUGAAACUAGUGAUCAUCUGUCCUUGUGUUUGAUGAUUCUUUGUUAGUUGUAUGAGAAGAUUGUAUUUUGAUCUCACUUGGUGCAUGCUUUUAAAGAGAUCAAGCUUCGUGUGACGCAAGAAAUUUACCAUCAAGGUAACCAGAGCAAACAUAAAAAAUAAAAAUCAUACUUAUCCACAAAUUAAAUAUUCAAGUAAGAAGAAGAUACUUAUACGGAGAGAGAUUGAAGUAUGAGACAUUACUAAUGCAUGAGAUGCAGUGUGAAAAGCAUCUCAAAUUGAAAGCAUCGGUUUAUUUUUAAUUCUGACUUCGUUGAACCGUUCUUUGUCCGGAUUGAAAUAAAAUAAAACCAUAUGGAAACACAAUAUUUAUACAACAACGUGUACGUCAGUAUGUGCAAUUCAACACCAAUAGGGAAAUUAAUUAAGCAUGAAUUAAUUGUUGUUAAUUGCCGUGCUGAUCCAAAACCAUUUUAUCUAUUUCUAUUCAACCCCCAGGAAUCUUUCAACCUGCACCAUAAACGUACAAAAAUAUAUAUUAUGUAUAUUCAUAUGGGCAUGCAUGUUAGCUUAGCUAAUAUCUCCAAAGACGAAGACAAAAAAUAUAUAGGCCCUUCGAUUGAUAAGUAAUUAUUAAACUAAAUUUCUCUAUAUAUGUUGGCACCGAGUCUUUGAUGCAUGCGCUUCAUUGCUUUAAUCUCUCAACACUCCUUCACAUUGCUAUUUCCUGUUGCCUUCUUUCUUUCUUCCUCCGCCCUUCGGUAUGUAUACAAUGGUUUAUUUUUCCUCGAAACAACUUAAUUAUUUUGAGAUUAUUUUUUCUGUUUUCGGGACAGGGUAUUCAAUUAAGUGCAUUUAGUUGCAUGCGCGCAUAAGCUAGCAUAUUUUUGUUUAAUUCAUUUGCCAUACAUAAAUAUGCUUUACUCUUGAGUUUAAUGGGAACUUGCAUACAUACGUAUACCAAUGAAUGAAUAGUACAUGCAUGCAUGGCAUGUUCCUUUUCUCAAAUGUCAAGUAAUUAAAUGCGUAUAAGGGUGAAAACAAUAAAAAUGUUCGGUUUAUGAUCAAUUGUUCGUAGAAAAUAAAAGAUUCAGAGACUAAGGAUUUGAUGCACUUUGAUUGCUACUGUUUCCUCUAUUUGUCACCUUCUAAGCUUUUUGUCAUUAAAUCAAGUAUCUAAUUUUUAUGUUUUAUCACUUUCAUUUAUUCUUCAAAACAUCAGAGAAUUGUGGAAUAAAGAAUGUUGGUACGUAGCCUCGACCCGCAAAUUAUUCAGUCUAUUUUGUGAUGGACAGUGUUUAAUUAUUACAAAUUUAUAUGUGAAUAGUUUCAUAGCUAAUUUAUUAAAGAGUAAAUGAUUGAUAUAUCGAAAUGGAUCUUGACCUAAUAAGUUUAAGCAUUUAAGGCUAGAUGAGUUAUAUCAAAUAUGCCAUAUUCUUCAAUCUAUAUAUAUUCUUGGAUCCAUGUAGACUUAGGAGAUAUUUUGGCAGUUUUAGAUUACUCGCUUAAGUGGUGUGGUUGAAUCGAGUUACUAGCUCACACGAACAUGACGGACUAAUGGAAAGAGGUCAAUUUAUAUAAUGCGAUAUGACGGCUUAAUGCAAUCAAAAUAGUUGGAUCAACAAAUUAAGCAUGUGUUAGGCAUAUAAGCUCUCGAGAGGCGUAGGUUCGAUACAUCGGCUUGGACGAUCACUGGAUUUGCAUUAGGUCAAAAGUCAUUAAUGGCAUGGCGUGCGUAAAGAGUAUUGACUUAGUGCAAUGUUUGAGGACAUUGUUAAAAUUUUGUACAUAAUCAGUCUCGCAUCAAAUAACUAAUAUAAAACGUAAAUAAUCUAUAUAUACAUACCAGUGAGCUCAAAGCUAAUUAUAAACCUAAACUUUUUGGUUGAAUAUGCAUGAAUGUGUUCUGCAAAAUUUGUCACAUUCUUAGAUCUACUGGACUUGAGCUAGGGACCUCUUUUUACAUGGCCUGAUUAAUAUUGCUGGAAAAGCGUCUUUGUUGAAGAUAAUUAUCGCGCAAAGGUACUGGGAAUUGCAUCGUGGCGAUGCCAAUCAAUUGAUCAUCUUAAUUAUGAGCGUAAUGCAUUGUCAUGAAAAUUUAUAAUCAUAUUGACCUACCAAUAAACUAAAAUCAAAUUGUUGCAGUCACAAAAGAUAAUCUCUAUACUUGGCAAAUUAUAGACAGCUAGUUUAAAUUCUUAAGAAAAUGCUAUUCUUACAAACUACUUCUACAACAAUCUAUAAUUUAAAAUUUAGUAGUUAGGUUUUAUAUAUUCUUUGUCUUAGGAACUACAACAAUCACCUCAUGAAUGGUACCAUUUUGCCAAUUAAAAAGGGCUACAUAAUUAAGCAAAUAUAUUAAAAAUUAUAAAAUUUAGGAGUAAACUUCAAAUACUACUCCUAUAGUUUCGCACUUUCUCACUUUACUACUCUAUGGUUUAAAGUGUACCAAUUUAGUGUUCUGUGAUUUCAUUUUUUUCUUUUCGUCAGUUUCUUUGUUAAUAUUUUGUUAAAUUAUAUACAAAAAACUUCAGAUACCCAUAUAGAUUUAUCAAAUAUUCACUUUAAUACUCUUUAGUUUUAACUUUAUUACUGAUUUAAGAAAAAAAAAAUAAUAAAAUUGAUAAUAAAAAGAGAAAAUAAAAUCACAGGGUACUAAAUUAAUACACUUUAAACCAUAGAAUAGUAAAGUAAAAAAGUGUGAACCUAUAGAGUGAUAUUUAAAGUUUUUCCUAAAAUUUAUCUGUAAGUAGAGCGUUACUCAAAUUCUUAGGAGCUGGCCGAUAUAUGGGCUGAAGAGCGUUACGAUCCGGACCGUAUUCACAGUUCAAGAACAUGUAGAGUGCAGUUUCGGAGUCCACGAACCUACGGCCCAUUAGAGACAAACUGGAAGGCCCAUUUAUGGAGGAUUAGGCUGGGCUUAUGGGGCCGAGCUUCUCCACCAGAAGGUCUACAACCCAAAUUAAUGGGCCUAAUGUUUGUAGUGGGUUGGAUCGACCACGUACAUCCAAACCAGAAACCAAAUCUAUAUAAUUAGCCCAGGCAUACGUGCCCUCGUUUUCACCAUGCAUGCAAAUUAGCUUAAAGAGCAACAAUAUGCAUGCAUGCCCUAGCUAGCUAGAAGUUGAGUUGAUCAACCUACGUGUCAAACGUGCUUGAUGGGUGAGAGACUCUCUCUCUCUCUCUCUCUCUCUCUCUCUCACAGAGACACACACACGCUCUUCUCUAGAGAGAGAGAGAGAGAUCUCACACGCACCGGCUUCUCUCUCUCUCAUUCGCACACACUUCUCAAGAGAGAGAGAGAGAGAGGUCACACACACCCACCCACCCACCUCUCUGUGUACCUCACAAACACACACAUAGACUUGGCAAACGGGCGGGUUGGGUAAUCUGCGGGCGGGUUAUUGUACCCGCGGGUUACUUGGGCAUGGAUAAAAUUUAUCAGCAAAUUUUUGGGUAGCCAACAUCUUUAUCCAUACCCACCUGCGGGUGGGUGGCUGGGUAUGCGGGUUACCCAUAAUUUUUAUUUUAUUUUUUGCUCUUAUAUUUUUUAAAUGCAAAACACAAAUAUAUAAAUUUUAAAAGUGUAAUAUAAUUUAUUAUUUAAAAUAUCAUAACAUACAAUAAAAAUAUUUAAAGUCUUAAAGUAAAAAUAUUUCAUAAUAUAAAAGACACGCAAUGAGAAAUUAGGAUUAGAAUUUUUAUGAUGGAUAAAUAAAAAAAAAUAUUAAUUAAGAAAAUAUAUUUGUAAUUAAAAAAUAUGUGUGGGUACCUGUGGGUACCCGCGGGUUAUCCAAAAUACUCAUAGCUUAAUAGGUACCCAUCCGUUUUACCCGUAAUUUUUUGGGUUGGAAAAAUUAGUAUCCAUACCCGCAAAUUUGUGGGUAACCCGUGGGCACCCGCGGGUUUGGGUCGAAAUUGCCAGGUCUACACACAUACACACACUUCUCUCUAUAGAGAAGAGAGAGAUCUCUCACAUACCCGCUUCUCUCUCUCUCUCUCUCAUACGAACACACUUCUCUAGAGAGAGAGAGAGAGAGAGAGAGACUCACACAUACACACCCAACCACUUCUCUCUCUACCUUACACACACUUCUUUCUAUAGAGAAGAGAGAGAUCUCUCACAUACCCGCUUCUCUCUCUCUCUCUCUCUCAUACGAAUACACUUCUCUAGAGAGAGAGAGAGAGAGAGAGAGGUUCACACAUACACACCCAACCACUUCUCUCUCUACCUUACACACACCUCUCUCUAUAGAGAAGAGAGAGAUCUCUCAGAUACCCGCUUCUCUCUCUCUCUCUCUCUCUCUCUCUCUCUCUCUCUCUCUCUCAUACACACACACACUUCUCUAGAGAAAGAGAGGCUCACACACACACCCACCCACCUCUCUCUCCCUCACACACACACACGCACACACACUUCUCUAGACAGAUAGAUCAAUAGAGAGAGAGAGAGAGAGAGGUGGGUGUGAGAUCUCUCUCUCUCUCUCUCUCUCUCUCUCAAGGAGAUUAAGUUGGUUGGUUUCUAAAUAGACACAAAAUUGACUCAUGCCCUAUCCUUUGUUCAAAAGAGAAGAACACUGCUACGCUUAAUUAUCUCAAGUUCCCUUAGAUAUGGAAACGGCACAAUCAGUUAAUUAGCUAGUGCUUUUUUGGUAUAACUUUUUAAAUAUUAAUUAAUCUUAUUCAACCACGGCGGUUUCUUACCUCAUCGAUAUAAUAGAGGGAAGCCUUCUAGGGCAUGCACAAUCUAAAAAUGUUACUCAUUCUCAAUUAAUCAUUAAUUAAUUAGAAGCUACUUGGUCAACACAAAUGCAUUGUCAUCAAACACAAAUAAUAAGAAAGCAAAGGACAAGAACUGUAAUCAAUAUUCAGUAAUAUUAAUUACUGUAAAAGACAAUGUAGUCAAGUUACAGAAUCCUGCAAACGACUUAGAAAUUACCACAUUCAUUUUUUGACCCAUAAAUUUGUACAGAGCCCCACCACAACCAGGAUUACAAGACACUAACUAUACAACAACAAAGCCAAUGUCCUCCUAAAACCUUUCGGAAAACAAAGCCAGUAUUGAUCGAUCGCCUAUUAUAUGUGGAGACAGAUAAAAUAGACCAAAACAACAUUAACGAUGACAACAACAACAACAUCUCUAGCAAUCUUUCAUAAAAACUCUCAGCAAGGUCCCCCAUAGACAACGUUUUGGAGGUAAAUAAUCACAGUAAUUAUGUGUAGCCCAAAACCGAGAUUAACUUCCAUUCAUUUGGUUAUGAUUGAAGCGAUAAAUUGAAGUUGAUAGAAGUUCACUUCUAUCUGAAAAUACGAUUUUUAUGUUAUGUCUACUUAAUCACCCCAACCAAACGUUCCGUUGGCUAAGAUAGCACGAUGAAGAGCAUCACCGCCCCCGCCAUGAUCAUAACUAUUUGCAGCAGCAAACUAACAGAGUAAAAGAUUUCAACGAUCGAAGCCCACAUUUCGCCGUGCUGCGGUUCAAACAUGAGGCCUAUCCAGAUCAGGCCAGAUUCGAUGGCCAAGAGCUGAAAGAAUGCGCAGACCCUUAUCCCUAAACUCAUGUGGUCUUGCUGUGGUGCGAUCCCCACACUUGCCACGCAUAUGGCUGCUAGUAGGCCACCAUUGAACGAGACCAGCGUUGCAAUGCCGUACCUCAUCACACCCGCAUAGCGUGGGUCAUGGUAUAAGGGUCGAGCACUAGUUGGAUCUCUCAGGCUGAUACCAAUAUCCUGGGUGAAGUAUACACAGAUAGGGACGAGCACCAGCAAGAACACGCCUACGACCAAAGUUUCCAAGAACUGCAUGGCAAGCGCAGCGGCUGAUAGCCCGAGGAGGACCAAAAUAGCAGCGCUGCUGUAUCUCACAAAGCUUAAAAGGCUCCCUCUCCAAAAGGAGUAAUGAACAGUUAAGGGGAUGGAGGUGACCAUCAUAACAAAGAUGCCAACCAUGGUGAUCAGGAAGAAGAGACAUAGCGCAAGUUGGAAACUUUGCAAUGCUUGGAGAGGAGGGCUUUUGAAGGAAGCAUAAAUCAUACCCGUUUGUACGGUGAUGGCCAUUGUUGCAAUAGUAGUAGCGAACUUGAAGGCCUUCUUCUGCUCCGGUUUGUAGCUGUUGAAGAUGUGCAGCAUGCAUGUUAAUUGAAAACACCGUUAACCCUAAGCUUUUAGAGGCUGCCAUCACCCCUCAAAAAUGAUCUAAGUAUUAGAUUAGCCGAUUCCGUUAUCUAUUAGUAAGUUUACCGAUGAAAAAAUGACCUAAGCUCAUGUAUGUUUCAAAUUAAAGAGCAAAUUACAGCUUAGUUUUUACAUGAACAUAUAGUUCUUCAACUUUUCAAAGCAAAAUUAUUUCCAGCAGUCAAUACUUUUUUAACAAAUAGAAUUAGAGGAACAUAUUACUGCCAGGUUUUUUUGUAAAAAAAAAACACUAAAUUUAGUACCCGAGUUGACAUGCGAUAAACGCACAAGCUAAUAAUUUGAUACAUUUAUAAGAAGUUCAUGAGAUACUAAUUCAGUUCACCUGAGAAGAGUAAGAGUAAAAGUAAAAAAAGUUUUAGGCUAACAGUACUAUCGAAACUUAUAACAACACAUUAUGUACCUUUCAUGGUUAACACUGUCGCGGUCGUGAACAUUUUGUGUAGCUCUAUAUCCAAGGAAGCAUAUGAUAGCUAUGACAGGAAUUACAAUAAGACUCAUCCCUGCACUGUCUUUGUUCAGGAGUACUAAGGAGAAAAAGCUUGUCACAAUUAAAAGAACAGAAGAUAUGGUAAUCGCGCUAAUCAGAUAUAUCUUCUGGUUUCGGUUGAUUCGAUUAUAACGUCCGAACAGAAAAAAGGCAUACAUCAACAACAAGAUGGGGCAUUGAAGAGUGGGCCAGAUGAAGAAAUUGUAGGCUUUGAUAACUGUGGAGGAAUAUUGCAUGGCUCUUAUAUCUUUAGCUCCAUUUAAAAAUGCUAAGAGUAUUGCAGAAGCCAUGGUUAUUAUCGCAACUGAGAAAAAUAUGAUUCGUUUCAACUGGUCCCUAACAACUUUAGUUUGCUGUUCAUUUUCUCCUUCAUUUCCUGAUUCCAGUUGGUUUAUCUGCAGUUAGGUUAAACAAGUAGUAAGUGUUUUGUAUGUGCAUACAUAUGUAUGUAUGAUUAAUUGGUUAGGCCACAGCAAAUUAACAAACAUAUUUAGAAGCUAGAGAAGAAGAGAGCUUCAUUUUAUAUAUAUAUAUAUCUUAGGCACCAUGAGAUAAUUCAUUAACCAAAAAAUUUACUAUUGGCAGGGUCAAAAGUUUUAUGGUGAAAAUAAAGAUGACAAUUCGAGACAUAUAAAACUUAUAGAUGCAUCACGGGCAUAUAAUUUUUACUACAAGAUGCAAAGAUUAUCAUAUCACAAGUUUAUAAACUCACAUCCAUGUAUACAUCUCAUCAUGUCUGUCGUUAAGAUGACAAAUCAACAUUAACCCACCAGUGUAGUCAGCUUAGUUUUUGAUUGGUCUUGUUUCAUGAAAAAAAAAAAAAAAAAAAACUUGGAAAUACUUGGGUUGGUAUGUUGCAGCUACUAUAUAUGGUAGGGUAUAUAGUUCUAAGUAAUACCACGAUAUGGUACCAUAAGAACCAAUAAGAAUAGUUAAUUACGAAUUCAUUGUUAAUAUUCAAUGAACCUGCAGUGAUGAUGCAUAGGAAACAAUAAUCUGAUCCAGAUAUAAUUAAACAGGCCAAUUAAUUUGGAAAAUCUUUUAGUCGAAAUCCAUUGGAUUUGCAUGUGGUGAACUCGGUAUCGGAUUUGGCCAUAAGAGAGAACGAGAAAUUAAGCGCGAAAUACUAAAGAAAAGAGAAGAAGUACAUGUGUUAUGAGGUCGAGAAGAUCUUUUGUGAAGGGUUUAAUAAGCUAAAAACGAUACACAAAAGAGAGAGAGAGAGAGAGAGAGAGAGAGAGAGAGAGAGAGGCGCCAUGAAUAUCUCUAACUACCGAAAAACCUUACCUUUUCAAAAAAAAACAUCUGUACUCAUUACUUGAUUUUGGAAAGAAUUUUUUUUUCUUUUUCUUUUUCUUUUGAUGAAAUGAAAGCAAUCAUCUGAUGUGGAGCUUUUAUAAGUUCAAAAAAAAAAAAAAAAAAAAAACUAAAAACUAAAAACCCUAAAAAACCUGCAAGCAAACAAAUAGCUGAUAAAAGAGAAAUAGGAUGAAACAUUUGAUGAAAUGAAACAGCAGCUGCAGGAGCAGAAGAACAAGACCUGCAGAGUAACUGAAUGAGAUUCCUGAGACAUUUUUGGUGAAUUGAAGAGAGAUCGGCCUUUUGAUUAUAUGCGAAUACGCAAACUAAAGGUAAAAAGCUCCUCCUCCUCUUCUUUUCCUCUUCUUCUUCCUCUUCUUUUUCUUCUUCUUCUUCUUCUUCGGAUUAUUUAUGUUGGUCAUUCCACCUAAUGCCCCACAUGAGGGGAAAAAAAAAAUCCGCGACGACGAACUCGCAAGCGACAAAGCGACUACCGCUGUCGGAUAUCCCCUGAUGCGAAUCUCAAAGCACAGUGUGGGGCAUGGAACGUGCUUUCCAUGGACAUAUGCCUUUGCAAUUAAGAUUUUUUGCUUCCCCCUCUUGGUGGGUCCUUAGCUAAUGGUGGGUGGGGGGAACCCCCUCCCCCACCCACCAAUUAGCUAAGCACACCAAGAGGGGGAAGCAAAAACUUUAUUGCAAAGGCAUAUGUCCAUGGAAAGCCGUUCCAUGCCCACACUGUGCUUUGAGAUUCGCAUCAGGGGAUUCCGACGCGGUAGUCGCUUUGUCGCUUGCGAGUUCGUCGUCGCGGAUUUUUUUUUUCCCUCAUGUGGGGCAUUAGGUGGAAUGACCAACAUAUAAUCCGAAAGAAGAAGAAGAAGAAGAAAAGAGGAAGAGAAGAAGAGGAAAAGAAGAGGAGGAGGAGCUUUUUACCUUUAGUUUGCGUAUUCGCAUAUAAUCAAAAGGCCGAUCUUCUUCAAUUCACAAAUGUCUCAGGAAUCUUCAUUCAGUUACUCUGCAGGUCUUGUUCUUCUGCUCUGCAGCUGCUGUUUAUUUCAUCAAAUGUUUCAUCCUAUUUCUCUUUUAUCAGCUAUUUGUUUGCUUGCAGGUUUUUUAGCGGUUUUAGUUUUAGUUUUUUUUUUUUUUUUUUUUGAACUUAUAAAAGCUCCACAUCAGAUGUUGUUCUUUUUUUCUUUUGUGAGGUUUUUUACAUCAAAAGAAAAAGAAAAUAAAAAAAAUUCUUUCCAAAUCAAGUUAUGGGUACGAUGUAUAUAUAUGAAUCUGCAAUAAAGUUUUUUUUUUUUUUUUUUUUUUUGGAAAGGGUUUAGGUUUUUUUUAUUGGCUAUAUGUUGUUUUUGGCGUCGUCUCUCUUCUCCCUCUCUAGAUCUCUCUCUCUUAGAUCUCUCACUUUGCUGCUUCUUUUGUUUGAUUGUAGAUCUUAUAUUUUUUUUAUCAGAUUAUUCAUUUUUUUUUCUUUCGAACAUGAAUUUAUAACAGCUCCACAUCAGUUAAUUGUUCAUUAUUUUCUUUUGUGAGGUUUUCAAUCUAAGGAAGUGUGGAAAAAAUCUUUCCAAAAUCAAGUAAUGAUUAUAUUUUUUUUUUUGAAAGGUAAGGUUUUUCGGUUAGUUAGAGAUAUUCAUGGGCGCCUCUCUCUCUCUUCUCUCUCAUCUCUCUCUCUCUCUCUCUUUUGUGUAUCGUUUUUAGCUUAUUUAACCUUCACAAAGAUCUUCUCGAACUCAUAACACAUGUACUUUUCUCUUUUCUUUUAGUAUUUCGCGCUUAAUUUCUCGUUCUCUUUUAUGCCAAAUCCGAUACGAGUUCACCACAUGCAAAUCAAUGGAUUUCGCUAAAAGAUUUUCCAAAUUAAUUGGCCUGUUUAUUAUAUCUGGCAUCGAUAGAUUAUUGUUUCCUAUGCAUCAUCACUGCGGUUCAUUGAUAUUACAAUGAAUUCGUAAUUAACAUUCUUAUUGUUUCUUAGGUACCAUAUCGUUGGUAUUACUUGAACUAUAUACCUACCAUAUAUAGUAGCUGCAACAUACAACCCAAGUAUUUCAAGUUUUUUUUUUUUUUUUUUUUUCAUGAAACAAGACCAAUCAAAAACUAAGCUGACUACACUGGUGUGGUUAAUGUGAUUUGUCAUCUUAACGACAGACAUGAUGAGAUGUAUACCAUGGAUGUGAGUUUAUAAACUUGUGAUAUGAUAAUCUUUGGUCUUCUUAGUAAAAAUUAUAUGCCCGUGAUGACUCUAUAGUUUUAUAUGUUCUCGAAUUGUCAUCUUUAUUUUACCAUAAAAUUUUGACCUGCAUAGUAAAUUUUUGUGUAAUUGAAUUAUCUUCAUGGUGCCUAAGAUAUUAUAAAUUAUAUAUAUAUAUAUAUCAUAUAUACUAUAUAUAUUAUAUAUAUAUUAUUAUAUAUAUAUAUAAUAUAAAAUGAAGCUCUUUCUUCUCUAGCUUCUAAAUAUGUUUGUUAAUUUGCUGUGGCCUACAAUUAAUAUACAUACUAUGUAUGCACAUACAAAACACUUACUACUUGUUUAACCUAACUGCAGAUAAACCAACUGGAAUCAGGAAAUGAAGGAGAAAUUGAACAGCAAACUAAAGUUGUUGGACCGUUGAAACGAAUAUAUUUUCUCAGUUGCGGAAUAAACAUGGCUUCUGCAAUUCAUCUUAGCAUUUUUAAAUGGAGCUAAAGAUUAAGAGCCAUGCAAUAUUCCUCCACAGUUUAUCAAAGCCUACAAUUUCUUCAUCUGGCCCACUCUUCAAUGCCCAUUUUUUGAUGGUACUGCCUUUUUUUCUGUUCGGACGUUAUAAUCGAAUCAACCGAAACCAGAAGAUAUAUUCUGAUUGCGCGAUUACAUAUUCUUUCUUUUAAUUGUGACAAGCUUUUUCUCUUAGUACUCUGAACAAAGACAGUGCAGGGAUGAGUCUUAUUGUAAUUCCUGUCAUAGCUAUCAUAUGCUUCCUUGGAUAUAGAGCUACACAAAAUGUUACAGACCCCGCGACAGUGUUACCAUGAAAGGAUACAUAAUUGUUUGUUUAAGUUUCGAUGAUACUGUUAGCUAAAAUUUUUUUACUUUUACUCUUACUUUCUCAGGUGAACUGAAUUAGUAUCUCAUGAACUUUUAUAAUGUAUCAAAUUAUUAGCUUGUGCGUUUAUCGCAUGUCAACUCGGGUCAUAAAUUUAGUGUUUUUUUUUUACAAAACCUGGCAGUAAUAUGUUCCUCUAAUUCUUAUUGUUAAAAAAGUAUGACUGCUGGAAUAAUUUUUUGCUUUGAAAAGUUGAGAACUAUAUGUUCAUGUAAAACUUAGCUGUAAUUUGCUCUUUAAUUUGAAACAUACAUUGAGUGUAGGUCAUUUUUUAUCGGUAAACUUAUAAUAGAUAACGAAUCGGCUAAUUAAUACUGUUAGAUCUUUUUGAGGGGUGAUGGCAGCUCUAAAAGCUUAGGGUUAACCGGUGUUUUCAAUUAACAUGCUGUGACAUCAUUCAAGCAUACAACCGAGCAGAGAAGGCGACUUCAAGUUCGCUAUACUAUAUGCACAAUGGCCAUCACCGUACAAACGGGUAUGAUUUAUGCUUCCUUCAAAAGCCCUCCUCUCCAAGCAUUGCAAAGUUUCCAACUUGCGCUAUGUUUUUUCCAUUCCAUGGUUGGCAUCUUUUGUUAUGAUGGUCACCUCCAUCCUUAAUGUUCUCUAUCCUUUGGAGAGGGAGCCUUUAAGCUUUGUGAGAUACAGCCGCGCUGCUAUUUGGUCCUCCUCGGGCUAUCAGCCGCUGCGCGUGCCAUGCAGUUCUUGGAAACUUGGUCGUCAGGGGUGUUCUUGCUGGUGCUCGUCCUCUAUUGUGUAUACUCACCAGGAUAUUAGGUAUCAUCCUGAGAGAUCAACUAGUGUCGACCUUUUACCAUGACACGCUAUGCGGGUGUGAUGAGUGUACGGCAUUGCAACGUGGUCUCGUUCAAUGGUGGCCUACUAGCAGCUAUGCGUGGCAGUGUGGGAUCGCACCACAGCAAGACCACAUGAGUUUAGGAUAAGGUCUGCGCAUUCUUUCAGGCUCUGGCCAUCGAAUCUGGCCUGAUCUGGAUAGGCCUCAUGUUGAACGCCAGCACGGCGAAUGUGGGCUAUCGAUCGUUGAAAUCUUUUACUCUGUUAGUUUGCUGCUGCAAAAUAGUUAUGAUCAUGGCGGGCGGUGAAAUGCUCUUCAUCGUGCUAUCUUAGCCACGGAACGUUGUGUUGGUGGUGAUUAAGUAGACAUAACAUAAAAUGUAUUUUUGAUAGAGUGAACUUCUAUCACUUCAUUUAUCGCUUAAUCAUAACAAUGAAUGGAAGUUAAUCUUCGGUUUUGGCUACACAUAAUUACUGUGUUUAUUAUACUCCAAAACGUUGUCUAUGGGGGAACCUUGUCUGAGUGUUUUUAUGAAAGAUUGUAGAGAUGUUUGUUGUUGUUGUCAUCGUUAAAUGUUGUUUUGGUCUAUUUUAUCUGUCCUCGAUAUAUAUGGCGAUCGAUCAAUACUGGCUUGUUUUCCGAAGGUUUUAGGAGGAUGCUUUGUUGUUGUAUAGUUAGUGUUUGUAAUCCUGGUUGUGGUGGGCUCUGUACAAAUUUAUGGGUCAAAAAUGAAUGUGGUAUUUUAAGUCCGUUUGCAGAUUCUGUACUUGACUACAUUGUCUUUUUACAGUAAUUAAUAUUACUGAAUAUUGAUUACAGUUCUUGUCCGUUGCUUCUUAUUAUUUGUGUUUGAUGCAACUGCAUUUGUGUUGACAAGUAGCUUCUAAUAAUUAAUGUAUUAUGAGAAUGAGUAACAUUUUUUAGAUUUGUGCAUGCCCUAGAAGGCUUCCCUCUAUUAUAUCGAUGACGGUAAGAAACCGCCGUGGUUGAUAAGAUUAUUAAUAUUUAAAAAGUUUAUACCAAAAGCUAGCUAAUUAAGCUGAUUGUGCCGUUUCCAUAUUCUAAGGGAACUUGAGAUAAUUAAGUAUGAAGUGUUCUUCUUUUUUGAACAAGGUAGUGGCAUGAGUCAAUUUUGUGUCUAUUUAGAAAACCAACACUUAUCGUCCUGAGAGAGAGAGAGAGAGAGAGAGAGAGAGAUCUCACACCAACUCUCUCUCUCUUCUCUCUCUUUGAUCUAUCUGUCUAGAGAAGUGUGUGUGCGUGUGUUGUGUGUGAGGGAGAGAGAGUGGGUGGGGUGUGUGUGUGAGCUUCUUUCUCUAGAGAAUGUGUGUGUGUGUAUGAGAAGAUAGAGAGAGAGAGAGAGAGGAGAGAGGAGAGAGCGAGAAGCGGGUAUCUGAGAGAUCUCUCUCUUCUCUUUAGAGAGAGGUGUGUGUAGCGUAGGAAGGAGUGAAGUGGUUGGGGUGUGUAUGUGAUAACUCAUCUCUCUCUCUCUUCUCUCUCUAGAGAAGUGUAUUUCGUAUGCAGAGAGAGAGAGAGAUAGAAGCGGGUAUGUUGAAGAUUCUCUCUUCUUCUCUCUAGAAAGAAGUGUGUGUAAGGCUAGAGGGAAGUGGUUGGUGUGUGUAUGUGUGAGUCUCUCUCUCUCUCUCUCUCUCUCUAAGGAGAAGUGUGUUUCGUUGGAGAGAGAGAAGAGGAGAAGCGGGUUAUGUGAGAGAUCUCUCUCUUCUCUAUAGCAUGAGAAGUGUGUGUAUGUGUGUAGAUCUUGGGCAAUUUCGACCAAACCCGCGGGUGCCACGGGUUACCACACAAAUUUGCGGGGUAUGGAUACUAAUUUUUCAACCAAAUUACGGGUUAAAGAGAUGAGGUACUUAUUAAGUUAUGAGUAUUUUGGAUAACAGCGGGUAACCCAAGGUACCCACAUUUUUUAUUUACUUCAAAUUUAUUUCUUAAUUUAAUAUUUUUUUUUAUUUAAUCCAUCAUAAAAUCUUUAAUUCGCUAAUUCUCAAUUGCGUGUCUUUUUAUUAUGAAUAUUUUUACUUUCAAGCUUAAAGUAUUUUUAUUUGUAUGAGUUAUGACUAUUUUAAUAAUCAAAAUUACUAUUAACUUUUAAAUUUAUAUAUUUGUGUUUUUGCAUUUAAAACAUAUUAGAGCAAAAAUCUAAAAUACAAAAUUUAUGGUAACCCGCAAUACACAGCCCGCACCCGCAGAGGUUGGGGUAUGGAUAAAGAUGUGGCUAACCAAAAAUUUGCCUGAUAAAUUUUAUCCAUGCCAGUAAGCGCGGGUACGUACAAACACCCGCCGCAAUUACCAACCUGCCGUUUGGCCAAGUCUAUGUGUGUGUUUGUUGAAGGUACACAGAGGGUGGAGUGGCGAAUCGCAGGUGUGAUGUGUUUGACCUCUCUCUUCUCUCUCUUGAGAGAGUGCUGUGCGACUGAGAGAGAGAGAAGCCGCGUGGUGUGGAUUCUCUCUCUUCUCUCUAGCGGAAGAGCUGUGACUGUGUCUCUGUGGAGAGGAGUGAGAGAGAGAGAGAGAGAGGUCUCUCAACCCAUCAAGCACGUUUGACACGUUAGGUGAUCAAUACUUCUACGCUAGCUAGGUAUGCUGCAUUAUUGUUGCUCUUUAAGCUAUUUGCAUGCAUGGUGAAAAACGUAGAGGGCCGUAUGCCAUGGAGCUAAUUAUAUAGAUUUGGUUUCUGGUUUGGAUGUACUAGUGGUCGUUCCAAGCCACUACAAAACAUUAGGCCCAUCUAAUUUGGGUUGUAGACCUUCUGUGGUGGAGAAGCUCGCCACCAUAAGCCCAGCUAAUCCUCCUAAUUUGGCCUUCGUUUAGGUACACAUUCACGACUCUAAUUGGUAGCAAUCGUCCAUAGGCGCUUUCGGUUGUGGACUCCGAAAAUGCCACUCUACAUGUUUCUAUGAACUGUGAAUAGCGGUCCGGUGUACGCUCUUCAGCCCAUAUAUCGGCCAGCUCCUAAGAAUUUGAGUAACGCUCUACUUACAGUAAUUUUAGGAAAAACUUUAAUAUCACUCUAUAGGCUUCAACUUUUUUACUUUAUAUUCUAUGGUUAACAGUGUAUUAAUUUAGUACCUGUUGAUUUUAUUUUUUUUUUAUUAUCAAUUUUAUUAUUUUUUUUUUCUUAAAUCAAGUAAUAAAUUAAAAACUAACAGAGUAUUAAAGUGAAUUUUGAUAAUUAUCUAUGGGUAUCUUGAGAAGUUUUUGUGAUAUAAUUACAAAUUUAACAAAGAAACUAGGCGAAAAGAAAAAAAUGAAAUUCACAGAACACUAAAUUGGUACUAUUUAAACAUAGAGUUAGUAGAAUGAGGAAAGUGCCCGAAACAUAUGGAGUAAGUAUUUUGAAGUUUACUCCUAAUUUAUAAUUUUUAAUAUAUUUGGCUUAUUAUGUGUAGAGCCUUUUUAAUUGGCAAAUGGAUUACCAUUUUCAUGAGGGUGCUUGUUUGUAGUUCCUAAGGACAAAGAAUUAUAUAAACCUAACUACUAAAUUUAAAUUAUAGGAUUGGUUGUAAGAAGUAGUUUGUAGAAAUGAUUAUUUUAAGAAUUUAACUAGCUGUCUAUAAUUUGCCAAGUAUAGGUUAUCUUUUGUGACUGCAUACAAUUUGAUUUUAGUUUUUGGUAUAGGUCAAUGAUUAUAAAUUUUUCAUUGGACAAUGCAUUACGCUUUAAUUAGAUUGAUCAAUUGAUUGUCAUCCGGCCACGAUGCCAAUUCCCAGUACUCUUGCGGACUCACGGAUUAUUUCAACAAAGACGCUUUUUCUAGCAUAUUCAUCAGCCACUGUAAAAGAGGUCCCUAGCUCAAGUCAGUAGAUUCUAAGAAUGUGACAAAUUUUGCGAACACAUUUCAUGAUAUUCAACAAAGUUGUAGGUUUAUAAUUACGCUUUUGAGGCUCACUGGUGAUGUAUAUAUAGAUUAUUUACGUUUUUAUUUAUUGACUGCGAGGACUGAUUAUGGUCAAAUAUUUUACAAUGUCCUCAACAUUGACGCUAAGAUCAAUUAUCUAUUACGACGCCAUGCAAUUAAUGACUUUUGACCUAAUGCAAUCAGUGAAUCGUCAGCAUGUAUCGAACCUUACGCUCUCUGAGAGAUUAUAUGCCUAACAAUGCUUAUUUUUGUGAUCCACUAUUCUUGAUUGCCAUUAAGCCGUCAGUAUGCAUUAUAUCAAAUAUGACCUGGUUUCCAUUUAGUAUCCCGUUCAUUGUUGUGAUGAGGAGCUAGUAAUCGAAUUUCAACCACACCACUUAAGCCGAGUAAUCUUAAAACUGCCACAAAUAUUCCUAGUCUACGAUGGAUCCAAGAUAUUAUAGAUUGGAACUUAUGGCCAUAUUUGAAUACAUCAUCUAAGCCUUAGAAUGCUUAACUUAAUUAGGUCAGAUCAUUUCGUUUUCAAUAAUUUACUCUUUAUAAUUAGCUAAUGAAACUAUUCACAUUAUAAAUUUGUAUAUUAAACACUGUCCAUCACAAAAUAGAGGGCUGAAUAAUUUGCGGUGUCAGGGUACGUAACCAAAUUCUUUAUUCCACAAUUCUCUUGAUGUUUUGAAGAAUAAAUGAAAGAUUAAAACACAGAAAAUUAUACUUGAUUUAAUGACAAAAAAGUUAGAACGGUUGCACAAUAGAGGAAACAGUAGGCAUCAAAGUUGCAUCAAAAUCCUUAGCUCUUGAAUCUUUUAUUUCUGCGAACAAUUGAUCAUAAACGAAUUUUUACUUGUUUUCACCUAUAAUCGCAUUAAUUACUUGACAUUUUGACAGAAAGGACAUGCAUGCAUGAAUGUACUAUUCAUUCAUUCGGUAUUACUAUGUUUGCAAAGUUACCAUUAAUCAAGAGUAAACAUGUUUAUGUAUGGCAAAUGAAUUUAAACGAAAAAUAUGCUAGCUUAUGCGCAGCGAUGAUAACAUGCACUUAAUUGAAUACCCACUGUCCCGCAACAGAAAAAUAAUCUCAUAAUUAAGUUGUUCUGAGGAAAAAUAAACAUGCUAUAUACGUAAGGGUCGGGAGGAAGAAAGAAAGAUGGCAACAGGAAUAGCAAUGAUGAAGAGUGAGUUGAGAGAUUAAAGCAAUGAAGCGCAUGCGUUAUUUCAAAGACUCGAGUGCAACUAUAUAUGGAAAUUUAGUUAUACAUUAUCAAUUCGAAGGGCCUAUAUAUUUUUUUGUCUUCGUCUUUUGCGAUAUUAGCUAAGCUACAUAGCAUGCCAUAUGAAUUAUCAUAAUAUAUAUUUUUGUCACUUUAUGGUGACAGGAUUGAAGAUUCCUGGGGUUGAUAAAAUAGAUUAAAUGCGUUUCUGGAUCAGACGGGGCAAUUAACAACAUUAUCUCUGCUUACAUUAAUUCCUCAUUGGUGUGAAUUGCAAUAUGACGUCACCGUUGCUUGUAUAAAUAUUGAAAUGCUUUCCAUAUGGCUUUUUUAUUUAUUUUUCAAUCAGGCAUAAGCAACGGUUCAACGAGUCAGAAUUAAAAAUAAACGAUGCUUUCAAUUUGAGAUGACUUUUCACACUGCUCUCAUGCAAUUAGUAAUGUCUCUACUUCAAUUUCUCGCUUGGUUAGUAUUUCUUCUUACUUGAAUAUUUUAUUGUGGCAUAAGUUCGAUUUUAUUUUGUAUGUUUGCUCUGUGUUCCAUUGAUGGUAAAUUUUUGGUCACACGAAGCUUGAUCUCUUUAAAAGCAAUGACAAGUGAGAUCAAAUACAUCUUCUUACAAUAACAAAGAAUCAUCAAACACAAGGACGAUGAUCACUAGUUUCACACAUACAUCAAAUUUCACCCGCAGCAAUCUACAAGACCAUUUUCCCAUCAUGGUGACGAAUCCAUAUUAGAAAGCGGUAAAUAUCAACAAGAUCUUCAAGAUCGAAUAAACGCAAUAAACAGGAUUUUGACGAAAUUAGUGAAUCGGCCUUAAAUAUAAAGGACACUGGCCUCCACACCUUGAUUUUUUUUAAUUUCAGUUUAUUACUAGGAGUUGAUAUUUCUUUUAGUAUGAUGUACGAGAUAUAAAAGAGGCAGGAUGCUAACCUAGGAUAGGAAUUAUGAAAUGAUACCUUGAUAUUGAUUAUUGUUUUCGAAUUAAUUCUCCUCGUCCUUCUCUAUUCUCCUUUGUAUCUAAUCUUAUUCUUCUCUUCCAAAUUUACUCUUAAGUUCUUCCAAUUCUUAGCUUACUCUUUAUCCUUACCUGGUACUGCAAUAUGGGUCGGAUCAACGGCUCAUCCUCGAGCCUCCUCUCUCAGCGAGAUCUAUCAUCGAUGGGGUUACGCGAGUCAGGUCGUACACAAUUUUUGUCACAUGACACUCUGAACAAAUUGACCCUCAGCGAAAAAUUUUUAGAUUCAGGAAGGAGUUGAAAGACAAGCACUGAAUCUUGUAGCAGAUCAAAGCAUGAAGACAAGCGAAACUCACGGGCGGGCGGCGGAGGGAUGGGCUCCAGAUGCAAGUCGGAUGUUGCCCGCCUCCUGCAUCAUCCUACAAAUAAUAAUCAAUAUUAUAUGUAUAUUAAAUGAGGAGCCUGGGAUGAACGAAAGUAUUAAGUUAAAAAUGGCAGAGCCUUUACUAUUUUACAGUCGAAACAUUAUUUUCACCUAAUUUUUGAACCUAGAUCAUGGCCUAAUAUUACAGUAAUAAUUAGUCGACGCAAUAUUCUUCACUUCUACAGAAUAUUAUGUUGUUGUUGGCAAUUUCUGUUGCGGGUGCCUCCAUGAUAAAUUCGAGCACUUCGCCUACGCAGCUCACGACUUGCUAACCUUAUCCUCUCAGCUGCAUGGUCUUCAAUNNNNNNNNNNNNNNNNNNNNNNNNNGACCCCCCCCCCCCCCCACCCUUCACAGCCGUUCUCCAUCUUUGACCUGUGUAUAUAUUCGCUGAAAGAAAACAAGGUUAAGUGAGAAUCCAAAUGGACAGAGAUCGAAAACAAAAUGAUAAAAUUUUUCAAUAUGUUUGAUUCGGAAUAACAAUUGGAAGAAUCAGUAUGCUUGAUUCAUGCUUUCAAUACUUAAAAUAUUUUGAUUAUGAAAAAUAAUUAAAAUAAAAAUAAAAUUAAAAUACAAAAUAUAAAAGUAAAUUAAAAUUGAGUUUGCACCUAAAAAUAUAUAAUUUUUUAUAAUUUAAACUCAAAGUAAAAGUUAAAUAUUAAAAAUUUACAUCAAAAUAUUGAAAUGAUAAGCCAAGAUUUUAAAUAUUAUUUUUAUAAAAGUUAAAAUUUAAAAUUGAAUGGAUAAUUCAAAAUAUAAAACUAAUUUUUGAUUUGAUUAAAAUUCAAACUUACAAUUAGAUAUAAAUAUAAAUUUACAGAUCAAAUUUAAAAUACUUGAUUGAAUUUAUAUUUUAAUUUAAUUUCUAAUCCAAAAUCUAGAAUUAAAAAUUUAAUUUCUAAAUUUAAAUUUUAAUUUUAAUUAAAAAUUAAAGACAAAAAAUUAAAAUUAAUCUUAAAUAAAAAAUAUAGAAUAUUAUCGAGAUGUUUUUAUUAUAAAGUGGAUUCUUUUCGUGUUGGUUCAACUUUCAAUCCGACCUAAGAGGCCGGAUUGAAAAACAGGUGACCAGGGUAUUCACAUUCAUCCAAAAAUCGGAAUCGGAGUGGAGCUCCCAUAUGUCAAACACCUAUGAAUAGAUUCGUCCAUUCCGAUUCUAAUUUUUGAAUGAAAAAGAUGCAAAUCAAACAUCCUUCUAAAGGCCUUUAAAUAAGAAAUGGCAGAUAUUAUAACCAAUUUUUGGAUUGUAAGCUUAGCAUUUCUCUUAACAAUAAGAGCAUCCCACACUUCUUAAUUAGUAGUCUUAUAGUUAACUCUAUAGGAUUUUUGUGCUUCACCCCUCUCUCUCUCUCUCUCUCUCUCUCUCUCUCUCUCUCUCUCUCUCUCUCUCUCUCUCCCCUAGGAAUUUUAUUUUGUCGACUCAUCACCAAGUUCGGUCCAAUUAUUCCAUUAAUCAUGCGAGAAACUCUAGUACAUGAUAAGGAUAUAUAAAUGUUUAUAUUGAAGUAAUAAAUGUGACUCAAAUUCGGUAAUGAAUUAAUUUAGAAGAAAAUUAAUUUUCAAACUCAUAAAGCCAAUAGAAAAACAUCACAUAUAUGACCCACACGUAAGAAUGAGAUGAGGUGAGAGAGACUAUCGCCGUGGGUUCCAACUGUUAAGAAUAUGCCUUUUUUUUUGAACUUGGAUUGAAUCAAAAUAAUUAACCCAUUAAGUUGGUUCAUAAAAGAUGGCGUAGACUAGCUAGGUCCGCAGAUUACAUCAAAUUGAUUUUAAGUUUAUUCUAUUGGUGCAAGAUUUUAUGUUUAUCUACACGAGUACUAGUCUAAUUAGCAUGUUGAGGCGUGUUGCAUGUGUGGGAAAAUUAAUUAGCCUUGGGCUAAUUAAUUCACAGCCUUUCGGAGGACGUACGCAGCAAGGAGGAAAGACCUUAAUUAAUUAAGAUGGUCCAUCCGUACGGUAGAAGACCGCACCUUUGCAUGCGACAUCGGAUGGAGUCGGCACCUUUGAAUGCGACAUCGGAUGGAGUCGGCAGCAGGAGCGGAGGUUCUCGACCAAUUGUCUGAGCGGUUUGGAUUUUUCGAAUCAACGACAAAAGGAAUUUGUUCAGAUUUUCUAUACUAUCUCAUUUUUACGAAAAAGAAAAAUCGGUAUUUUUUUGGAGUUCUUGUUGGAACAAAAAAGGUAGAAUUUAUUAUAAGGUUCUUGAUUUCUAUCCGGAGAAGGCAUAAGGUGUAAGCUUGUAUUUCUAUUUUUUCAUACAGUGAAAUAUAUCUCUUUCGCUUUUUUCGUGAACGUAGGCAAUUGCUGAACCAGAUAAAUUUUGGUUUCUUCUUUCUGUAUUUAUUUUUUUUUAUCGUUUGUUUGGUAUUUUUUUUAUUUUUUGUAUAUCUUUGUUGGUAGCGCAUGACGGAUGAUCCAUCCGGCCGCGGUUCACACCAACGUGGCUGUGAUUUGUUUUACUUCCCUCUUUUUUCCUUCAUAAAAAUAACAAGGAAAUCAUUAUGGACCUUCUCCAUCAAUCACCACUUCUUUUUUUUUUUUCCUUUUUCUUUUUUUUUUGAGAAAAUCUCUAUCAAGGUUUUGAAAAUCCAAAUUAAAAUGUCAUAGCUAGCUUAAAGUUUCGAGCACAGUCCCAUUACUAGAUAGCUAGGUUGAAGAAGCCAAAACAUAAUUUUGAACGCGUCCAUGGACCGCGCAAUAGAAUGGACGUGAGACACGCACAACGUAUGUGAGUAUAAGUCCAAUUAAGCGUCGUUGAAAAGUCAAGUACGUAAUGAAACAAAAAGAAAUUAGCCUCUGGUAGUGCCAAUGAGAGGGCAUCGUAUAUCUUCUAUCUGCUUUGAAUUCCGUGAUGUAAACAACAUAUAUAAAUAUAUAUAUAUAUAUAGAGAGAGAGAGAGAGAGAGAGAGAGAGAGAGAGAAGAGAGAAUCUAAGCUACACAAAUUAAAAGAUUUUAAUUUUUCAAAAGUUUUAACUUCAAGUAUUUAAAGUUAUUUGCAAAAAUAAAAAAAUAAAAUCUCGAAUUUUCAACACUUGCUUCUAUAGAUUAUUUUGUCCCUUUUCUUUUUUCUUUUUUUUUAACCUAAAGAAAUAAACCAUAUAUAUAUAUAUGUAUAUGCUCUGAUAAAGAUAAGUAUGAGCAAAAGUUGGCUCAAUUUAUUAGGCUUCGAGAAAGUUAGGUUGCAUGCUAAGAAGUGGGUGGGUUCGUUCUCUAUGACCCAUCUUUAUCUUUGUUUUCUUCACAAGGCAAUAUAAUUCAAUGCAAAAUAAUUCAAAAUGGUCAUGUAUGAGUAUGAAUAUCAGGUUUUAUCUAAUCUUAUACGCCAUAUAAAAGGAUUUGGGCGGUUUAUAAUUUGCUCUGAGCUAUGACUUUGUGCUUAAUUGUAACGACAUCUUACGUACCGUUUUUGAUUGAAUAAAUUAAGUUCUUCUUCGAUCAUUAAAAGAAAAAAAAAAAAAAGAAAAAAAAAGAAAAAGAAGAUCCAGCUGGGGCCUUGGGCACACCAUGCACGGAACUAAGUACGAGGACGUGUAGGACAAUAAAAUCAAGCAGGUAGAUGCUGCAGGGGUUGUUGGAUCUCUCUCGCUUUCGCUACUAAUUAAGUUACAUCAUGGGAGGGGCCCAUUCUUUAAUUUGUCAAACUCCACCACUCGUAUUCCACGUUGAAAUAGACCUCUCUCUUAGUCAAAACUCCAUCACUUCCACUUGCAUUAAUUCAAUGUUGAAAUAGAGAGAAGUAAGUUAACUAUUCAAGAAUAUUUUAGAGAAUGUUUGCGUUUGGUUAUAAGUAAGAAAUUUUAUUUUUUGCUUCUUUAGAAUUUUUUUUUUUUUUUUUUUAUUUGCAGAGAUAGCACGCUACCCGGCCUUCGUUUCUUUAGAAACUUGCUGUCCAUAAUUGUUAGAUGACGGCAUAUUAAUUUGCAUUCGAUGAUAAUUUAUCUUGUAGAAAAAUGACUUGAAUUCGACUAUCAUAUAUCUUUUUUCUCCUAAAUAUUGAUCAUAAUCGCUUAUCAAUUAAAUUAAUGUUCAAACGCUACAAAUUUUGUUGAGUAAAUCAGAAGAUAAACUGGCACACGAUUUUCACGCAGAGCGUUAGUUUCAGUUGAAUUUCGGAACAACUUAUCGGUGCAAAGUUUCUUGUGUGCUAAAUUUAUUUUACUCCCUAUAGAAUUUUCAUCCAUAAUUUAAUCAGAUAACAUAUUUCACUUGCAAAAUGAUUUAUCUUAUUUUUACUCCUGAUAGAAAUUUCCAUCCAUAAUUUUGAUAGAAAACAAUUCGCAUGAAAAAAAUUAAUUUAUUCCGAAAAUUGAUUAAAAGUUGAAUAUGUUGUCUUUAUUUCUAUGUUUAAUCACAUUCUUAUCUACAAAAUGUACAAUUUUGAGUAAAUAAAAUUACAUCCAAAUAAGUAUAUUUUAUAAUUCCAAACUGACCUUAAUCAAAUCACUAAUAAUUGCAAGUGCGUAUAUAUACAUUAUUUUAUAUUAAUGUAUCACUCAGAAGAAGAAUCUAAUCCUAAUAACCGCAUGGUUAUUAAGACAAAGACUCAAACUUUGUGAUAAAGAUACCACAUGGCGCGCACAAUACCUCUAAGAUAAAAAUAAAGAACAAACUCUUUUAACUUAUAAUCAUGCGAACCUAAUAAUUUUGAUCCUAUCAAUAACUUUUUAGAAGACCAUUAAUUGACCGUUACUAACCAAGCGGCAAAGUGCUGAAUCGAUUCGUAUAUCCAAGAUGUUGCAAAAUACAAAUCUAAUUUACUCAAUAUUUAACUUAAAAUUUAUUUUUUUAUGCCAAAAUAAAAUAACAAUAGUACGUAUAUUCAUUUCUACGAAGGCCAUGCACCCGCGGGGAAAUCCAGAUUCGCGCUUCGAAUCUCUGAUCCCAAUGACGGUGUCAAUUAGAAUUUUGGUUUACUUAACUCUACGCGGAGGUGUGGGUUCAUGAGUCGACGAUCGCAGAUUUAAGCUGUGGACAAGACCAACAGAAAAUUUUUAAAAAUGAAAAAUAAUAAUAAGAAAAUAGAUACAAAGAUAUUAGAGUACUAGUGUGAAACCGCGCGAUGCAGCGCGGUAGAUAAUAAAAUUUCAACAUUUAAAAUUUAAAAACUAAAAUUAUAUUUUAGAAUUUAAAUACUAAUUUUUCUAAAUUAUAAAAUUUGGAAUGAAAGUUAUAUGGCUCCAAAACAUCACUAUUCUUCAAUAAAUUGUGUCUAGAAACUUUAAAAUUUUACCAAAUUCUAAAAUUCAUACUAUAAAUUUCAUGCUAUAAAGUUCAAAAUAAAAUAAGUCUCUUACACAUAUCUAUUAAAUAUCUUUCAAAUAUUAUAAAAAUUAGAUCUUAUGAUAGUUUUGCUGGAAAAAUCUUCACUUCUCUUCUUCAUCCGAAUCAGAAGACUGGAUUAAAAUGCAAAUAAGAGUACACAUUCAAGUUAUUUAAGGUAAUAUUUUAAAACUUCUUAUGAACAUAAUUUUGAAAAGUAUAUAUAGAAAACAAUGUUAGUAAUUAAAUUUUUCCUGAUGAAACAAUUAAAAUUACUAUCUACUAUGCUUAAAAAAAAAAAAAAUUCUAUAUUACCUGAGCAUUCUUUUUUUUUCCUCUUGAUUUCCUCGCAGUUUUCUCCAACUUGUUAUUUGAGCUUCUCAUUUGAUAAUUUCAAAAUUGUACAUACAAAAUAAUUAAAAUAAAUAAACAAAUUAAACUUGACGAAGAUGGAUUAAUUAGAAGUCUUGUGGAGGAAAAGUGAAGGAUCAUAAUAAAUUAAUUAGAAAUAAAAUGGUGAGAAUUAUAAAUGACAGGGGGAAUAUUUAAAUACAUUAAUUGGAAGUUUAGUAGUGGGCCAUUUUAGAUGUAUUAAUUAGAUACGUUAAUUAAAAAUUUAAUAGAGAAUUUAAAUACAUUAAUUGGAAGUUUAGUAGUAGACCAUUUUAGAUGUAUUAAAUAGAUACGUUAAUUAAAAAUUUGAUGAAGAAAAGGCGAAGAAUCACAUGGUAGUGAAGGUGAAAAAAAACUUAACAUGGAACCAUUUAAAUACAUUAAUUGAAAGUGUAGUAGUAGGCUAUUUUAGAUGUAUUAAUUAGAUACGUUAAUUAAAAAUUUGAUGGAGAGAAAGAGAAAGAAUCAUAUGGUGGUGAAGGUGAAAGAAAACUUGCCACGUGGCAAAACGUAUUGUGGAUUCAUAUAAUUUAAUAGAUUAAUAGAUGUCUCCCUCACAGUCACGCGUAUACAAAUAUAGAGCAUUAAAUCUUUUUAUUUAUUUAUUAAGUGGUAUCUUAAUUAAAUUUUUAUUAUUUUAACAGUCGAUCGAAUGAAGUUGUUAGUUUAACAAUUAAAUAUAAUAUUAAUAAAUUGAUAUUUUGUUAGACGUGUUGAUGCAAUUGAUCAAUAAUUAAUUACUAGCAUGUUUUCGUUGGGCCGUAUUUAUUCGACCUUAAGUAUUUAAAAAGAAAAACCCUUUGGGCUCUAUAUAUAUACCACGCAAUUUUGUACUAUAGCUAACUACAAUUGGCCCGUAGGACCUAGUUCCAAAUAGGCUCGAUUAUACACGACCCUAACUUGAAUUUAAGCACAACCAUUUGUUACUAACUUGAAAUGAGCUGUACUGGCUCGCCAAAAGCCAAAAGGGGACGUACAUCCUACACCUCGCCUACUGGAUGAAUAGAGUGUAACUUGUACACCUCUGAUGGAGUGUACAAAUAGCAUUUUUCUUCUUCAGUAACUAACGUCCUUGACGCGUUUAGCUUCUUUUGGUAUCCUAUUCAUGGAAGUUCCUCCAACCUAAUCUCCGGAUUUUGCUUUUUAAGUCCAAGUGAUCCCAAUUAGAUACUACAAAUUUCAUCAAACAUCUCAACGCUUUACUCUCUUAGAUAUCUCUCUCAUGUGUUGCCUCAAAACUUUUAGGGUGCGUUUGGUUCGCAUUAUGAAAAAUUACUAGGAAUAAAAGAUAUUCUAGAAUCUUAUUUCUAUUCAUUCUAUUACUAAGAAUGUGGAAUUUUUAUGUUUGGUUCGCACAGUAAUAUUAAUUAGCCAUAUUAUUUAAUAUUACAAAAAUUAUAUAAUUAAUUAAUUAAUUUAUUUAAUUAAUUUUAGAUAAUGUUACCAAAAGUUUGAAUAUCUUUUUAGAAAAAAGGGAGAAAGAGUAUAAGUUAGAGAGAGAGCAUAAUUAAAAAAAUAGAAAGAAAAAUAUAGUCGAAAUUAGAGAGAGUGAGAGAGUUGAAAUUUUAGAAAGGAGAGGGAUGAGAGAAAGCUUAGUUUAGAGAGAGAAAAAGUUGAAUUUUAGAGAAGAAAAAUAAGUUUAGAGAGAGAUUAAGUUAGAGUGUAACGAAAAAUAAUAUCAAUUAGCGGCGGGUAAGAGAAAGAAAAGAUUAGACAUAUUAUGAUUAUCUCAAUCCAUUAAUAUGAGGAUACCCACCACUUCCCUCAAAGGAAUGAGUUAGUAUCUUUGGGGUGAUCUUAUUCCCAAUGUGAUCCAAUAUUACCAACUAGGAUUUACUUAGUGCGUUUAGCCAAUACCGUCAUAUUUUUUUAUUCCAUUGGAUUACUAGAAACUUUUAUAAAAAAUAGCACGAACAAACUCACCUAUAUGGUAAUCUUUUUCCCGAAGACUGCUGAAAUAAGCUUUCUUAAUUAAUGUGACUCAAAUUAAGAUGCAUCCAAUUCUCAAAGUCAGGACAUAAAACGAGAAGCCGCAGCAACCAAACAAAACCCCUUCCUUAAUUUAUUUGCCACUGCUUCUCAUUGUUCUCUUCUUCCUUGUAUUUUUCUAUGGUUACAAUCCUAGGGACCACACUCCCUUAAUACCUCUCCUUUUUAUUUUAGCACUAAAACAAACAAAGAUCUAUAAUAAUCAUAUAUUAAAGAGGAUAUAUAUUUUAUAUAUGACUCAAAAAAAAAAAAAAAAAAAUUGUGUGAGAGUGGGAUUUGAACCAGCCCUUUCGGACCAGACCUUAAUCUGGCGCCUUAGACCAACUCGGCAUCUCAACUUUCCUGUAUAUUGUUUUCUUCGUACAUUCAUGAUAAUCUAUUUUUUCACGCAGUGAAAUUCUUGAACGGAAAGUAAAUCAAUAGAAAUUCCCACGGAUUAGAAUGAAAUUGAUGGAGGAUACAUCCAAAAAUGUUGAGGGUUACAUGGCAAUUUUACAAUGGGGUACGCAUACAACAGCCUCAUGGCAAAAUCCCCAGUUCCUUUGAUACAUGUGUGUACAAAGAUUAGUUCCUACGCACUAGCAUGUUUAGAAGUGCACAGUCUAUUUCACGCGGCUAAUCAGCUCACUCUCCGAGACCUCCCUCGGGCAGUUCGAAUGAAUCGAUCUCUGCGAAAUACGCUCUUGUUCUCCACAAAUCUGGUGGUAAAAUCGGCUUCCUCGAUAGCUUCGUAUGUAUUCUCACGCUGCUUCUGCAUAAAUAUCAGGCAAAAUAAGAAUUGCCAAUGCAUUAAAACAUAGUACAUUACCAAAGUGAUGUGACAUAAAAAUUCAUAGAACAUAUCAGAAGAAACAAAUGUAUACUAAAUUAUCUCUUUUGGAUACUAAGGUGCCUCAAUUUCCUUCUCACCAUACUGAAGAGCUAAUGUAAUUAAAUGGUCUACUCUUGUGAAAUGUUGAUUUAUUAAUCUUGGUUUGUCGCUCAUAAAGAGAGGAGGAAAUAAGUUGAGCGGCUCCCACUGUUAAUAGCCUACAUCCCUCGUAGGCUCAAAGAUCAAACUGCUCGCAACUAUGUGAACAAGAAUUCUAAACGUCAAUAUGAGAACCGACAUGAAAUAAUCAUAGCAAUAGCGAUGACCAAGUAGUGAUGCGUUUGAUUGAAAUUUCUUUUUUUACAGUUAGCAGUAGAAUCUAGAUAUUUGUAUGGUGAACUACAUAGAUAUUAACAUUUGCUGUUCAAAGCAUAUGAGAUUCAUCUGGACAACUGGACCUAUAUCAACUAAUCUGACAUUUACCUUCUACAAAUCACUGAUCAACAUUUUUAUGCUCCCUAUCUUUAUUGCAAAAUAAAAAAAAAUUCUAAAAAAGACUAACGGAGGUUUUAAUCAGAAUAUCUUAAUGUUGCAGAUAUUUAAUGAAGCUUAUAUAAGCCAUGUAAUCAUAACCAAAAGGCCUACACUAUCGCUAUAGUUUCUAGAAGAUAACAAUGUUUUUGACUGUUUAUCACUCACAAAGCUUUCUUACACACAAGUUUUAUCUGAUAGUAUUUUCAAUUCAAGAAAGCAGCCUAAAGCAUUAAAUUUGCUUUUUUCUUUUUGAGAGAGAGAGAAAGGUAGCAACUAUAUAUAUAUAUAUAUAUAUAUAUAUAUUAGAGGAAGAUGAAUAGUAGGACAGCAUGCUUCAAUAGUGCAAUGUAGCCAAGCAACAAUCCAUAACAUCUCCAAUUUUAAUUCUCCCUUUUACUCUAUGGACGGAGAUUAAUUGAAGGUGAGACAUAAUAAAUAUUGAUGUACCGAUUGGUCUCCAAGAAGCAGCGCAAAUAUGUUCAAAUGCCCGCAUGCUGCUAAUUGUUUCUUGAUAUCUAAUGAAAGCAUCCCUUUAUUUUUAAUUCGACUUUGUUGAACUUUCUAUAUAUUCCGGAUUAAAUAAAAUAAAAACCAUAGUGUAGCUAGCUAGAAACGCAAUGUUUAUACACAGGUGUACGUCAGGGAAAUAAUUUAAGCAGAAAUUAAUUGUUAUUAUUAAGUGUCGUGCUGGUCCAAACCAUUUCUCUCUUUCUAUUUCAAUUAACCCCAAGUUUUUCUACAGGAAUCUUUCAAUCUGCACAUAGAUUAGAAAAUAUCUAUUAUGUAUAGUUACUAAUUGUCACUGUAACUAUCGCUUAGCAUAGUAUAAUCCAAGACAAGGAAGAAUGAAUUAAUAUAUAGGCCCCGCGAUUGAUGUAUAGAUCUAUUUGUCACUCAGCUAAUAGCAAUAAAUCCAAAGACAAGGACGAAGAGUAUAUAUAUAUAUAUUAUUAUAUCUUAUAUAUAUAGAGUGAUCUAGGAUACUUUUAUAAGUAUAUUCCCCAUGUUGUAUAUUACGUUUUUAGCAUUGGAUUCUAUUUUGAUUACAAAUAACUUGGAUCAACACUAUUCCCUACCACACCUACUCCCAUAUCUCAACCUCACAUCUCUCCAUCCAAGGGCUAAAAACACAAAGUAUCACUUGGGUGAUACUUGUAAAAGUAUUCUAGCCUACUACAUUAUUAUAUAUAUAUAUAUAUUAUAUAAUAUAAUAUAUAUAUAUAUAUAUUAUAUAUUAUAUAUAUAAUAAUCUGGACUAUAUACUAUUAUGAGUAUUGGAGCCUCGUACUCAUAAGUUGUUUUCGAUGAUGGAGCUUCCGAAUCGACGAUCCACUUGUUAAAUAUGAUCUAAAAUAUUUUGAAAUUUUUAGAAAUAAUUUCGUAACUUUUCGAACUAUAAUAAAGUCCAUCAAGCGGGCAUAAAAUGAACGGUCAAAAUCAAACGACGUCCUAAAAGGAUGAUCGAUCCUUCAAUUCAAGAUCGGAGUUAUUGAUCUUUAUCUAGGUAUUGAAUAGAAUUUUUUUAUCAAAAAUUCAAUAAAUUCCGAUUCUUUUACACCAUUAAACUAGCAAGUAUUCCAUACCGACCAUUAAAAAUUGUCCAAAUUUUGUGACCUUUGAUAGUGAGGUAAAUGAUGUCGAAAAUUAUAAAAUUUGAUUUUUAGGAGUUUUAAAUACUGUAAAUAACGUUUUAACGGUGUGGAUCGUCGAUUCGGAAGCUCUAAUCAUCGAAAACAACAUUAUGAGUACGAAAACGAUCGUACUCAUAAUAGGUAUAAUAGCCAGACCCUACAUAUAUAUAUAUAUAUAUAUAUAUAUAUAUAUAUAUAUUUAUUAUAUAUAUAUAAUUAUAUUAUAUAUAGGCCCCGCGGUUUCUCUAUAUAUGUCGAUGGUACCAAAAAUUGAUUCAUGCGCCUCAUUGCUCUAUCUCAACGUUCCUUCACAUUGUUAUUUAGGUAUGCUUAUUCUUUCAUCCUUUCUCCGCCUUUGGUAUGUAUAAAAAUUUAUUUUUUUGUCCAAGGAAAUUAUUUUUCUCUUUGGGCAUAGGUAUUCGAUUAAACGCAUUUAGUUGGCAUGAAUCUAGCAUAUUAUUGUUUAAUUUAUUUACCGUACAUAAAUAUGCUUUACUCUUUGAGUUUAAUGGGGAGACUUUUGCAUACAUACAUACAUAUAUAUAUAUAUUAUAUAUAUAUAUUAUAUAUAUAUUAUAUAAUAUAUAAUACUUAUUAUAUAUAUAAUAUUAAUUAUUAUAUACUAUACAACAUGCCGAUGAAUGAAUAGUACAUGCAGUUCCUUUUCUCAAAAUAUCAAUAUUCAAGCGGUAAAAGGGGGGGGGGGGGGGAAAUUCUUGAGUUAUGAGCAAUUGCUCGUAGAAAGUAAAAGGUUCAGAGAUUAAAGAUUUGAUUCACUUUGAUUAUAUAUAUACCUUCAUGUACCCUGGUAAUCGCUACUGUUUCCUCUAUGGCUUAUCUUUAGGGAUGCCAACAGGACAGAUUUAGGGGCUGGCGCUCCGCCUCCUGCCCGAUUAUCAAAAUUUCGCUCCGCCUUUCGCUCUGCAUUUGUGACAGGUUAAAAAAAUAUAUUUUAAUUAUAAACCAUCUUCUGCCGGCGCCCCGAAUCCGUCCAAGCUAACUAUUAAUUUUUUUUUACAAAAUAUAAUAUUAUUAAUAUUUUUUAAUAAUAAUGAAUAAUAUUGUUAAAUUAUAUAUGUAAUUAACAACAUCAAUUAUAAAAAUAAAAAGUAUUAAUUAUAAUUUAAAAUAAAAAUUCAAAUAUUUCAAAUACAUGAAAAAUAAGUGUGUAAACUUAUUUGUAUUUUAGACUUUUUUUUUUCUGAAUACAUUAUUUCUUGGGAGUAUUUCCUUAAAAUAUACACGGUUUUGGGGGCUAAUUCGGGGUGGCGGGGCGGAUUCUGAGAGGAUUAAAUUUUUUUAUUUUCUAUCCCGAAUCUGUUGCGGAUCACCAAAAUCAUUCCAAUUUUCUAUCCGGAAUCUAUUUAUUUUUUUUUUAUUUCCUUGCCCCAUUCGGAGGAUCGGGGUAGGAGCUGCACCGCAACCGGAAUCCCUUUGCAUCCCUAGUCACCUUUUUAAGCCUUUUGUCAUUAAAUCAAGUAUCUUUACUUUCUGUUUUAUUGCUUUCAUUUUUCUUCAAAACAUUAGAGAGUAGGGGAUCGUAACUCUCCGAAAAAAUAGCAUCGGAUGUGAUGGUUUGGUGACUUAGGUUGCAUGCUUAAGUGGCGUGGUUGAAUUGAGUUACUAGCUCGUGUGAACAAGAUAGGCUAAUGGAAAGAAGCCAAUUUAUAUAAUGGGAUACAAGUAUGACGGCUCAACGCUACCAAAAAAAUAGUUGGGUCAUUGUGUCGUGCGUGUAAACUCAGAUGAUUUCCGAGGGGGGCAGCUUAAGAUACAUCGGCUCGGAUGAGUGAAUUCGCAUUAGGUCGGAAGUCAUUGAAUGGCAUGUCUUAGUGAGUGACCAAAAAGGUCUACAGAUCUUGAUUGUGACUCGGCCGAACUAGCCUCACGCCACUUCUUCGAAUAUGACAAAGUUCAUCCCCUUCAGUGUCUUUGGCGCUAAUCAUUAAUUCCAAAAAUUCGAACUAUUAGAAAUACAUAGUUAACACCACAUCUACGGAUAUUAAUUAUGAUUCAGUCCAAUCAACUUCAUGCCAUUUCGAGCAUGAUUUGAUUUAACCUGACAUCCUGCCGUAAGAAAGAAUGCUGGCUUAUUAAAGCCAACAAUUUAUGCAUAAAAAUAUUGCCGCAUAAUAAUUAAUAAUAUAAAAUAAAUAAAAAAAAUAAACGAACUAACGUGCUCAGAGCUAACAGACCUAAACUUUUUGGUGAAUGCGUUGUGGCAUCCUAGUAAUUAAAUUUUGUCACAUUUUUAGGUCUAUGUGGACUUGAGUUAGCCUUGGUCAGCCAGCCAUCGUGGACUAACAGUACAGGGUCCCACAUUGAUGGAAAUGUUUUUUGAGAAAAAGGUAGCACGCUACCCGCUUCACACAUUGAUGGAAAUGUUGAAGAUAAUUAUUGAACAAAGACACUGACAAAUAGCAGUUGGAUGGUGGCCACGCUGGUCAAUUAUCAAUUUACAGAUCUAGUGAAAUUAGUGCAUUAUCAUAAAAAUUUAUCAUCAUAUUGACCUGCCACUAAAACUAAAAUCAAAUUGUUGCAGUCGCAAAAGAAAAUCUCUACACAAGGCAAAUCAUGGACGGUGAGAUUACUUUGUCAGAAAAAUGUUAUUAAUUCUUACAAACAACUUGUACAAUAAUUUAUAAAAUUUAAAUUUAGUUGUUAGACUUCAUUCUUUGCCUUGUAAAUUACAACAAUGACCUCAUAAAUGGUACCUUUUUGCCAAUUAAAUAUUGCUACGUAACCAAAUGUGUAAAACGUUGUAAAAUUUAUUUGUAAAUAUAAAAUUAUCCAAAUUCUUGAGAGGUGCAUAUGAGGGGUAGGGGUGGAAACGAGCCGAACUCGAGCGAGCUUAUGUCAGCUCAAAUUCGGCUUGAAAUUAAUUUCGAGCCUAAAUUUAGACUCAAGCUCGGCUUGAAAUUAAUUCGAGCCGAGCUCGAGCGAGCCUAAUUUCGAGUCGAACUGAGCUCGAGCUCUAAACGAGCCGAUUGAAAUUCUCGACAUUAUAUAAUCAAUAGUUUAAUUUUUAUAGAACAUUACCUACAAUUUGAUGCAACAUGUCCAAUAGUUCAAAAUACAAAAUAAUUAUAAGAAAUGUGAGCUAGGGUGACUUCUUGACUCGAUGAGGGUCUGAGAGAGAGAGAGAGAGAGAGAGAGAGAGAGAGAGGAAAAAAAGUAGGGAUUUGAAAAUUUGAAUGUUAUCAUGUUUUAGGGUUAUGUGCAACAGUGAAAGUCUGAAAGAGAGAGUGUGUUAUGUAAAUUUAGAGUUGGGCUCAAUUGCACGUUUGUACUUGUUAGGUUUAUUUUAUGGGCCAACAAUAAUGGCCCAAAUUAAAUUAAAGCCUAUAUAUAAUUAAAAUACAUUAUAUGUAUAAAUAUUAUAUAUAUAUAUAGAGUCCGGCUACUAUACUUUUAUGAGUAUUGGCUACUAUACUUUUAUGAGUACUAGGGGACCACUAUCAUUCUAAGUGGGGACCACCAUCAUCCUAACCACACAUCCCAUCAAUCAACGGUUAAAAAUUUAUGAGUACAAGGGGGUCUAUACUCAUAAGAGUAUAGUAGCCCCGGCCUAUAUAUAUAUAUAUAUUCGAGCUUUUCGAGCUUUUCGAGCCUAAUUCGAACGAGCCGAGUAAUACUCAAGCUCGGCUUGAAAUGAAUUUCGAGCCUUUUAUUUUGUUCAAGCUCGGCUUAUUUAAUUUCGAGUCGAGCUCGAGCGAGCCGAAUAUCGAGCCGAACACGAGUCGAACGCGAGCCGGCUCGCUCGUUUGCCAGCCCUAAUGAGGGGCGAAGAGUGUUGCGAUGUGGACCAAAUGCAGAGUUUAAAAAACAUGUUAAGUGCAGUUUCGAUGUCCACGGAUCCACGGCCCAGUAAGAAAACCGGAUGGCUCAUUGAUAGAAGAUUAGGCUGGGAUUCUGGGGGCCAAAGUGCUCCACUAAAACCCAAACUAAUGGGCCCAACAUCCACCAGAGGAUACACAGAAGCCCACACAUACGUGCAAGGAGUUGAGUUGAGUUGAUCAACCUACGUGCAUGAAAGGUGUUUGGUUAAUUGUGGGGGGGGGGGGGGGGGGGGGGGGNACACGCGUCCUCUCUCUCUUUCUCCGCCCCGAUUCACACAGUACACACUAGAGAGAGAGAGAGAGAGAGAGAGAGAGAGAUCUCUUCACACGCACGCACACUCAUACACAGAGCUCUCUAGCUCUCUCUCUCUCUCUUCGUCCACAAUAUAUAUCUCUUCACACACACACUCACUCUCUCUCUCUCUCUCUCUUUCUCUCUAUCUCCUCGAAGGAGUUAUACACUUUCUUUUUGUUCAAACGAUAAAUGAAUAUUGCUAAGCUUAUCUCAAGAAGUAUCUUUAGAUAUGGAUGACAUAAUCAGUUAAUUCGCUAGUGACUUUUGUCUUAACUUUUUAAAUCUAAGUUUUAUUCAACCACGGCGGUCGCUUACCUUAUCCAUAUAAUUGAGGGAAACCUACCAGGGCAUGCAUGUUGGAAAAUCUUUCUGAUCUCUUAUUUAAUAUUCUUUAAUAAUAAUUAAAGAAUAAAUACCGUAAAGAAAAAGAUUAUAAAAGGCAUUUGGAUCGAGGCGUGCAGACCACUGUUGUAAAAGCGAAAUUGGCCCUCUACGUGCAAGACUUUUCGACAAUUACUUAUAGUGAUACAACGUCCACGUUCCACCUCGUCGGCACGCUUCCAAGGUGACACAAGAUGAACCCAACAAGCUUUGGGAGAACCAGUGAAAAUAGUAGAAAACUCGACGAAAACCAGUGUAAAAUAUUAAUAGCGGGAAGAAGCAUAAGUAGUGAUUAGGGUAAGCUCUCAUUCUCUAUUCAACUCAUCCACCCUCCUCCAAUAAAUAUAUACAAGGCAAAAUCUUACUCCUACUCAUUAAUUCCGUGUAGCAUAAGAUAAGCCUACGAGAUACGGAUACGAAUACGGAUUAGGAUUAGAGCUUACAAAAAAUAAAUAAACUCGGUGCCUGGACCGCACGCGUCGCCCGCCCGCCCCGGCUCGUGCUCGCAUGUGUUUAGCCGAGAGCUCUACUCUGAUGUUCUCUCAAACAACUAGCUUGAGAAUAAGGGAGUAUAUAAAGAGCCACACCAUGCCUUUGGUUUUCAAUGUAGUAUUAAACUUCUCAUGUGGAAACCCAAGCACGGACUCCCAAGCAAGGCUUAUAGAGAGUUGGGCUGCCAGGAACCCCAUGGGCAAAUUAGAAGUUUUAAAUCACUUUUAAUACCAACAAUGCAAGCUUUAAAAUGUUACUUAUUCUCAACUAAUCAUAUAUUAGACGCUACUUGGUCGAUACAAAUGCAUUGUCAUCGAACACAAAUAGUAAGAAAGCAAAGGAUAAAUACUCUAAUCAACACUUCUGCAAUAGUACCGAUUGUCCCUAGAGCAAGUGGCAAAGAGUUUGGUGGUUGGUAUCCGAGACCUAAGUUCGAAUCCUAGUUGAUUCACAUUUCUAACUAAAUUUAUUUCUAAAUAAAAUAAACGAAGCAGUUAGCGUGCUACCUAUCUCUCUCAAAAAAAGAAAAAACACGUCCGCAAUACUGCUGUACGUAAAAGACAGCAAAGUCAAGUUACAAAAUUAUGCAAACGACUUAGAAAUCACCAUGUAUAUAUACUUUUUCACCACAAACCGGAUUACAAGACACUAACUAAACGUGCCCUUGGCCUAAGAUGGCACAAGGAAGAGCAUCCCCGUCCCCGCCAUGAUCAUAAAUAUUUGCAGCAGCAAACUAACAUAGUAAAAAACUUCAAGGAUCGAAAGCCAUGCUUCGUCGUGCUGCUGUUCGCCAUCCUGCGGUUCAAACAUGAGGCCUAUCCAGAUCAGGCCGGAUACGAUGGCCAAGAGCUGGAAGAAUGCCCAGACUCUUAUCCCUGUACUCAUGUAAUAAUGCUCUGGUACGUCCCCCACACUCGCCACGCAUAUGGUUGCGAGUAGGGCAACAUUGAUUGAGAUGAGAAUUGCAAAGCCGUCCCUUAUCACACCCGCAGAGCGUGGGUCAUGGUAUAAGGGUCGAGGGCUAGUUGGAUCUAUCAGGCCGAUACCGAUACGGUCCUGGGUGAAGUAUACGCAGAUAGGGGCGAGCACCAGCAAGAACACGCCCGCGACCAAAAUUCCCAAGAACUGCAUGGCCAGCGCAGCGGCUGAUAGCCCGAGGAGAACCAAAAUAGCAGCGCUGCUGUAUCUCACAAAGCUUAAAAUGAUCCCUCUCCAAAAGGAGUAAUGAACAGUUAAGGGGAUGGAGGUGGCCAGCAUAGUGAAGAUGCCAACCAUGGAGAUCAGGAAGAAGAGACUUAGCGCCGAUUGGAAACUUUGCAAUGCUCGGAGCGGAGGGCUGUUGAAGGAAGCAUAAAUCAUACCCGUUUGUACGGUGAUGGCCAUAGUUGCAAUAGUAGUAGCGAACUUGAAGGCCUUCUCUCGCUCCGGUUUGUAGCUGUUGAAGAUGUGCAACAUAUAUGCAUGUUAAUUGAAAACCCCACCAUUAACUAUAACUUAGCUAGAGGCUGCCAUGCAUCACCCCUCAAAAAUGACCUAAAUAUAAGUUUAAUUAGCCGAUUCCGUUAUUUAUUUAGUAAGGUUACCGAUGAAAAAAUGACAUAAAUGUUAGAUCGAGUAUUCUUUAAACUCACGUAUGUAAUUCAAAUUAAAGAGCAAAUUACAGCUUAGCUUCAACUUUUCGAAGCACAACUUAUUUGCAGUAUUGAUACUUUUUUGACAAAUAGAAUUAAAGGAACAUUUUAGCGCCAAGUUUUUUUUUGUCAAAAAUCAUUAAAUUUAGUACCCAAGUCUUCUUUCUCUCAAUAAACCUAACAUCCAAUAACAGUGUGAGCAAAUUUGGUACAUUUACGAGAAGUACGUGAGAUACUAAUUGAGUUCACCUUAUAAGAAUAAGAGUAGAAGUAAAACUUUUAUCCGAAAAAAAAGUUCUAGGCUAGCAAUACUAUCUUUUUUUGGAGGAAAAAAAUAUAAGAUAUAUAUACUAUCUUUUCUCGGCUAACAAUACUAUGGAAACUUAUAAAUUAAAACAUAGGAUAUACCUUUCAUGGUCGGCACUGUCGUGGUCGUUAACAUUUUGUGUAGCCGUAUAUCCAAGGAAGCCGAUGAUAGAGAUCACAGGAAUUACAAUAAGACUCAUCCCUGCACAGUCUUUGUUCUGGAGUACUAAGGAGAAAAAGCUUGUCACAAUUAAAAGUACACAAGAUAUGGUCAUGGCGCUUAUCAGGUAUAUCUUCCGGUUUCGGUCGAUUGGAUUAUAACGCAUUGUGUAGAACAACAACAAGAUGGGGGAUUGAAUAGUAAGCCAGAUGAGGAAAUUGUAGGCUUUGAUAACUGUGGAGGAAUGCAUGGCUCUUAUAUCUUUGUCUCCCUUUGAAAAUGUGAAGGGUAUCGCAGAAGCCAUGACUAUUAUCGCAAGCAAGAACAAUAUGAUUUGCUUCAACUGGUCCCUAACCACUUCGGUUUGCUGUUCAUUUUCUCCACCAUUUCUUCCUCCCUGUUGGUUUAUCUGCAGCUAGAUUAAACAAGUAAGUGUUACAUAUAUAUAUAUAUAUAUAUAUAUAUAUAUAUUAUCGCAAGCAAGAACAAUAUGAUUUGCUUCAACUGGUCCCUAACCACUUCAGUUUGCUGUUCAUUUUCUCCACCAUUUCUUCCUCCCUGUUGGUUUAUCUGCAGCUAGAUUAAACAAGUAAGUGUUACAUAUAUAUAUAUAUAUAUAUAUAUAUAUAUAUAUAUGCAUGAAUUGGUAUGCAAAUUAUGGGCCACAGGAAAUUAGCAAACAUAUUUAGAAGAUAGAGAAGAAAGAGAGCUUCAUUAUAUAUAGAUUAGGCAUCAUGAGAUAAUUCAUUAACCAAAACUUUCACUUUUGGCAAGCUCAAAAGGUUUAUCACGAAAUGAAGAGCACAAUUCGAGAGAUAUAAAACUUAUAGAUGCAUCACAGGCUUAUAAUUUUGACUAUAAGACGCAAAAGUUCAGCACCACCCGCACCCCCCCAAACGUUCAGCACCAUCCACACAUCCCCCACCCCCCCAACAAAAGUUCAGCACCACCACAACCCCCGCCCCCCAACCCACCCAAAAGUUCAGCACCGGCCACCACCACCCAACCCAAAAAAAAAAAAACCCUAUGAUGAAAUGAAACUGCAGGUGCAGCAGCAGAAGAACAAGACCAUCUAGCUCUCUCUCAAAAAAAAGCGAAGAACAAGACCUGAGUAGUAAUUGAAUGAAAUUCGUCCGGCAUUUGGUGAAAUGAAGGGAGGCCUUCUGAUUAUCUGUGAAUACGCAAACUAAAGGUAAAAACCUCCUCCCCCUCCUCCUCCUCCUCUUUUUCUUCUUCCUCCCUCCUUCUUCUUCCCGAUUUGUGGGGGGUGGCUUAUAACAGAAGCAAAGUCUGAGUGUACGAGUGAGCAUUUUCGUAUAGCGUACGUCCGUGGGCCACUGGUUGGUGGGGAAAACUACGGGUGGAAACGAGCCGAGCUCGAGCGAGCUUAUCUCAGCUCAAAUUCGACUUGAAAUUAAUUUUGAGCCUAAAUUUAAGCUCAAGCUUGGAUUGAAUUAAUUCGAGCCGAGCUCAAGCGAGCCUAAUUUCAAGUCGAGCGAGCUCGAGCCCUAAACGAGCCGCUUGAAAUUCUCAACAUUAUACGAUCAAUAGUUUAAUUUGUAUAGAACAUUAUCUAUAAUUUGAUACAAAAAUAUGUCUAAUAGUUCAAAGUACAAAAUAAUUAUAUGAAAUAUAGUAUUAUAAUAUGAAAAAAAAUAAUUUAUGAGUUGAAUAUCUAAUUUUUUCAGAUUCACAUAUUUUUUCUUCCGCCUUCAAUCUCUAUAUUAUUCAUUUUCAUUUAUGCAGUCAAAAAUAAAAAAAAUUAUAUAGAUGAAUAUUGAAUUAAAUUAUCCAAUCAUAUAUAACUAAAAUUAAAAUUUUAUAUGAAUAAUAAUUUUUUACUUUAAAAAUAUUCUUGUAUAUUUUCUCAAGCAUACAAUUAUAGCAGGUAGGCAACGGCGGGCAUAUGAUGUUACGUGGUAACUUAGAGGGCUUCCGACUUGCUACUUAGGGUGAGAGACAGAAAAGAGAAAGAGAGAAACAUAUUGAAAAUUUAGAGCUCUGUGAAAGAAGAGUAAAGAAAGGAAAAAAUAUAUAAUUUAGUAAAAUUUUGCUCUUUUAUUUGUCUAUUAGGUUUGUUUUUAUGGCCAAUAUUGGCCCAAUUUUAACUAACUCAGAUUAUUCACUCAGCAUAUAUAUAAUUAAAAUAUAUUAUAUUUAUAUAUUUUUUAAUUAUAUAUAUAUAUAUAUAUAUAUAUAUAUAUAUAUAUAUAUAUAAUAUAUAUAUAUAUAUAUAGUGUAGAACUAUUAUGCUAUCGAAAAUAUAGAGGAUUUGAUGUUUUUGAAUUUUGACCCUUUGAGUAAAAAUUGUAUGGUUGAGAUGAUUGCGGUCUCCCUAGAAUUAAAUAAUACUAUUAGAAUUGAGUGGUCCCUACAAGGUAAUAAUAAUAUUAAUCCAAAGAUAAGAAACGAUAUAAGGGAUUGAUCUAAGAAUCAAAAAAUCGAAAGCACCAGAUUUCUAAUACUUCGAUAGCAUAGUAGCUAUAUAUAUAUAUAUAUAUAUAUAUAUAUAUAUAUAUAUAUAUAUAUAUAUAUAUAUAACACACUACAACAAAAACGUUCUAUAGCGACACUUUAAAUGUAGGUAUGUGUCAAAAAAGUGCUGCUAGCUAAAAUUAGCGACACUUUUAAAAAGUGUGGCUAUAUGUGGGGUCGCUAGGUAUAUAGUGACAGUUAAAGAGUGUCGCUAUAACCUAAAAGAGUGCUGCUAAUUUACCAAAAACUUAUUUAAGCAUUUAGCAACCGCCGAAAUCUAUCUCGUUGGCUGCGGUGGGGAGGGGACAACAGGAAAGGCUACUUCGUCUAGAAUUUCAGUGGAUUGAGUAAAGAGAGAUGGAAAGAUGGUAAUUAAUUUUUCUUUUUUUUUUCUUUUCUGUUUGUAAUCGGGUCAAAUGGAAUGGGUGUGGUGGGUUGACUAGAGCAAUCUUUUAUUUUUGGUUGGAUUGGGCUUUAUAUUUUGGCAUAAGUAGAUAUUUUUUUAAGUUUUAGCGUAAAUGGGACACUUACUCAAAAGUGUCCCAAACAUGUGUCCCUAUAACCUAAUUCUGUUGUAGUGAUAUAUAUAUAUAUAUAUAUAUAUAUAUAUAUAUUAGAGCUUUUCGAGCUUUUCGAGCCUAAUUCGAACGAGUCGAGUAAUACUCAAGCUCGGCUUGAAAUGAAUUUCGAGCCUUUUUUUUUGCUCAAGCUCGGCUCAUUUAAUUUCGAGUCGAGCUCGAGCGAACCAAAUAUCGAGUCGAACGCGAGUCGAACACGAGCCGGCUCGCUCAUUUGCCAGCCCUAGGGAAAACCCCUUUUUUGACUAAUGUAUACAAAAGAAUUGUGCUAAUCGGAUGAGGUGAGACACUUAAUUUGACUGUGGGUAUACACAUGUCUCUGAUUUGUUAUCUCUAUUUUUCUUCUGCUUAAAAAUAACAAGAAUAUAUGGAACUUAAUUCACCGUCAAUUAAUCUGCACCUCCUCUUUUUUUUUUUUUUUUUUCUUUGAGAAGAUCUCCUUCAUUGUUUUGAAAAACCAAAAAAGUUAUAGCUUUAAGCUUCUAGCACAGGUCCAUUACUAGAUCGCCAAGUUCAAAAGCCAAAGCGCAUAAUUUUGAAUGAGUUCACGGGCGUGGAGUUGAGCUAGAAUACUCUCAAAAGUACCAAGAGGGUGGUGCUUUUGAGUUUUUAGCUAUUGGAUGAAAAGAUGCAAAUUUGGAAUGAUGAUGGUAGAUAGUGAUAGAUGGUGGUGGGUAGAAUAGUGUUUAAUCCAAGGGCUAUUAGUAAUUUAAGAAUAGAUCCAAAAGCUAGAAAUUUAGAAGCACCAAAGGGUUGGUGCUUCUAAAAGUAUUCUAGCUCAAUUCACGGGCGUGACGCUUAUAUGCAUGCAUCAUCCGUCUGAGUGUAAUUCUAAUUAAGCGUUGUUGAAAAGUCAAUUAAAAUACAUAUGUUGGAAAAAUCUUUCUGAUCUUUUAUUAUAAUAUUCUUUUUAAAACAAUUUGAAAAUUCAAUUUCAGAUAUAGAAAACUUCUAAAACAAAAUUAAACAAAAAUAUUGAAAGAUAAGGUUUAGAUAAAGCCUGUGGAUCGAGACGUGCAGAGCACUGUCCUAGAAGCGAAAUUGCCCCCUCCACGUGCGAGGCUUCCCGGCAAUUACUCCUAACGAUACAACGACCACGUUCCACACCGUCGGCACGCUUCCAAGGCGGCGCAAGACGAACCUAACCAGCUUUAGAUCCAGCAACAAAAACUAGGUAAAAAUUAAUAGCGAGAAAGUAGAAAAAGACGAGAGGGUUUAGGUAUGCUUGGAUUAUUAUUAUCCAUAAACUCGUGCAACCUCACCCCAUAUUUAUAAUCAAGGCGAGAAUCUUGUUCAUCGCGUCAAAUCCGAGUAGGACAAGAUAAGCCUUAGAUUAUAUGAAAAAGAUUAGGAUUAGAAUAAAGAUAAAGAUAAGGAUUAAAAUAAGAUAAAAUCGAAAAAUAAAAUCUUAACAAGUUUUAAAUCAUAAAUAAAUCCAAUAAAAUCCAACAAUCCCCCACAUGAUUUAAAACUUGAAAUAAAGAAAGCAAAUAAACUGAAAUUCAAAACAAUUCAAAAGAAUGCUGAAUCUUUUAUACCAUGUAUUAGGUAAAGGUACCUUUUGGGUUUGAACCUUCACUUAGUGCUUGUCUAUGUACAUCCGAGGGCACAAUGGUGGACUUCGCCUUGAACCAAGGCUGGUGAAUCGGAUUUCCAUAAACAGCACACAUGGUACAGCUGUUUAGGUUCUAAACGGGUGAGCGCUUUACCGCCAUGCGUUAGUAUGACUUCGUGUGUGUUUUAGGGAAUCGCCCUCUUCCCAUAGUCGUAGCCUCACGACUCCACACAUAUAGUAAGUCCUCAAAAGGUAUCUGUAAGGUCAUACCCUGCCUUAUAGGUCUCGGAGCCAUUCAGGGCCAAUGCCCUUCCUAUCCACUUGCAGAUAUGAGCACUGUCGCCAUAGGGAUGAGGAUAUAAAAACAGUACUCCUCACAGCUACCUGUUCGACUUGUUUCUAUCCAUUGAAUCUGCAACAGAUUAGGUUGCCGUUGCCGGUAACUUCUAUUGUGGGCUAAGCCCCAUCCCCCUCGACGAUUCUAGGAUCACUGUUCUAGAUAAUCCCUUCGUAAGCUGAUCAGCCAAAUUUUUUGUAGAUUUCACAAAUUCCAAUUCAAUCACAUUUUCCUUCAAAAUCUGAUUGAGGAUAGCAUAUUUCACAAAUUCUAAUCCAAUCACUGUUCUAGUUUAAUUUUUUGCUUCUUCAGAAAUUCAACUAUUUAUGAUUUAUUAGGAUAGCAUAUUUCACCAUUGAGGUGAUCGAUUUAUCUUAUUAUAAAAAAUGACCUGAAGUCUAAUUUUUUUUNCACAUUUUCCUUCAAAAUCUGAUUGAGGAUAGCAUAUUUCACAAAUUCUAAUCCAAUCACUGUUCUAGUUUAAUUUUUUGCUUCUUCAGAAAUUCAACUAUUUAUGAUUUAUUAGGAUAGCAUAUUUCACCAUUGAGGUGAUCGAUUUAUCUUAUUAUAAAAAAUGACCUGAAGUCUAAUUUUUUUUUUUUUUUUUUUAUUAAUGAUCCUUAUCAGCAAAAGUUGAAAUUUUACAAAUUUGUACAUUUCAACUAUUUAUGAUUUAUUAGGAUAGCAUAUUUCACCAUUGAGGUGAUCGAUUUAUCUUAUUAUAAAAAAUGACCUGAAGUCUAAUUUUUUUUUUUUUUUUUUAUAUAUGAUCCUUAUCAAUCAAAUGUUGAAAUGUACAAAUUUGUUGAGUAAUUCAAAAGAAUAUACCAAAUAAGAUAUUUAACCAGCGUUACAUUAAAAACUAAUUUGGUAUAAAAUUUUUUAUCUACGGUAAGAUAUAAAAAAAAAAUAAUAAUUUUUGGUCCUCCAUAGGUUUUUCCAUCCAUAAUUUGAGAUCAUAAUAUAUUUCACCGACAAGAUAAUUUAUUUUAUUUCAAAAAAUUAACUAAAAAGUAAAUAUGUUAUUCCAUUUUAUACGUUUAAUCACACUUCUUAUCUACCAAAUACUAUAAUUUUUUAAAUAAAUCAAAAUUAUAUUCAGAAUAAGAUAUUCAUAUAUCUGAACAGGGCUUUAAUCAAACCACUAAUUUGCGGUCAGCAUAAGACAAAGGUUGAUACUAAGCCGAGUUUCAAAAUACUAAAUGGUUGGUAUUCAGGGUUUCAAAUGCUUCAUAUUUUAGUUAAUUUUUUUUAAAAAAAUGAACAAAUCAGUAGCAUGUUCUCAUUCUCUUAAAAAAAUUGAAUCAGACUCCGGUUAGAACAUGUAUGAAUCAGAUUCCGGUUAGAAUUUACGGACCCAAUGAGAUGUCAAUUGACCAAAUUUUUGGUUACCUGUUAAUAGAAUAAUAAUAAUAGUUUACUAAUUCUACGCGGAGAGCGGAGCCAUGCAUGAAGACAAAGGAGCCCACGUGCCCCGUCACGCGUCUACAGAGAUAGAGCUUUAUUCUUAUUCUUAUUUAUUUAUUUAUCAAGUCAUAUUAAUUAAAUAAAUAUUUUUACUAUUUUAACAGUCAAGCGAAUGAAGUUGUUAGUUUAAUAAUUAAACUAGUGUAGGUACCUGCGUGAUGCGGCGGAUAGUUACUGCUAAAGUAAAAAAUUUAUAAAUAAUAAAAUAUGAACAUAAGUAAAUAAAAUUAUAGUAUGCCAGUAUUAAAAUAUUAGUUCACAAUGGAGAGCAUUAUAGUAAAAUUUUAGAAAGAGUAAAAUAUCAACAAAAGUAAUAGUUAUAUGCAGUGAGCUAUAGCCAACACCAAAACUUGAGUGACAGGCAAGAAAAACAAAGACAAUAAGAACCUUCCUAGCAGUUUACCGGAUCGACUCGGAUUGUCCAUGGAACGUUUCAUAUCGUCAAUCUCUCAAAUCAAACAUUAAAAAAAAAAAAAGAAAAAAAAAGAAGAUAGUAUUAGUUAGUGAUCCCGUUAGCGAUCCUGGCUCUGUGAGUCCUUUCUUUUGUGAUGAACUGAAAAUACAAAACCAACUUCUGGUCUUUUUGCAAUGGUUGGGCUCAGAAUCAUGACAAAAAAGCUAUUAAGAACAAAGAGAAUCGCCGAAAAAGAAAAUCUAAUUACUCUUGUGGGGUCAAGAAAUGCGAAAUCAGUUCACUCUGAUGGGUGCCAUGGCCUAGCUUGAAAUAAAAUUCAAAUUUGAUUCAAUCCCGGCAACUGCUUCACAACUUUGAAUAUAUAGCUACCAAUUUUUGACUCAUAAACUCACGAACAACGUGCUGAAUUCCCAUCCAUGCAUAAAAACCAUCCAAUUUAAGCGCGCGUACAUCUCACGAUCAAUCACAUUCCAACACUAUUUCCAACUGCAUAAGCUUAGAUUUUCUACAAUUUACAAAAUAAAACGAAGCAAAUAUUUUGAUGCUACAAAAAGAAUAGGACAAUAACAUGAGAAGUAGACCAUCAAGAAAAAAUAAUAAUCUGGAAGAAUAUUCCAGGAGCCAACCAUCAAGAUUGACGCUUCCCCCAAUUCCUCUCAAAAAAGAAAUAUCUUCAUAGCAGAACACAACCUAUAGAAUAAUCAAAGCAUUUUUUAAUGAUCUUCAAAAUAUCUAUUUAUUUUAGCAUAAAGAUAGAUAGAGAAAGAAAACAGAACAAUAAAUAAAAAUAAAAACACCAAUUACUUUGCCAAAUAGAUUUUUGAAAUAGACAACAUUAACUUUCAAUUAACUCAAAAUAGACUGCAAAUCCAGAAAACAAAAGUACAAAUUUUCUUGCACAAAUUACAGCAAACAAUAAUAGAAAGAAAGUAGUCACAAGAAGUGUUGGAUCUUGGCAUUAAUGUUAUUGAGAUCUUAAGAAAUGCAGAGCUCUUUUAUUUUUUUCUUCUUUUUUUUUUGUAAUUUUUCUCUGCUGUUUGAGGGGACUUAGAAAAGAGGAGGAGAAAGAUGAUUGGAUCCAUAUAUGCAAAAUGUUUAGCAUCUGAGAAUAAAAAUGCUAAGUUUACAAUCAAAAAAGGGUGAGAGAAUCGUCAAACCUCUCAUCCAAGGGCUGACUAAAAUCUUACUCAAAUCCUUUUUGGAUUUUAGUUAAAAAAUAAAGAGAAAGUAAUAAGACGAGUCGAGAAAAGUCAGUCCUUUGAUGAUAGAGUUGUAGAUUAUAACCCUACCGAAAUAAAUGAGCUGUACGACGUACCUUGGCCAACAUAUACUCCAGUAACCUAUUAACGUCCUCGACGCGUUUAGCAUCUUCUGGUGUGCUAUUCGUGGAAAAGUACCUCCAACUGAAUCUCCGGAUUUUUGCUUUUUAUGUCCAGGUGAUCGCCAUUAGAUACUACAAAUUUCAUCAAACAUCGAUCUCAACGCCUUACUCUCUAAGAUCUCGAUCGAUCUCUCUCUCUCUCUCUCUCUCUCUCUCGCUCAUGUACUGUUGCCUCAAAACUUUGUAUGGUAAUCUUUUCCCCGACUCUGAAAUUAGCUUCUUAAUUAAUGUGACUCCAAAUUAAGAUGCAUCCAGUUCUCAAACCUCGGCAUAAACACGAGAAGGAGCAGCAACCGAACAAAAACCCACCAUUCCUUAAUUUGUCUCCACCUGCUUCUCGUUGUUCUCUUCCUCGUAUUUUCCUAUGGUUACAAUCCCAGAACCACACUCUCCCUUAAUACCUCUCCUUUUAUUUUAAACACUAAAAAAAAAACAAUUUGUGUCGUUUGAAAGUGGGUUCAAAGGGCAAAAACUUAGCAUCUAUAAUUAAAUAGGAUAAUAUAUAUUCUAUAAUGACCAAAAAAUUAAAAAAAAAACAAUUUGUGUUGAGAGUGGGAUUUGAACCCACGCCCUUUCGGACCAGAACCUUAAUCUGGCGCCUUAGACCAACUCGGCCAUCUCAACUUGUCGGAUGUGAUUUCGACCUACAUUUAUAAUAAUCUAUUUAUCAUACGCUUAAUAGCUAAGCAUCACACAGUGAAAUUCCUCUGAACGGAAAGUAAAUCAAUAGAAAUUCCCCACGGAUUAGAAUGAAAUUGAUGGAGGAUACAUCCAAAAAUGUUGAGGGUUACAUGGCAAUUUUACAAUGGGGUACGCAUACAACAGCCUUCAUGGCCAAAAUCCCCAGUUACCUUUGAUACAUGUGCUGUACAAAGAUUAGUUCCUACCGCACUAGCAUGUUAUAGAAGUGCACAGUCGUCAUUUCACGCGGCUAAUCCAGCUCACUCUCCGAGACCUCCUCCUCCGGCAGCUCGAAUGAAUCGAUCUCUGCGAAAUACGCUCUCUGCUUCUCCACAAAAUCUGGUGGUAAAAUCUGCUUCCUCGAAGCUUCGUAUGUAUUCUCACGCUGCUUCUGCAUAAAUAUCAAGGACAAAAUAAGAAUUGCAAUGCAUUAAAAACAUAGUACAUUACAAAAUGUGUGACAUUAAAAAUUCAUAGUAACAUAUCAGAAGAAACAAAUGUAAUACUAAAUCAUCUCUUUUGGAUACUAAGGUGCCUCAAUUUCCUUCUCACCAUACUGAAGAGCCUAAUGUAAUUAAAUGGUCUACUCUUGUGAAAUGCUUGAUUUAUUAAUCUUGGUUUGUCACGCAUAAAAGAAGAGGAGGAAAUAAGUGAGCGGCUCCCCACUGUUAAUAGCCUACAUCCCUCGUAGGCUUCAAAGAUCAAAACUGCUCGCAACUAUGGAAACAAGAAUUCUAAACUCAAUAUGAGAACCGACAUGAAAUAAUCAUAGCAAUAGCGAUGACCAAGUAGUGAUGCGUUUGAUAUGAAAUUUCUUUUCUUACAGUUAGCAAGUAGAAAUCUAAGAUAUUUGUAUGGUGCAACUACAUAGGAAUAUUAACAUUUGCUGCUUACAAAGCCAUAUGAGAUUCAUCUGGACAACUGGACCUAUAUCAACUAAGCUGACAUUUACCUUCUACAAAUCACUGAUACAACAUUUUUAUGCUCCCUAUCUAUUGCAAAAUAAAAAAAAAUUUCUAAAAAAAGACUAACGGAGGUUUUAAAUCAGAAAUAUCUUAAUGUUGCAGAUAUUUAAUGAAGCCUUCAUAUAAGCCAUAGUAAUCAUAACCCAAAAAAGGCCUACACUAUCGCUAUAGUUUCUAGAAAGAUAACAAUGUUUUUGACUGUUUAUCACUCACAAAGCAUUCUUACACACAAGCUUUUAUCUGAUAGAUAUUUUCAAUUCAAGAAAGCAACCUAAAGCAUAAAUUUGCUUUUUUCUUUUUGAGAGAAAGGUAGCAAGCUACCUGCUUCAUUCAUUAAGAAUCCAAAAGCAUAAAUUUGCUAAUUUGACGAAUUCAUCGCCAACAGAGAAUAUCACUAGGGCAACGCAUGUAUAUACAAAAAUUUAAAUUAAGAUGGAGGGAAAAAAGCAAGGGCAAACCUUUUUGGCUUUUCGACAGGGAACUGAGGAUGUCAUAGGUCGAAUAGAGUUGCCAUCUCCAGCCAUCGAGUUUUCCCUAGUUGAAUGACGUAAAAUGUACAUAAUUCUGUUAAUGCAGUUGCAACAUUACUAAUACUAAGAGACAUCAUGAUGCUCGCAGGUUUUAUUCCUCAAGAGCUCCUAAGUAUCAAAUAGCCUCCUUUAAAGUAUAAAAUACCACAAAUGCUGCCGUAACUUACAGACACUCUAAUAUAUAUACACCCUUGCUGGAGGGUGUUUGUGAUAUUUUAAACUUUUUAUAUGAUGUUACAGGUAGCUGGACAAGAAUGCUUGUUAUAGAAAGAGGUUUUGGGCAGCCAAAUUCCCACAGGCAUUUUUGCAAACUGUCCAAGGAGGAAAUUUGGUGUCAUUCAUAGAUUCCACCAGAUCAUUCCUGAUGGACUGCUUCCUGACAACUAGAGUAUUUAACAGAACAGAAGAAAAAAAAGGUGAACAACAAAUAUUCUCCAACAUAUUGGGGAAAGCAUGAGAUAUGUAUUUCCAAGGUUCUCUGAUAGGACAAUACCUACGAGAACCACCCCUAGUUACAUUUACACAAUUCUCACCAUCUUUCCUCUUUUGUCCAAAUUUAAUAAAGCAUAACCGGAAGCAAAGGUAGUUCUUUGAUUCGUACAAAUCAAGAAUACUUACUUGGUACUUUUGACUCUUCCAAUAGGAGGACAACUUGAUGACCCUGAGAGAACUGCUUUGCUUGUGGACUUUCUUUUAACUGUCUUUCGCCGUGUGUAAAUUGUAGAAAUAACUACUUUCUCAAAAUCUGAAUCAUCACGAACUGCAAAUAAAAGUGAACGGUUUUGACAAUAAUUUAACUACUGUCGCAUUCGCUACUCGCUAGUGCUGGUGAGAACACGAUAGACAGGAAGAUUAUAAUUUUGGGUGCAGAAAGAGAAGAAUCAACCUCAUUAAAUGUUAUAAGCACGUGGUCAGAAAGUAUAAGCUACCAAUUCAGAACUAGAAAAAUUAUAUGGAAAGUCGACCUUGGAUCGUAAGUUAAAAUUGUCGGAAGUUGUAGAUAUUUCAACUGAUAAUCACAUAUUUUACAAAAAUUGUGUCUUUAUAUAAAUAGACAUAAGCAUAACUAUAAUGCAAACAUGCUAUGCACUAAUAUACGCAUAUAUAACUGACCAAAUCAUGCAAGAGUAGGAUAGUAGAGAGACCAAAUCCUCAAAAAUUAGCUAAAAAAAGCCAAUUCUCGUCACAUUGAGUACAAAUUAUUCUCAGCUAAAUCAAGCCUACCUAUUAAAGUUCAUAGAAUGCCUAAUCCAUGAAUCUUCUACGAAUCACAUCACUAUACCAUCACCCCCAGCAGUCCGAAGAACACCAAUGGCACCAAAAUCUGGUUUUUACACUUACUCAAUCGAGCAUUACCAAUUAAUUCCAAAAAUGCCGCUAACAACACAACAUAUCAGGAACGAUUAUCCAAAUCCAAAACUCCACAAAACCCUAAAGAGAGGGGGAGCUCACCAGAAUCCGAGGAGAGGAGGCCUUUAGCUCUCGGCGUAGAACACGAAGAAGAAGUGGGAACGCUCGGAUUAUCGUUGGGCCUGGGGGAUGGGUUAGGGUUUGGUUCGGAUGGUUCGGCUUGGGGAUUCGAUUUGGGGUUGGGUUCGAGGAGAGAACGGCUAAGGGCAGAGGUAGAGGCAGAGGUAGAGGAGGAUGGGGCGUUGGUGAGGUCGGAGAAGGGUUUCCGCUUCGUCCUCGACCUUGUCUCGCUCCCACGGCUCGCCAUUGAUGGGGUGCAGGGAGAGCUCGAGAGCUCAAUAAAGAGAGAGGAGGCGGGAACCGGGGUUUGAGAGAGGAAGAGACUGGAUUGUUGGAGAAGGAAGAAGAAGAAGAGGAUUUGGGUUGGGCUAGCAAAAGACGUUUAUUUCUAUUAGCCCAUUACGGGCCCAGUAAUCUCAGUAAUAUCCAUAAACUGGGCCGAGUCUCAGCCCAAUUAGGCCGAUUUCGCCCUGUUGCACGGAAUUAUUAUGUGAACUCUGUCCACCACGUCAUCUGUGGACCACCUCGAGCGGUUGACCUUCCAAUCCAUCUCUUAUUCAAAUAACCGCUACUAUUUUGAAAAAAAUAUAUUUCUAAGUUUCAUAAGAUUUAAAAUUACAUAAACCACGUCACAUUUCAUAUUAAAAUAAAAACACCCAAAAAAUAGACCAUUUCAGUAUAUACACCAUCCGAAGAAACUCCCAUUAAUCAGUAAACAAUGUUUCCAGGAAAUAAUCCCAGCUAAACCGUCAUACAUGUUCACUGUAACUACAGGAUAAGUAUUAUAAAUACAGAUAAAUGUUAAGAAAAUGUAAUAAAUAUACAUAUAAAAAUCAAAUAUACAUGGGAAACCAUGAAAAGAAAACUCGCCAAUCCAAUUGUAUCAUACGCGAACGAGAAUUUUCAUUUCCGUCCACCAAUCAUCGGUUGACCAGACGCGCCCGACAUGCCAGUCGACGUGUUGCUCAUCUUAUUCCCACUUCUUACGCUCUUUAAAUCAAUCAAAUCCUCAAAUAGCCUAUCGGGCAUAUAAUAGGGUUUCGAGUUGACGCUCGCCUGAGGUUCUGGUGCUGUAGUCUGUACAUUAUUUACGCCCGAUGAUCCAAAUGCCGCGCCUGAUGAUCCAAAUGAAUUGUAUCGCUGCAUAGGCUGAGGUGUGGGGACUGUAGUAGAAGCUGGGACUUGAUAGGAAGAAGUUGAUGGAGUAGCACUAGGGUUCGAGCUUCCGGGAUAAGCCCAUGGCGGGGGAGGAUAGCUGUAUGUAUAAUAAGGUUGAGGCUGAGGUGGUGGAAGGGCUUUUUGAGCCCAAGGUGCAACAUAACUGUUGUAGGGAUUGUAUGCUUCGUUUUGUGGGAAAGGCUGGGGGCCGGAAGGUUGCCCUACCCCGAUCGGGGGAGCUGAAGUUGGAGAUUCAUUUGGGAUUGGUGCUGGAGAAGGAUUAGGGUUUUCGGAUAGAGUGAUGGCCAAGAAGUCGAUCAUGUCUUGUUCUUUGUCGAUAGUUUUAACUGGAGAAAUAGGUGGGUCGAGCGGGACCAACGCGUUGCUCGCAACAGAGGAUGAGGCUUCGUCCGAAGUGCUUGCAUUGGUGCUUAAAGAGGUAAGGUCGCUCUUGUUCGAUGAGACUUCAUGAUCAUCAUUUUGUGCAGAUUUGUUUGCCCUCAAGUUCCUGCAUGUAGAAUCAAACAUCGGAUUUAGAAGAAUUCAACGACAGAAAUUAACCAAGUGGUCAUCUAACUCGGCUUAGCUCCUUGAACCGCUUCUCUACUCCAUAAUGCAGAAAAUUCUUUGAAGCUUUUGCAGCGGCAUAAAGCUAAAACGAGCUUUCCGGACCCCAAAAGUAAAAGCUCCAAUUUGGUUCCUCUACUUCUGCUGCAGCAAGAAGCCGCAGAAGAAACUUAAAUUAAAAAAGCUAAUUGCUCUUCUUUCAACAGAUCCUUCAAACUGCACUUUUGCAGGAUAUUCAGGUGGGCGAAACAAGCCCAAAAGUAUUCCAAAAUAAGCUUUGUAGACCUUUGAGCCAACUGGGCGAAACCAUCAUCGUCAUCCGCUUCAUCUUCAAACUUCUUGAUUGCAGGAGUGGUAAUCUUCACAGGUUCCUUUGGGAUCGGCCGAUGCACAGGUGCUUCGAUUGGUAAAGGUGAGCCGGAGGCUAUUGCAUCAUGCUUUGCAAGUAGACUUUGUAGGCUAUCAUUUAAGGCAAGGCCUUCCCCCAGGAGCUCCUCAUCACUGUCAAUUAAGCAAUAUAUGAACGCAAGCAAUAUAAAAGUGAAAGUACUAAAUAUGUAUAUAUAUAUAUUAAACAUCACAUUUGUAUAAUACAUGAUGAGUUAUUCUGUUGCCUAAAAUCUUCUUUUAUGCACUGAUACACCCUGGCCCUUCUUGUGAUAAAUCCCAGAGUUCCAGCCAGGGUUAUUCUAGUUCAUGAAAGGAUUUCUAGUCAAAAAUUGCAAAACAAAAAAAAAAAAAGCAGAACAAAAUAAUACAAAAUUGUAGAUCAACUUCCCAAAAUUGAAAAAGGGUGAAUUUUCAUGAAAUGAGCUUGUUCUACUUAAUAUAAAACUUUACCAGUACAUAUAAAAGAUGAUCACCCGUAGAGGUCUUACAGAAAAGAUAAUCAUCCAAAGAGGUCUUACCCUGUUGAACUAACCAACUCCAUUAUCUUCUUUUGGUUGGUACGACACUGAUUGACAAGAUCCACUAUUACUUCAUCUUUCACAGACUGAAAAGUGUGGCAGGAGAAGGGGAAGUUAACUAAUAGAACUGGGUUAUAUGCGAGAUAAGACUUACUUGCAAUACUUGGUAUAAAAAAUUUUAAUGGAAAAGGAAUAAUAGAAUACCUACCUCCCGAUUAUUUGGGUUCACCUCUCGCAACAUUUCGUUUAAGAGCUCCGACACAUUUCUAAUGUUCUUCAAGUGCGAUAAACUGAGAUAAGAGGAAUAAAUCAAGCAAAUAUAUCGUAAAGGAAUGUGAUUUUAGACACAGUAGGGAAUAGCAUAAGAAAUAAUGCAUUAAUAUGAACAGGGAGCCACCUCAGAUUUGCCACAUCUGAUGCCAUUACUUCAUUAAGACUUCUAGAAGAAUUGCUCGAUGAACCAUAGGGAGGCUGAUAAUAUCUUGGUGAAGUUGUUGAAAGUCUACUAGGAGUAAGUAUUGGCGGGGAAUUUGGUGGACGGUCAGGGAACGCUACUCCGUAUCUCUGCAUCACAUUUUAUGAAUAAAAUAGUUGCAUUUUGGGUUCAUUUUGAUGAGAUUGACGCUGGCACGAUCUUCGCAAUAGCAAUGAAAGAUGUUAACUUGAGAAAAUUGAAUUUAAGAAAAUACAAAAAAAAAAGGAGCUGAUCAAAGCCACAGCCAAGAACAGAUUAGAAACUUUAAACAUCACUAAACAUUCAAGUCAGUCCUAGUAUUCUUGAUAAGAAGAGAGCAUCUGAUUAGAGUAAACAAAAAUGAAAUUUCCAAGGUUAAAAACCAUAAAAUACUACAGUUUGUAUUGCAAGAUUUUUAAUGAACACAUGGAUUAAUUUGGUAACAGUCAUAUUAAAAUAGUAACUAAUGGAUGCUAAUUAAGAAUGAUAACAAAUAUAGGGUAUGAUUACAGUUACUUGAGAAGACAAUUAAAUAAGUCCUAAUUUCUACCAUUUAAAUGUCUCUACCAAGGUUCAUUAUUAGGAAUAGACAUCUAUUUGAAGGAUUCAUAUUUAAGAAACUAAAACUUUAAAGAGUUGGCAGGAAAGCAAGAUAACAGUUGCCGACCUUCAAUUCAACGUAUGCCCAGUAAUACUGGGGGUGCCUCCCUCCAGGUCCAAAUGCUUCUUGCCAAGAAUCCAAAAGCAAUAGAAUUUUAUGCCUCACUUGCCCAUCAGACUGUGAAGGAUAUUCAGAAAUUAAUUGAUAAGAAACAGUAAUAUCUGGACAUUCAAAAUUACGAGAAACAGAUAAACUUGUCCCACUAUGUGUUUACAGCCACUUACUCGAACCGAUUCAUCUAAAUAGUCCAUUCAAAUCCUAGAAAAUAAUAGGAUUUACGCACAUUCAUUGCGAAUGAAAUAUUGACCUUCCAUUUUGAAGGGGUAAAAAGUAGUUUAACUUUUGAUUAUUUAGCACAAUUUUGUCAGAUAACGCCUGCUAUUUUAAACAAAGGGUAUUCGUAUCGAAGGACUAAGAUAGAAGUCAGAAAGGGAAAGUGAAACCUCAAGGAAAGGUUAAAAACCAAGUAUGAAAUGAAAGACCCAAAAGGAAUUUCAGACAUUGUUUAUAAAAUUUUGAUCACGUAAAUGAAAAGUUGAGUCAUAACAAAUGAUGACUAUAUGAUAAUGAAAAAGGAGAAGCAAAUGACAAGGCUUACUGUUUUCAUGGCAAUAUUAAUCAUCUCUUGGAGAAUAUCGCGCCCGACAACUUCAGAAUGAACAUAAUCACCACAGUUCUUCAUCAUUGUCUCCAAAAGCUGCAAUGACUUCCUUAGUUAUUAGAAGAAAAUUGAGCUGUCUGAUUCAAAAAACCACAAACUAUUGUCAUAAAGAAAAUUUGCAUGAUCGGCUACACUUCAUCCAAUAAUUAUACUAUAAGUUACCAGUAAUGCCAAGAUUAGUUUUUUUUUUUUUUUUCCUCGGUGAAACCCUCAAUUAGAAGUUUGCAUUUUAAUCACACCCAAGAUAUGUAAAUGAACCGUCGAGCAUUUGCAAACAUUAACAUACAGUUUGAUAAAUAGCUUGGUCCAUACCGUUAAAGCGAGAAACUGAACCCUAGGGUUCUUACUUUGUAGCCGCUUCUUCACAGCUUUCACCACGUCUUUUGUUUGCCUGAUUCAUGAACAACAACAGAAAACAUGAGUGUUCCACUCGUAAUCUAACUAGUUAUGAAUCUAACUUCAUCAAAUAGUGCAUAAAAAUCAACUCGGAAAAUACAUAGCAUGCGAAAUGUACCUAGAAAUAUCAAAUAGUGCAUAAAAAAUUAAUUAGCCCCAAAAUUACAAGUUUUUCGUAAUGAAACUUAUUAUUUGAUUAAUGAAAAGAAACAUGAUUAAUGAAAACCAACCCCCACCCCAGAAAAAUAAAGGAAAAAUAAAAGGUCGACGAGAGAGCCGAUUUUGACUAAGAAUUAGGAUUUAUUCUCGGGCUACACCAUUAUCAUCUUAGCACAAAUUACAAUUUUCCCCCCUAAAUAAAAAUCCUUUUUUUUUUGCCAAAUUCUAUCAGAAUAUGACAACAGCAAGCUCAACAACCAAAACCCCAUCACAAUUAAUCAAAAAAGGUCAACGAUUUUGACCGAGAAUCAUCUUACCACAACCAAUCAAUUAACCCCCAAAACCAUAUCUUUUCCAAGUAAAAAUCCUUCCUUUUCGAAUUACAUCGGACUAUAAUGCUCACAAUCACCAAAACCCCAUCACAAUCAAUGAAAGCCAAACCGCACGGACGAAAAAACAAACAACCAAAGCCGAUUUUGACCGAGGAUUAGGGCACCCUCCUAGGAUUUGAGAGAGAGAGAGAGAGAGAGAGAGAGAGAGAGAGAGAGAGAGAGUUCGAUACCAGUGGUUGGAAUUGAUCAAGUCGCAUAUCUCCAUGUUCAUAGCCCAAUCGGGGCCAAGCAAGAGGUUGCUCGUCGCCUUGUCCACGAGAACGCUCGCCGACGCCGCCAUCGCCGCUUCUCCUUCGUACCCCCCGAGAAUCGGAAGAGGAGAGAGAGAGAGAGAGGGAAAGAGGAAGAAGAAGAAGAAUAAGGAGACGGGGUUUAGAAGCUUUUUUAUAUAUUGGGGGAGAAAAUAACAAGAGGAGGAGAAAUAAUGCAUCGACGAUUUUACGUACAUACCCUCACAAAAUCAUAUAUUUGUAUGGACUUUAUUACACCACCAGCUAGGCAGUUAGUCGAACUCUUAUUUUUUGAUUUGUAAAACUUUGAAAUUUGAUGUUCCAAAUCACAAACUCUUAAUAAAAUUUUACUUCAUCGCAUUUUAUUUUAAUUAUUUUGUCAUUAGCGCUAACCUUUAGGUCUAAGACAAGACAACCAACCAUUCAUUUAAAAUUUACAGUACGUAAGAAUCAAAUUCGUAAGAUCAUUUAUUGUUUUAAGAAUUUGAGUUAUUGAAAAAGAGCAAUCAAUUUACUUUAAACAUAAACACACAGCAUCGAUAUGUCUCAAUUGUGACUCGGUUCAACCCCUCUUCUUAGCAACCUAUUUAUGCCAAUAAUAAAUACAUAAUAAUAAUGAUUGUACUAUUGAGCUCGAAAGUUUGACAAGCAAAGUAAAAUUUGACCCAAACUUCUCUCUCUCCGUGUAUAGCCCGAUGACUUUCAGUAUACAAAGUAAAAUAGAUAUUAAUUUGAGUACAUUUUCUGUACUUUCAAAAAUAUAGAAAACUCGGUACUUAUAAAUUAUUUUCGAAAAUAGCAUAUUUAAUUUGACCAAUCAAUUCUGUUAAAUAUAAUUUAUGUUAUUGAAAUUAUUUAGAAACCAGAUCAAAAUGUGUCAAGAAUUAUUAUUUUACCGAUUGAUAUAACAUGUUUUUAAAUUCAACGAUAUAAAACAAUCUAAAUUAUAUAAAACUUUAAUAGAAAAUUUUAUUUAAUAUCAAUAGUAAGAUUAAUAUUUUUGAUUUAAAAUUUGAAUAUUUUAUCAUUAUUUUUUAUGCGAUUUUUAUUUUCAGUCGUUCAUUUUGAAGCUACUCGUUCAUUAGGCAAAUGAAGUCAAAAGAAUUAUAAAGUUUGAUUUCUAGAUAGUUUUAAUAGUGUAUAUUAUAUUUAACCGAACCGAUUGUCGAAUCAAAUGUUUCAUCAGUGAAAACAACGUACAAACACGAAUACCUCCGUACUUUCGAAAGCAUAAGAGUAGUCUAGUUCUACAAAUUUAAUAGAACAGAAUAACUUUUAAAUAAAAAAAAUAUAUACAAAAUUAAGGUAUCAUAAAUAUAAAUUUAAGUACCACUAAUACGACUUUUUAUCUUUAAAACUGAGACAGAGAAUAAGGAUAAGAAUAAUGAAAGGAUAAUAAUAAGCUGGAAAGAAUAGAAUAGAAUAAAAUGUAUGGAAUAAGAGUAAAAGGCGGUUUGUGAGCAUGGAUUCGCGGGUUUGCUCAUUCCACUCGACAGCUUUUCGGGUCAAAAAGUUUUGUUUAACGCCAUUACAGUUUUAGGUUUUGACUUUUCCUUUAAACAAUGGAUUAUUAGUUAUAUUAUAUAGAUUCAAAUUUUAAAAUCAGGUUAACGCGGAGAGCAUCCAACCGCGUUUUCUUAUCCUAUUUUUUAUUGUUUUAAUUCUUUUUAUUAUGAGAGAAGAGUUGAAAUUAUUUUUACCUCUAAAUGCGCACUUUCGUUGUUUGGUUUAUUGUAAAUUAAAUUUAUUUGUAACUUGUGACGAAGUCAAUUACGAGGAAAAUGGAUAAUUUAAAAGAUGUUAAAAAAAAUUAACUGUUGAAGUUUUUAAGUUCACCCUCUUAUAUAUUUAACGAAAAGUUUUUAAUAAAACAAGCGGAGCGGAAAAGGUGGAAUAAGACUUAGUUUUGUGUUAAGGUCUAUCAUACGCUGCUGUUAUAUAAAAUGGAGUUAUGAAAAAAAAUAUAUAGAAAUACUUCUGUAUUCUCCGAUGGGACCGUAGAACCGUAGAAGAUAUAUCAUAACCGAUUCAUCGUAAUAUGCGGAACGCAAUAUUACGUACGGAAACAAAUAUAAUAUUUUUUCAUCGUACUUUCUCACAACACGUAAUACAAUCUUCUCGUAAUCCAAAACGAAGCUUAAAAACAAUUCCGAAAUCAUUUAUUUAUUAUCAAACAAACAAUGGUGAAAGAAUAAUUUCGGCACAAAAACUUUAACAAUGCCGAUUGGAAACAAAGUCAUGAAAGAGUUAGUUUUCAGAAAAGAUAAAAAAGAAAAGAAAAUUCCAAUGGGAGCAAUUUUCUGGUCACUUGUGCAAAGCAGAAUAAUCUCUCUCCCCCCAUAUAUGUGGUUUAAAACAGACACUUUUCAUGUGAUAAAACUAACAGAUUAGCGAUGAAGUAAGCAACCCUCAUAUUGACAAGUACAUCCCCAUUUCUUUAAGUAUAAACAACAUACCCUUCUGAGUUCACAUUUUUUUGUUCUCUCCCAAGUUACUCAACCAAGUUGCAAAAGCAAGAAAUUAAGCACCAAAACAACAACAAAAAGAGAACUUCUCACUAGAGUUGGAAGCUGAAAUAAACACUGAGACUCCAAAAGCAAAAGCAGAAAUUCAAAACUUCUACUUUGGAAUUCAAAGAAGAACUGCUUGGACAAACAACUAUACUCAAACAGCUCUUCUGAAAAAUUCCAGGGAGACAGUAAAGUCGACCAUUAAGUGCAGAAUCAGAGUAGGACCAAAUGUCGAACGAACAGAUUUGACAAUGCCAUAGUACCAAGUCGUAGUAGCGAGGCGAAUUAUUAUCAAGGUCAAGUUUCCAAUUUUACAAUCCUGAUCACUCACCAUAAGAGAAAGCAAAAGCAAAAGCAUCUACACUACUCACACAUGAAGGUGCUUCUAAGGGUGCUUCAACUAUAACAUUUUGCCACACAAACUACUGCAACUAAGGCGGCUUUUACAUGACCACAUCUAAUCUAGCUAAUGUAAUGUAGCAAAGCAGAAACUAACUGCAGCUCUGCAAUGAGUAAUGAUGUGAAGAACACAAAUACUUAAUCGUCCCUGCCCUCUCUGUAAAUUUCAUCAAGAAUCACUGCCCUCUCUGUUGAUUUCAUCAAGAAUCACGAUGAGGGCCGCGAUGAAGACGUAGUCGACGUUCGGAUACACCGUCACCCCGAAUGUGUCCCUCCCGAGUAAUACGUUCUUGACCGUGUACUGACGGCUUACCUGCAGCAUCGAUUUUUCGUGAUCUUGAGAAUGAACGAUAAAACAAAUUUAAGUAUAGCUUAAGCGCGUGCUUCUCGGGAAAUUCGUUUCACAUUUUGAGGCAAAUGGGCACUAACCUGGGCAAUUACGGUGUCCGACGAACCGAGGUAGAUGGCGACCGAUCUCUCAAAGUAGCUUCCUUUGACCUUAAAAUCGCAAACUAGCUCGCUAGUAUUCGCAGCUAAAAAGACAUCCAGUUCGGUUUUAAAUUGGAUGACCGCCGACUUCUUCACGCUGAAGAGCAAAUCUUUCUCGCUGGAGCUGUCUCCUCUGAACACUUUCCACCGAUCGUGAAUGCUUAAUAUCUACAACAACAUACCAACUAAGACUCAGUAACAGUUGAAACAUCGGCAUAACCUUUUAAUCAUCCUAAACUUAGAUUAUUUCUCAAAAAUUAAGCUAAUGAGCAUCAUAAUUUCGCAAAAAAUGUACAAAUACAUAAAUCUGAAGUUCAGUAAAGUUCCCAAUUUCAGGGCUAUAAAGAUCAUUGCCAAACAAAUGAUUGCUGCUCCUCCACAACAAACAAGGACUAAAUCUGAAUCCGAUUAACUUCGAGCAAUCGGUACAUUGAUUGAACACUAUGAUUUUUAAAACUAAAAAGUGCUAUAGAGAAGCACGAUCAAAGGGCAAAUGAAGAAUAAUUAGCAAGAAAUUGACUUAAAUUUCUUUUUAUUUUUGUUGGAGAAAACAAAAGACCCCAAACUUAACAACUGCAAAUGAUAUCAAACAAUCAGAAUCAGUUGAGCUUCUGAUAAAAUUUUUUAUUAACUAUUCAUAGCAAAAUCAAUCAAUAACUCUCAUCUUCAAUCGAAGAACUCGACCCUCUAGUUUUAAAAAAUUGUUCGAUUUUGACCGUUUAUUUUAUAUUCUUGUUGACAGGCGUGACAAUAAUUUUAGGAAAUAAAAAAAUUAAUUUUUAAUUAUUCUGAACGCUCUAAACGUCGAAUUUACAGCUCUAUUGUCAAAAUUGACUUAAUUGAGUAAGAAAUAGCAAGCUAUCAGAAGAAAAGAAAAGAAAAGAAAAAAAAAAAACAAGGUAAACUACAAUUUUGGAUCUCCGUAUUAAUUUUUUUUUUUUAUUGAACUGCACUAAGUAAUGAUGAUAUGAUAAUAUAUAUCGGUAAAGAAAUAAAGAGAAAAUGUUUGUUUGUGUAGUGGACCUUGGCCUGCAUGGAGAGGAGGCGGUUGCCGGCGGCGUCGAGGAGGAGGCGGCGCUCGCGGAAGGCGAAGAACACGCCCUUCACCUUCAGCAGGACGGCGCCGUUACCGUCCAUCACCACGAAGUCGCCGUCCGUCAAGCUCAACGCCUUCUUCGUCACCGUCAACGGCACCGCGUACGGCGCGCAGAACUCCAGCCCCACCACCGCCACCGGCCCCAUUAACGGCGCCGCCAUCCUCCUCCCUAACGGCGUCAAUAUCGGAAAUGGAAACGCAAAACGUGUGAAUUGACCACCCAGGAGGUUUGUGUGUACAUAUAUAGGCGCUCAAAUCAAUCCCCCGCGGGGGGCAAAUUCGUAAAUUUGUGAAAACAGCAGGGGCAAAAUUGUAAAAAGAAAAGUAGAAGGAUAAACGAAAUGGGAGACCUCUUCUGGUCCACGCGGUUGUCACAGCACAAGUGGCGAUUUUUUUUAAAUUUUUUUAGAUAAAAGAAUUAUUUCUAUUCUUUACUUUAUUUAAACUAUUUAAGAAAUAUAAGUUUUUUUUUUAAUAAGUUGAUCUUGCUUUAUAAAUAAAUAAACUAAUAGAUCAACAAAAUAUAAACUCUGUGGUGUACUCGCACCCAAGCAAAAGCUUCAGCUAAAAAAUAGAUAAAUAAAUAAAUAAAUAAAUGAGAACAACUUUGCCCAUCUUUUACCGUCGAAAUAUAUUCUCUAUUAUCGACCGUUCUUAGAGCAAAUGAUAAAAAAUUGAUGGUGAUAUCUGUGGUCUCAAGUUUGAAUUCUAGUUGAUUUAUAUUUUCAACUAAAUUUGUUUUAAAUAAAUAAAAUAAAAUAAACGGAGCUGAGUAACGUGCUACCUAUCUCUCUCAAAAUAUAUAUAUAUAUAUAUAUAUAUAUAUAUAUUCUCUAUUCCAAUGUAGGUGGGCUUUAUUCUAAGUGGUGGUGAUCUUUCCUAGGCUAUCAAUAUCUUUAGAAAAAACUUCAAAAACCCCCCUGUAGUUUUAUAGUUUCUCACUUUGCCUUCCUGUGGUUUAAAAUGUAUCAAUUUGCUCCGCUGUGGUUUCUUUUUUUUCUUUUUCUUAUCAAUUUCAUUAUUUUUUUUCUUAAAUCAAUGAUAAAGUUAAAAUUAAAGGGUACUAAAGUAAAUAUUUGAUAAAUCUAGAUGGAUAUCUGAAGUUUUUUGUAUAUAAUUUAAUAAAAUAUUAACGAAAAAGCUACCGAAAAAAUAAAAACGAAAUCACAGGAGGGCAAUUUGAUACAUUUUAAACCACAUGGGGCAAAGUAAGAAACUACGGAACCAUAGGGGGGUUUUGAAGUUUUCCCAUUUCUUUUAUUAUAGGGCAUUUCUCUAAACAAAUAAAUAAAUAAGUAAUGAAUGAAUAAAUAAAUAUCUUCAGAGCUGUGCAUUAUUGACCAAUGAAAAUGUUCCAACUCCUUAAUCAAGUGUGGGGGAGGGCUCCUUCCGAAAUGUAAUAAUUAUGAUAUAAAAAUAAUAAUAUUAGGAUUUCACAAAAAUUUAAUUUUUUCCGUAACAUCCGUAUCACGCUUGCACAGAUAUAACAUAAUGUGUUAGAAAAAUAAUCAACAACUUACCACUAAUGUUUUUUUUUUCUUUUUUUCAAUUAAGACAUUGAAUUUUAAUUAUAUGAUGAUUGGAAUUUUGACGAAAUGGUGUCAUAUGCAAAAUAUAUAAUAGGUCAAAUGCUUGCCCUAUCAAUAAUUGUUUCAUUAGCGUCAUAAUCAAGUAACAUCAUCUUCAAAAUCAAUCCCACCAUUUAAUAUUUUCAAAUCAAACGAUUGAUUAAUGAGUUUAAUAAUAGGGACAAGAACAAUUAUUGUACACAUACAAAGAUGAAUAACUACUAAGGCUUCGUUAGGGAUUGCGGAGAGAUUGCGUUACGUGCGGUGAGAAACGACGAUGGAAAAAUAUCCCGUUUGUUUUCGUACGUAAUAUUGCGUUCCCUAUAUCGUGAUGAGUCGAUUACGAUAUAUUUUCUGCGGUCCCACCGGAGAACGUAGAAGCAUAUUCCUAUAUAUUUUUUUCUAACUCUAUUUAAUCUAAUAACGUUAGAUAAACCUCAAUACCAAACUAAGCCUAACUAGUCUAUACAUAACACAAGUGAUUAUAAUUAAAAUCAUUUUAGAUAAAUUAUUUAAUCAACAUUUAUGGUUGAAUAUUACUACUCUUCCUUUUAAUCUCUUGAAUAAUUAGUUUAGACCUGAGCUUAAAAGGUAGUAAUCCUACAACGACAACGGGCCAAAAAAUGUGGCCUAUUGGGUUUUGAAAUUGGGCUGGGUUCGAGAAAGAUCGAGUGCAAGCUAGCCCAAAGUAUAUUCGGGUUGGGCUUGGGGUUUAGAUUGACCCAAUUUGAAUUUCUGAAAUUUUGUAACCGAAAUUAAUUAAUGCUAGGAGUACACAUUUGGGACAUGUAAAAUAUAUAUAUGAUAAAUAGGUGUCACAUUUUUUACAACAUAUAUGGCUUUACAUGAUCACACAACGAAAAGUUUAUUUUUUUUUUUUUUUUUAGAGAGAGAGAGGUAGUAUUUUACAUGCUUCGUUCAUUUUUUUUAGAAAUAAACUUAACUAUAAAUAAAUGUGAAGCAACGAGACUUCGAACUUGGGACUUCAGUACUAAUCACCAAUUCCUUUGCCACUUACAUUUGGAAUAGUCGGUAUCACACAACGAAAUGUUAUGCAAACCCAUAAAUAGGAUCGUAUAAAAAUGUGUGCGAAAUGAGAAAGGGCUUGGUAGUUGGUACCUGAAGUCCUAAGUUCGAAUCCUAAUUGAUUCCCAUUUUCAGGUAAGCUUAUUUCUAAAAGAAAUAAACAAAACGGAUAGCAUGCUAUCUUUUUAUAAUAAAAAAAAAUGCGCGAAGAACUCAUUAAUCCGAAUCCUUUGUGUCAAUCUCAUUGACGAUCACGAUCGAUGAGAUAAUAUGAUAUUAGAGUCAGUACAAAAUCCUAUAAGUUCGUAUGAUCAUGAGUUUGAUUUGCCUGUUUAAAGUGCAUGUGUUCUACUUCUCGAAUAGAAAAGCUGCUUUAUAACUCAGAACCAAAGAAAAAGGCACUUGUAUGAUAACGGUGUUCGUUCUACCGAGGUAGAUGGGGAACGAUCUUAUGAAAUAGCUACUGUUGAUCUUAAAAUCGCAGAUUUCUUCGCUUGUUUUCGUGGCUAAGUAAACAUCUCAGUUUUAAACUGAAUUUCUGCAGAUUUUUUCACACUAAUUAAAAUGCAAAUCUUUCUCUUCAGUGCCUUUUCCUCUAAACACUCUCCAUCGAUCGUGCCAUGCAUGUUAAUAUCUAUAAGAUCAAAACUAAAUAUUAGUACGAGUCGAAAAAAGAAUUAGUGAGAGUAUUAUUUUGCUAAAAUAUAGAAGAAAAAAAAAAGAGAGAGAGACCUUGGCUUGAAUGGAGAGAAGGGAGUUGCCUGCGGUGUCGACGAGGAUGCGGUCCUCAUGGAGUGCGAAGAAGACGCACUUGACCUUGAGCAGCAUGGCGCUGUUGGCGUUCGUGACUGCGAAGUCGCCGUCUGUUAAGCCGAUCUGCAAAGGAGCAUGAUAUUUCCAGUCUAUUUCUUUUUCUCGACAAGGAUGGAGCCGUCACAGAAAACUUAGGAUUAAAGAUGUUCAAUCAUGCCUGUUCAUCAAAAUUUUGUUCAGAUAUAUACACUCCAAUCGUUGAAUCGACUAUAUUCUUAAAAAUCACCUUGAAUAAAUCAUGGAAGCCACAUCCAAUAUUCUUAAUGGCAACGGUGAAACCGACAACAUCUCCGAGAGUACUACAUGGUUGUGAAGCACUUGAAGUAUAAAUGGAGCAAAAAUGGCUGGAGAGGCAUUUUUAGGGUUGAUACGUAGAGUUUAAUUGGAAAUGUUUAUCGACUUGGUCCAUGCAAACAGCAGAAACAAGAAGAAACAAGGGGCUAAAUUAAAUAAGUUGUUUGUUUGACUUGAAAAUUGGAUAAAUAUCCUAAUUGAAUAAUGCAACCAAACAAAGAGUAGUACUGGGUCUAAACAUAUAUGGGUGCAUUCAUACCUAUAAUUAAACUGUAUAUGCCACUUUAAAUUCCCAUAGUUAUGUGCUUGUCCUUAAUGUAUCAAAAGUUGAUAGAAACCUAAACUUCUUGACGAAUGUGAUUGUUUGAUUUAACAUCUCUACUAUUUAGAACAGUCGGUUGAUAUUUUUUAUAGUAGAGUUAGGUCGAUCGUGAUUCAAAUCGAAAUCCCACUUUGCUCGAGAAUAAUCGAUUCUUGCUAAAAUAGAAUGCAAUGUUUUGUAAGAAUAAGUAUGUAAUUAACGUUACCAUUCAAUUAAAUUUGGUAAGUGUAUAUAUAUAUAUAUAUAUAUAUAUAUAUAUAUAUAUAUAUAUAUAUAUAUCAUUACUUCUCUUUCCUUGCCCAUGUUCAACAUCUUUCCUGCAUGGGAUUGAGUUUUCAAAGAAUUGGCUUUUUAAAUGCAAAAAAAUACAUUAAUUUUCUUAAUCAUUGUGCCAAACAAUAACUAAGUCCACUCUCCCAUCUCUCGAUCUCAUAGAACCUAAACGUUAAAUCAACUGCAUAUUAUUCGCUUGUUUAUAUUCUACCUGUACCUUAAAUUUAGGUAAAUUAUUAUAAAAAUGUACCACUAGAUUGAUGAUUAUUAGUUAAGGAGUACUAAUUAACCUGUUUAAGAAAAAAAAAAAGUAAGGUUUAAAUUUUGCCAUAUAUCCAACGUUUGUCUAUGACAAAUAUAUUUUAAAUGCAUAAGAAUCAAGAUUCUAUUCUUCUAAGGAAAGAAGAAAAAAAUAACCAACAAUUAAUUUAAUAAGUUUUAAUUUAAUUAAAUUUAUUGACUUUGGAGUUCAUUCACUAUGUUUUCAUUUUAUUUUUUUUUUUGAAAAAGUGAGUUAUUAAUCAUCAAGUUGCGUCAUUUGUAAGAUUUUAGAAGUAGUAGUUAAUUACAAGGUUUGAUUAAUAGAUCAAGAAUAUCCCAAGUGCAUGCACGAUCUCAUGAUCGCCAAAUAUUAGAUUGAUAAUUCGCAGCGCUUGAUACUUUUUUUUUUUUGAGAGAUAGGUAGCUCGUUUUGUUUAUUUCUGUUAGAAAUAAAUAUGUUGAAAAUGUGAAUCAAUUAGGAUAUGAACUUAGGACCUUGGAUACCAACUACUAAACCCUUUGCUAUUUGCAGUGCUUGAUACUAAUUCAAGAAGCAGUAGUUAGAUACUUAUAGAGAAUAAAAUGUCAAAACUUUUAUUGGAAAUGUGAUACAAAUUUGCAAGCCCUCGAAAGCAAAAUUCUAAUUAGUAAUUCUCACCAGCUGCAGCAGAAACCUAUUAUAUUAGCUAGAAAAAAUUUCCUCCUAAUAUUGGUGAUUUCAAGGCAAUGAACACAACAUCAUUAUCAUUAACAAAAUGGGAAGAUAAUUAAAUUUUGAAUCAAAAAUUCGAAAAGAACUAGCAUUUGGGCAUGCCCAUCGAACUCCGACUAGGCCCUUUUUUUUUCUUUUUUUUUUCUUUUUUUUUUCGCUUUUUCGCUUAUUCGCCCUUCUCGAGGCCCUACUGUCUCACCCAUGUAGCUUAGUUCACGUUUAAUUGAAUGAAGCGGGUAGCGUGCUACCUUUUUCUAAAAAAAAAGAAGAAAAAAGGUUAUAAUAUAAUUAAACAAAAGAAACGAUCAUGAAUAAAAAAAAACAAGCAAUUUACGUGAUUCACUCGCUGAUAAAGAUGGAUCAAAAAUUUCAUAAGAGUAGAAAAGAUGAUAGUGACGUAUCACAAAAAGACCUUAGUCCUCGAAUAAACCUAGUACCCUCCUACCAUGAAUCACCAUAAAAAGGGGAACAUGCACCAUAAGUCGGGUCCAGGAAUUCGAGACACAUUUAAAUUAUGUAGAGAGAGUUUUUUCUUUUUUUUUGAGAGAUAUAUAGGUAGCAUGUUACUCGCUUCGUUUAUUUCACUUAGAAAUAAACUUAGCUAGAAAUGUGAAUCAACUAGAAUUCGAACUUAGGUCUCGGGUACCAACCACCAAGCCCUUUGCCAGUUGCUCUAGAGACGGUCGGUAUUAUAAUAUGCAAACUCAUGAGCAGCACAAUUAUCAUCAUCAUUUUAAAACCGCAUAUUCUCUUUAUUUGAAAAAAAAAAAAAAAAAAAAGCACCAUGCAUGUUGCUCAGAGAAAGGAUAAAUGAUGACUUGCUGUGAUUGGUCAACCAAAAAAAUGGUAGUUGGCCGUGCAAUGCUAGCUUGAAUGGUAAAAAUGAGCAUUUUAUUACAUGGGCCCAUUUUAUAAUCUUUGAAUAGCUAGAUCGAGCACUACUCAAUACAAAUAUAUUCAUUAUAUAUAUAUAUAUAUAUAUAUGUAUAGGGAGAGAGGGAGAUGGUGAAGUAACAUAGCUACCAGGCAUCUUUUUAUCUUUCCUAAGUUAUUAAUUCCUGAUUUUAAUAAAAUAAUAUAACUCAAGUAUCAUAAUAUUCCCCUCGAUCAAGGGGAAAAAAAGAAAGAAAGAAAAGAACACGAAAAAACAUUGGGAUGUAUAGAAUCAAGAGUACAUUAGCUGCGCUUCCUCGAUCAUGGUCAUGAUGCAUGUAUGCAUGAAUUAUUGAACUCUAAUGUUUAACAAGAGUAACAAGUUUUUACUACAUAUGAUCUUACCGCGGGGCAUGUCGGCCGAACAUAUUCGCGGUGAUCGCAAUGCGGAGAUCGAUCAGCUGCGCUGUAGAUUAGGUGGGGUGUGCUUGGUGGAAAAGCUGGGCACAUGAAGAACUAUCUAAUAUAUAUACUUCAUUAAUCUGUGAUGAAGAUGUUAAGUAGAUAGUAAUGCACGUGCCCUGCUUCUCCAUCCUGCACAACUCACCUCCUCAUCAAGCCUUUUUACAAAAAGAAACUAGAUAUAUAGCUAGGUAGUACAUAUGUACAUGUAUUUAUCAUCUGUAGAUCGAACAUAUUAUGCUACUCAGCAUAUCUUUAUAUAGGGGUGAGUUAGGGCACAACUCUCUCUCUCUCUCUCUCUCUCUCUCAUGGUUUCAUGUCUUUUACUAGAAUGGUAGGAUCCAGGCCAGCAAAAAAGUUGUGGUAGGGACCAUGGAGUGAGAACAAAUUAAAUAAGUGAUGAUCAGGUUCAUAUUUGUUUCUUUGUUUUUUGAUAUUCCCUCUAUGAUGUGGCAAUUAACAUGAAAGUGUACACAUACUCUAAACUUUGGUAGUGAUGGGCUUGGAUAGAUCACAGAAGUGAUGGACAUGCAACCCACUGGGGAAGGAGUUACAUGUAUCACAUGCUGAUUGGGUUGAUGCAUGUGCCUUGAAGGAAAAAAAACAAGGGAAAAAAAGAGAAGAAGACAAGAUGGAGGAAAUUAAUUAAAUCACAACUUUUAAUUAAUCACACUUAAUUUACAGUUAGCUAGAUAUAUCUAUAUACGAAAGAAUUUUACGCUGUUUCUGUGACUCAAAUGCACACGAAUUAAAGCUAAAUGUUUCGACUGAACCAUUAAUGUGAUAUUGAAUAUUCCAAACUACAAAACAAGAAUCCAUCCUAUCAAAUUCCAACCCAACACAGUAGGUUCUGGCCAUUGAUUUUUUGUUGACUUAUGGUUAAAUACUUAAUUGGUAAACAACCACUUCGAGUCGAAUACCCCAAGUAUAUAUAUAUAUAUAUAUAUAUAUAUAGUUGCUGCAUACACAUAGUUGCAAUAUGCAGGAUGAUUCAUUGAUUUCAGGGUAGUUUCUCUAGCUACCUCUAUAUAUGAAUAUGAUACAAAGAGGUGGGCAAGGUACUUUUUUUAACAAAGCUACAACCACCUUAUUUAUUUGCACUGGCCAUGGAGAACAUGUGGAGAGCAUCUUCAAUUUACCACCUACAAAGCAUUUCUAGCCCUGAAAUGACAAAAUAUUAAUAAAUUCAUGUGUCGCCUUACAUUUGUGCAAAAGUGAAAGAAAAGCGAAGAAAAUAACUUCAAUAAAUUCAAGAUUAUUAGUAACAGAUAAAUUUAUCAAAUUUGGUCGCUAUUUAUUGAUUGAAUUUGACACGAUUCUACAAAUCUGAUUAUCUCUAGUGAAAACAUGGUACCAAAAGUUGCACUUGCUACAGCUUCUUCUUCUUUUUUGUUCUUUUUUUCUUUUUCUUUUUCUUUUCUAACCAUGCAUUACUGCGUGUACGUUAGGGAGAUGAGUGUGAUCACUAUUAUAUAUCCGAGCUCUAGAAAAUUUUACUAAUCACUUGUAAUUAACUUAACAAAUUAAUAUUUACCAAAGUGCUAAAAUCACAGGGAGCGUGAUCUUAAGACAACUGUCGACCGAAGUUGAGGCCCAUCGGAUCUUGAUCUAAUAAUUAAGGAAUGCCGUCCGACAAUUUGUGAAUAAAGUUGUAGGGGCUAGGUCCCAUAAGUUCAUUAAAAAGGGGCGGUCCGACAUUUGGACAUGUGCCGCGAAUCGAAUGAUAAUAGAUUAAUCCUAAUGACAUAACUAAAGUGGUUUUAUUUGCUAAGGUGAGCCAAAUUCGCACAUAUAUAUAUAUAUUUUAAACUACAUUUGGUUAGAGUUAACUAAGUNUAUAUAUAUAUAUAUAUAUAUAUAUAUAUAUGGUACUUAGUUAACUCUAACCAAAUGUAGUUUAAAAUAUGUGACUGCUCAGAUUUUGUACUGCGUCUUUUGAUAAUUAGGUUAGGUUUCCUUUAGUUGGAAAUUUCUUAUAUUGAUUAGUGUUAACAUAAUGAGGACUUAGAAGGUCUAAAGGACAAGAAGAAAUAAUUUGUGACUCAUAAUUUCUUCUACAAAGGACAUAUUAUUGGGACCAUCAAAACUAAGCAAACUCUAUUAAGUUAAAAGCAAACUAUUUGACUCCCAUGAUCUGUUGAGUUGAAUCCAUAUAUCAUUAUAUUGAUUCUCAUGAUUACAAGGAUCAUAUAUAUAUAGAUCCAUUGGUGGGUAAGUAAAUUCUAGAAAUUAGGGGAAAAUUACUGUGACUAAUUAAUAAGGAAAAGAAGGUAGCUUUGUAAUAUUUGAAACACAAAUUAAGUUGAAAAUAUAGUACCCAUUGUAAGUAUCACCUAAACCUACUAAUGUCUUGUAAUAAAUUCACAUACAAUUUCAUGUUUAAGUACAAAGCUAUAUACGCAAUGCCAUUAUUUUCCUUAUUUGGUCAAAGAUCCUCCUAGAACUGUAAAAGAUAAAGAUCAAGUACUGAGGUACCAAAUAAAAGAGCAGACAAAUUAAAUGAGAAAAUGUAUAGUAAAUAACAAAAAUUUUAGUUGUUCACGUGUGAGAAAUAAUUUGUAUAAAAUAAAAAUCAAGAGUAUACGUACGCGUACUUGGUGAUCAAGUUAUUCAAACUUAUUAGAGUUUAGCUUUUACGUUACUAGUAUUCACACGUGAAAGAUAGCCGUAGAAUAAAAAUCUAGAAUACAGAGCUGAUAUGUACCGAUAAAUCUAAACCAACAGAAUUAAUUAGCUUUUAUAUUUGAUAGCUUGCAGUAGUUACUUUAUUAUACCCAUGAUAUAUGUCAUGUUUGGGCUUCAUAUGUCAUGCCUACCACACAAAAAAAGACAAAAACAAAUGUAAAAAUAAAAAUCUUCCUUUUUUAUGCUUUCAAAAAAGAAAAAAAAAGAAUCUUUUUUUGAUUUACAAGAUGGCAUUGUGGACCUACUAUAUAGCACUAGCCAGGUGGAUUACCUGUAGUUCUUUUGGUGCAAAAGGGUGAUGAUCUAAUCAUUUAUCAGCCUUACAUCACAUUGACUCCACAGUGGAUUCCAACUUAAUGCAUCCAAAUGACUCCACAGCCUUACAUCAUUAUUGUGUUAAAGAACCUUUGGAGAACACAUUAAUGCUCUUGUAAUCAUUACUUCUUCAUGAAAGGUAAAGCAGUGAGGCAACAAGUACAAGAGAGCUGCUUUGGUUCCAAUCUCUCUUCUCUUUUUCCCUAAUGGGUGUCCCAAAAGUCUGAUCUUUGUGAACUUGGAGCUCAUGUGUGAUGAUGGUACACUACUACUACUGCUUGAGCAAAAGUCUUAGUGGGAUAUUACAAAUAAAGGUGAUUUCUCCUUUAGAUUGCAUUAAGCAUGUCAACAAAUUGCAAUCCCUAUGAAGUUUAUUGGAAAGAAAGCUGGGAAUGCAUACAUGACAGUAGAUGCAAAAUAGAUCAUAUUUGAUAGUAAUAAUUGUUGAUUUAGAAACUUUAUUAUUAAAAACAAAUCAGCAGUAAUUAAGCCCUUUGCUACUAGUAGUAUUCUAAUCCAACUCUCUCUCUCUCUCUCUCUAUAUAUAUAUAUAUAUAUAAUUAGAUCGAAAUACUUCUAAUAGAACCAAGUAAUUAGUGCUAUUGGAUUUUCGGCUUUUGGAUGAAAAAAUGUGCAGUUAAGAUAAUAGUGGUCUAUUAGUGUUGAGUGGAUAGUAAUUGGUUGAAUAGUAUGACCUAACGGAUGAAAACAAUCAAAAAAUAAAUUUAAUGGUGAAAAUUUUGAUAGCACCAAACAUAUAAUGCUUUUAGAAGCACCCAAUCGGAUUCUCUCUCUCUCUCUCUAUAUAUAUUUUAGAAGCACCCAGUCGGAUUCUCUCUCUCUCUCUCUCUCUCUAUAUAUAUAUAUAUAUAUUCUAAAUAGUAGAAGUAUAAUAUGAUAUCAAAAUCAAUUAUAUAUACCUCUCAAUUUUCAUAGGAUGAUAUAGAUUUAAUCUUCCGUAUUUACCAUUCAAUAAGUUAAAUUCUUAUCAUUUACUUCUUUUGUUAAAUUAGUAUUCUUUCAUGCAGACCGAUUGUUUUUAUAAUGACAAAGAAUUUGGUGGUUGAUAUUCAAAGUCUCAAGUCCAAAUUCUAAUUGAUUUAUAUUUUCAACUAAAUUUAUUUUUAAAUAAAUAAAUGAAAAAAAUAGUAUACCACAUUUCUCUUUCAAAAAAAAAAAAAAAAUCUCUCACGCACUUAUGCUUUCUCUGGAAGACAUGGACUGGCAACAGAGAGAGAGAGGACGGUCCUACAGAAGAUGAUUGUAGGGGACAUUGCCUAAUCAGAAUGGCACUGAAGUUGAGAAAUCCAAGACAAGAACCAAAUGAUUCUCCUAUAAUAUUUUCAGCAGAUGGUACUAGUCCUUUGUACAGUUGCCAGCAGCAACUUUAGAAAAAGAAUUUUUUUUAGGUAAAAAUAAUAUACUAUCUGUUCCGUUCAUAUUUUUUUUAAAUAAAUUUAAUUUAAAAUAUAAAGUAAUUAGACUUAGAAUUUGAGAUCUCUGAUACUAAGUAUCAAGCCCUUCGCUACUUAUAUUAUAAACUGUCAUUUUUUUUUAUUAAGAUAUAAAUAUUGUAUACUGUCUAUCUUGUUCCUUUUUUAUAUAUAAAAAUAAAUUUAGUUGGAAAUGUAAAGCAACUAGAUUGUGAAUUUGAAACUCCGAGUAUCAACCAUCAAAUCUUUUAUCACUUGUCCUAGAAUUAGCCGGUUAUAAUUUUUUUUUUUGUCGUCAUCUAAUAAUUUUGCUUGUUACAGCUAAAGUUACUAAAAACAAAUGGUAGAGACCUUGUUCCAUGUUUCAUGUGGACAGGUCUCUCUCUCUCUCUCUCUCUCUCUCUCUCUCAUAUAUAUAUAUAUAUAUAUAUAUAUAUAUAUAUAUAUAUAUAUAUAUACACACAAGCACAUCUAAAGAAGCUGGGAGGCAAUUAAGCAUAGAGAGAAAAAGUUUGGAAACAAGCUAGCUGAAGAAGUGCUUGCUUCAUGAACCCUUAAGUUGGAGCUCAAGGUACCCAAUAUUAAUUACACUUUUGGAAAUGUAGGUGAAUGAAGAGUCCCCAUCAACACAACCCUUCUCAUUUGGACUCAUCCCUAAGAAGGCUAGUUUGGAAUCUAAACUAAACCAAAAUGCCCAUCCAAAUAAGCAAAUAAGGCUACUUGGUUUUUGUUGUUCGAAUUCUUAGACCCGACCCGAUCCGCUUUAUGCUGUGGUUUUCAAAAUGUUGGAAAAUUGCGAAAGAGGUCUAUGUAGGCCCAAAAUUCUUGAAUACUCUCCAACGGCGGUCCGUCAAUACUAUAAGAUAAGAUAAGAUAAUGGUUGAAGAUUAGUAGGUGAAUAGGAGGCCCAAUUUUGGCCCAUCAAUAAAACAAGUUUGAUUAAUUAGUAGGUGAGUAUCUUAGGGAGGUGGUUAAUCAUAGUGAGAUUGUUGAGGGUUCAUUCACUAUGUUAUGCUGCAAUUUUUAUUUAUUUCUUUUUCUUAAGAAAAAUAUAUCUAAGUGCUCGUUUGCUACGUACCUAGCUAAGAUUAGACAAAAUAUAAUAAAAUGAGAGGGAAAUAUUGGGAAAUGGGGAGGGGCUACGACUAUGACUAUUUUGAAUCUAGUUCAUUUCAAUCCCAAUUUAUCCGGUGAUAUUCAAUAAUUAUAUCCCAGCAUAACAAUCUAACCCGUUUAGGUUCAGUAAUCUAAAUUUCUUAAGACCCCUAACCCCUUAUGGGUCGCUAAAUUUCUCAUCCUUCAAUAUUGCCCUUUUGUCAUAUCCUAUUUUGCUUGAUCCUAGAUUUCAAACGAACCUAAGAAUAUAAUUUAGUAAGUGUAUAUGAUCAAUUUAGUGAAAUCUCUCUUUCAAAGUAAAAUACAAAACAUAUGUCAAUUGCUUUGACCAUAUGAUCAUUUUCUAGUAAAAUAAUGAUCGAAUUAGAAUUAGAAUUAGAAUUAUCCUCUUACAAGCUUCUAGUAGGGUCCAUUUUUAAAGUAUCAAACCUAAAAGUAAAUGUAUUAAACCUGGCUCCUAAUAUUCUAAUUCCUUCGUUUGACCAUUUACUCCCUUGCCAAGUAUAUAUAUAUAUAUAUAUAUAUAUAUAUAUAUAUAUAUAUAUAUAUAUAUAUAUGCCUCACUCAUGUGAUAACAACUCAUAUGUAGGAAAGGUUCAAUUAACUAUCACUGUCAAAAGUGUAACACCUUUUUGUUAAAACAUUAUCUUAAUGUAUCAUCAUUAUUCACUAGUGUAGAGACCCGCACGAUGUAGCAGAUAAAUAAUAGAAACAAAAUUUUAAAAUUUUAAUAAAAUUUGUAUUUACAGCUUAUUGAUGUAUAGAAAACCAUACCAUGUUAAAUACAGACAAUUUGCAUGACUAAAUUCAACUGCUAAAAAAAUAAAAUUAUAGUUAAAAACUUAUAUAAUUUUUUUAAAAUCAUCAAAAUACAAUAAGAGACAUACAAUUUUAUCGUAUAUGUGCCUCUUGAACAUUUCAUUGUGAAAGAUAAAAAAGAGUUAGCUCCAACGCAGCUAAAUCAACCUAGUGGGCACUUAUAUAUAUGAGCCAUGGCUCGACUUUGCGAGACAAUGCUUUUUGAAAGAGACAAUGUUCUUUGCAUGUUCUUCUUCUUCUUUUUCAUCGUCCUCAUCAUCUUCAUUAACACAAUAAGAGAGAGAGCUAGAUUAGUGUGGGGUGGGGGAUUAGAUGAUGUUCUUUUUUGCAUGAAAAAUAAUAGGCCAUGCAAAAGAGAGGGGGGCGUGGGGAUUAAUAGAGGUGGGGAGUGGAUUGGAGUUACAAAACCCACUCAUUAGUAAAAUAUGAUGUAUAUAAUUAAAUGUUGCAUUUUGGAUUAAGGGGAAGAAGAAAUGACAAAUAUUGAAGAGAAAAAUAAGUAACGUAUAAAUUAAAGAGUAAAUUGAUUAGAGAUUAUUGAAUAGAGAGGAAGGGAGGAGAAAAGCCAAGGUCAUUGAAUAGGAGGUGAGGUUGAAAUAAAACUUGCCAUGUGUCAAAAAUAUUAGGAAUUCAUAUAGGUUAAUAGAUAUUUAAAGCCGUAAUGGACUUCUAAACGUAAUUAACUUCACUUGUGAUUUAAUUAAUCACAAUUCAUUUGCUAGUUGUAAAUGGGUUAGGUUGGUCCAAAUUGAUUUGACCGGUUAGUAUAUUUGCCUAUAAUGUAACUUAAUAAGAACCAAUUAUUUUCCUUCGAGAAGGUAUAGAAGAAAAGAAAAAGAGAAAAAGAGAGAGAGUGUUUAUAAAAAAGAGAAAAAAAACACAAGGGUGUUGUGAUCAAUCAAGAAAUAACCUUCUAAUUCUGCUGCAAAAAAUAAACCAUCAAAUUUAGGAAGAAUCCGGCUCAUUAUUUUUUCUAAUAACAUUUUAAAAACAUAUAUAUAUUUUAUCAAACGGAAAGUACGAGUUAGGUUUGAAUCCAAAUUUUCAGAGUCAACAACUUCAAAUUCAGUAUAAUUAGCUUACUUUAGACCCAAACAAAUCUAACCCGAAUCUUGCCUUAUUUACAGUGGUAAGUAAUCGUUUUCUUUGAUUGAUUUCACUUCAUCUGAUCUGCAUUUCAAUAAUAUUUUAUUAUUGGAUUCGAAUUGAAAUAUACUAUAAAUCCGACCCGUUAGCACCUUUAAGUGGAUUUGACGUAAUGAGAUCACCCGAGGUUUCACGUUUAAUCAUAAACUUUAUUCUCGGGAGAGCAAUUUUAGCGGUCAACCGUUGACUCUUUUAGUGGUCAACCGUUGACUCGAGUCAAGUUGAAAAGUCAACGUGAGUUUUCACUAUUGGGCCGGGCCAUAUAAGUUGGGCCUCCAUGGACCGGCCCAACACAUUCACGCGUGUCACUCUCUUGUAACUGUGUGAUACAUUUCCGUUACACCGAAGAGCGCCUCACAUGGACAUACGCUCGACAGUGGGGCCCACACCGCAGUACGCUGUGGGGGAAACUUGAGCGAGCGUUAUGUGCUUUGCCGCAUCAAUAAAUGAAAGAAUAAUAAAUGAAUGAAUAAUAUACAUUUUAUUAAGAGUUAAUUUCACAUAAAUUUCUGUAAAUAUAGUUAAUGACAAAUAUACUUUUAUAAAAUUUAAUUUUUAUAUAUUAUUCUCGUAAAAGUUCUAAUACUUUCAAAUAUAUCAUUUUGAUUUAUUACCAUUAGAGAACGAUUAGAUAAUUAUUUAUAUUUUUAAUUUUACCAUCAUAAAUAUGUCUCUUCAAAAGUCAUAACAAUAUAAUAUAAUAAAAAUAAAAAUGUCAAAAACUAAUCAGAUUAAGUAUUUAAUCUAUAGUUAACUAAAUUUUUCUAAUGAAUAUAUUUAAAAAUAUCAGGACUUUUAUAAAAAUAAUAUAUAAAAAUUAAACUUUAUAGUAAUAUUUGUUAUUCACUGUAACCCUUUUUUGAAUUAUUCCCUUGGUGUAACGCUUUUUUUCGUCACGGGUUUGUUGGGCGCAAUCAAAGGUGGAGUGGAGGCCCACCCUCACAUCUUUAUGUUACUAUAUAUAAAUACAUUAACAAAAUUUAAGGAUUUAUUUGCAUAUUUACUUCUCUAAACAUACACAAAUUAUUUUAAAAAAUUAGCGCUAUGUUUAUAAUUUUUUUAAUUUUUUUUUGUAAACUUUUUAGAAUUGUUUAUGUAAAGUUGAUUUUUGCACAUAUAAAUCUGAAAACUUUAUUUUAAGUGUAUUAGAUUUUAGGUGUAGUCUCAUCCAAAUUAACUGAAAUGCUCGAGAUACGCUGGAUUAAAUUAAAUUUUUUUUUUUUUGAGUUGAACUAGAUUGAUUAAGGAGUUAAAAUUUAAAUUUGAAUUAAUUUUUUUAUCAAGCAACUAAUUUUCGAACUUCAUGGAUUGGAUCGAUUUUCAAAACACUGGAUCUAAACGGGUCGAAUUAGAAUUUAAAUACUAGUAUAUUCACAUGCUUUAAUAAGUGUGGAUAUAAUAUAUAUAUAUUAUAUUAUAUAUAUAUAUAUAUAAUAUAUAUAUAUAUAUAUAUAUAUAAUAUAUAUAUAUAUAUAUAUAUAAUAUAUUAUAUAUAUAUAUAGAGUGGGCUGGUAUGUUUCUAGAAGCACGGAGUCCUCUGUGCUUCUAAGUUGUUUUCGAUGUUCGGACUUUCGAAUUGACGAUCGGCUCUAUUAGAGUUGAUAUAGAGUAUUUGAAAUACCUAAAAAAUAAAUUUUGUGAUUUUUUGAUAUCAUUUGCCUAGUGAUUAAAGGGGCUCAAAAUCAAUAAUUUUAACGAUCGUGAUGAGCCGCUUGCAAGUUUAACGGUAUAGAAGUAUUCAAAUCAUAUAAACUUUUGAUAGAAAAUUCUUUAUACCGUAUAAAACAAGAUCAAUAAUUUUGAUCUAAAAUUUUAAUGCAAUAUCAUCAUAUUUUGUAAGAUUUUUAUUUUCAGUAGUUGAUUUUGAGCCAUUUCGAUCAUUAGGCAAAUAUUAUCAAAAAAUCGCAAAAUUUAUUUUCUAGAUACUUCAAAUACUCUAGAUCAAAUAUAACGGAGUCGAUCGUCGAUUCGAAAGUCCGAACAUCGAAAACAACUUGAAAAUACGGAACGCUCUGUAUUUCCAGAAGCAUACCAGAUGCACUAUAUAUAUUUUCAUUACACUCCUCUCCUUUCUCUCCUUUGCUCUCGAAUUCGGCAACAUCUGAUUGAAUGUUCACUCAUUAACGUCACCCCAAAAUUCCCCCCAAACUAAUAAACCAAAUGAGAGAAGAGCAAAAAAAAGUAAAGAGCGAGAAAAGUGGAAUAAAAACGAAUGAAAAGAUCUCUCGCUUUCUCUUUCUUUUCAUCUCUGUCGCUCUCUCCACUCGGCUAUUAAUGGCGGAAACGUAGAAAAAAAGAGGAGGAGGACGACGACGACGACCCCAUUUCUCCCGAAUCAAGUAGAGAAAAAGCUCCCUUUUUCUUUUCUUCUUCUCUUCUCUCCUAGAAGAUGCCGAUGAUUCGGUACCAGAUACGGAACGAGUACGGCUUAUCGGAUCCGGAUCUCUACCGCGCGGCGGAGAAGGAUGACCCCGAGGCCAUCCUCGAGGGCGUCGCCAUGGCCGGGCUCGUCGGCGUCCUGCGUCAGCUCGGGGAUCUCGCCGAGUAAGCUUGAUUUUAGCUUAAAUUUGGGGGUUUUGGUGUUUAUCUGUGUUUUUUUUAUGGAUUUUCUUUUCUUUUUUUUUUGGUGAUGGAUUGGUGGUAAAUUGGAGAAUUUUGUUGAGAAUUUGGAAGGGUUUGGGAGUGUGCUUUGGUAGAAUGCAUAAAUUGUGGGAAAAAGAUGGCUUUCCAUUACUAUCCAGCUUAUUUGGGCUUAUUUAGUUCUCAUUUGUGCUUUUUUGGGGAUUUUGGCUGUUGGGUUGUUGGUAGAAUUGGGGAUUUUCGAGGGAAUUUGGAAGGAACUGGGAGUUUUGGGCUAUUUUAAGCAUUUUAGUGGGAUAAAUGAGUGUGAGGAGCUUUUUAAUUUUGCUUGUGUUGUUAGUUGUAUUAAUGUAACGUAGAAAAAUGUUGUCUUUCCAUUUCUACGCAUCCUAAUUGGGCUCCUUUUAGUGCUUAUUUGUGCUUUUCUGGUGUUGGGUUGGUGGUGGAUAUGGGGAUUUUGUAGGUAAAUUGGAAUUUUAGGCGAUUUUUUUUACUACUUUAAUGUUAUUGUUAACAUUUUCUUAGGAUAUAUGAAUGUGAGCAAUGCUCUAGCUUAGCUUGCAUCCUUGUUAGCAUAAUUAAUUAAGUGGGGAAUUCUUGUUUUCUUUUUCUAUCUAGCUUCAUGCAUGCUUAAUAAUCACCAACUUUUAGAUAGUAAAAUCACCAUAUAAAAUGAGAACCAGAGGGUUGUGUUUUUUGGGACAGCUUUAUCGACAUUUUGAGGAGUGGGCACCAAAUUGAUUCUAAUAUGAGGGGUAUUUAGAUUGACGGAGAAAAGUUUCUAUCCAAGGAAUUAGAAAGAGAAACCAGGAAUAAAAAUUAAGCACAAACUUUUCCAUUUUCUGGCUAGCAUGAAUUUAAUGCAGCUACUUAAAGGGUCGUAUUUUGGUUAGCGAUUAGUGCCUGUUAAACCAGCAUGUCAAUUGUGUCAAUUGCAAAGUGGAAAUGAGAUUUCGACGUCCAAAUGCAGAAGCUCCUCUUCGGAGCUUCUAACUUUGCCAAAAACAGAUGUCGAGGGGAUGUUAUUAUAGUACUUCCCAUAGCAACAUUACUCAAAUAACACUUUGUCGAACAAUAUUGCACCCUACAGCAAGGUCAAACAUAUUCUGUUCUAGUUUUAGUAAGCUGUUAUUUAAAUGAUGGUUUGCCCCUCAAGGAAAUACAAAGAGUUUAGUUGUUAACAAGAUAAUUAAGGUAGACCCCAAAUCCUGAAAUGUGGCCACCUCCUUUUUUGCUAAUUAUUGAGAUGAGGCACAUAUCAAAUAUUUUGAUCUCUACUAUAACAUUUUAUUCUCUAGUUCUUAGUAAACUUACCACAAAACAUGUUUCCUGAUUCUUUUUUGUCCUCUUUACUUAGCCUUUUUUGGUAUUAUCGUACAUAAGACUGCCAUUCUUAUCUGCACUAUUAAGUGAUUUAUAUUUGUACUAGUUUAUAUGUAUAUGAAUACUCGCUUUUUUUGCAAUAGAUUUGCUGCAGAAAUUUUUCAUGAAUUGCAUGAAGAAGUGAUGGCCACUGCUUCUAGAGGGCAUGGAUUAAUGCUUCGUGUACAGCAGCUAGAGGCUGAAUUCCCAUCCGUCGAGAAAGCCCUCCUUUCUCAGAUUAGUAAUUCAAACAUUGAGUACAAUGAUGGUUAGCGUCCUUUUUUUUUCUUUCUUUCUUCUUUUCAGUAAAAAUUGUGCUAAUUACCCUUUUAGUAUUGCUGCUCCAUUUGGACUUUUCAGAUAUUGUUCUCAGACUAGAAUAUGCUGAAUGAUUUGAUUUUCCCUUUUUUUCUGCUUCAAGCUAAAUAUUAGUAGCUGCCGCGAAAAUGUAAUUGAACAUGGUUUAAUAAUGUAGGUUUGGUGUAUAUGUAUUGUUGUUUGAUGACUAUCGCAUCUCUCAUAAUUCAACUAUUUAUGAAGGAUCACAUUGCAAGCUAUUGAAUUAUCAAACUAACUUGUACUAAAAUAUCUUUGUGGUUUUUGCAUGCUCUUUCUUUUAAGGAUUCUUAUAAUGACCUUUUAUGCAGGUACUGAAUGGCAUGCUAAUCUUCAACUGGGUCAGAAUUUAAUCACACAAGGAGAUAUGCCCCGCUUUAUUUUGGACUCUUACGAAGAAUGCCGUGGCCUUCCUCAGUUGUUUACACUGGACAAGUAUGUUACUAAUAUUUGCCUUUUAGUUUACUAAAAUGCAGGAAACCCACAUAAAUACCACAAUAUUCAUAGUAACUGUCUAAGUGGAAUGUAUGGGGACAAAGUCGAACUAUCAGCAUAGUAAAAGGCUAUCCAUACAAUUACCCUAUUUCAUGGGUGCAAAAUGAAAAUUAUGAUACUUAUAGGGCAUUUCCUGCUAUCGAACUUUUUUUCUUUUAUCAGAUCAUAUCUCUUGAUCAUUUCUUGUUCAAUCGUGUAGGUUUGAUGUUGCUGGUGCUGGAGCAUGUUUAAAGAGAUACUCCGAUCCAUCUUUCUUCAAGACGGAGUUUGCCUCCUCCAACGUGAUGGAAACAGAUGUUCCAAGAGAAAAGAAAGUUCGUAAGAUCAAGGUAAAACUGUUCAACAGCAGAUUUGUAUCCUAAGGGUCUUUGACAUAUUAAUAUAACCGCAAUAUCAUUUUGUUUACAUGUGUCCUGUAAAAUCCCUUUUUUUCUGUGAAUGUUACCCUCCGAAGGAUGUCAGAUGAUUAUUUAUUAUGCUUGAUAUUUUAGAAUAUCUCUCAGAACAUUGUGAAGUUAUUAUUAUUAUUUUUUUCCU
rnacentral:lncRNA from 1 species